rnacentral:lncRNA from 1 species
AAGGAAGUUAUGAAGGCCUCAAUAAUCAUCAAAUAUCAGGAUAGUCUUUUUACCUUGCUAUGGAACAUUAUUGAUGGUUGAAGGGACCUUUCAACUAUCUUCAAAGUGAACAAAGAUCACAGUAUUUAGUAAAUAUAAUUCAACACAUCUUAGACUUCAUCUACAUGUAAUCACUAUUCUUCAUGGAACUCGUCCUUAAAAGACGGGAUAAUGUCAUGGUGUCGUAAUACAUGAAGUCUUGCUUGAGAAUGCUCCGGGCACCUGGUUGUGGAAGGUAGAAUAGAAAUUGCAAUAACAAAAUCCUAACUAUAAUAGAAUAUUAACUAAAUUCUAAUUAGACCAUAAUAAUACUAGGCAAGCUUUAAUUAAAUUUAAAGAAACUUAAAGAAAUUUCAAAGAAAUAAUAAAAAAUCUUAAAAAAAUAUUAGAAUGAUCACAAAUAUAUCUCAAAUAUAUUUCAAUUCAAUCUUAAUUUAAUCCUAGUUAAAAUCCUAUUAGACUUCAUUUAAAUUUUAUGCCAAAACUAAUUAAAUCUUAAAUCCUAAAUAAAUCCUAAAUCAUAAAUCAAACCCUAAUCAAAUCCUAACCAAAUUCUAAACCAAAUUCUAACUAAACUCUAAAUCAAACUCUAAAUUCUAAACCAAACCCUAACUAAACCCUAAAUCAAACUCUAAAUCCUAAAUGAAACUCUCACCAAAUUCUAAAUCAAAUCCUAAAUCCUAAAUCAAAUCCUAAAUAAAUCCUAAAUCAAAUCCUAAAUAAAUCCUAAAUCAUAUCCUAAACCCUAAAAAAAUCCUAAUCAAAUCCUAAUCUUAAAUCAAACCCUAAAUCUAAAUCAAACCCUAAUCAAACCCUGAAUCCUAAACAAAAUCCCAACCAAACUCUAAACCCUAAAUCAAAUCCUAACCAAAUCCUAAUCUAAAUUCUAAAUCCUAAAUCAAAUCCUAAUCCAAAUCCUAAAUCCUAAAUCAAAUCCUAAUCUAAUUUUAAAUCCUAAACCAAUCUCUAAUCAAAUCCUAGUAAUUCCUAUAACAGAUUUAAACCUCAAUAAUUAAUGAAUAAAUUGUUGAUCUUAACUCAAAUUUUGCAUACUUCUUAAAAACUAAAUUUAAAAUAAUUAUAAUUUUUUUGAAAAGGAUCGGAAUUACCAAAUAGACGAUAACCUCAAAAACGUGCUCGGGUAUUGGUCGGCCUCCUUCUCCAACCUUGAUGCCAAUCUUCUAAAGCCAAUAUCUCUCCUUUAUACCAUUCGAUUAAUCUUAAAAUUCUCAUAUACAUAAAAAAACAAGUGUAAUAUCUUCUCACAUAAGUUUCACUCCAAUCCAACUAGUAAAUUGUAAUAAAUCUUAAAAAUCCUCACUGGACUAAAAAUUCUACUUUCUGAGAUCUUGACUCAUUUAAACCUCAAUAAUCCUCAAUUAAACCAUUAGAUCGAGCUCAAAUUCACAAAACUUGUUGAACACAACUACAACCAUUAAUCCACAAAAUUUUAUUUGUAGAUCUAAUGCAAAACUCUUGAAAUCACCCAAAACGUAAAUCCUAUUUUAUUUCACAAAAUCCAAGUCAUCUAGAACAAACCUUAACUUUGGAAAGCUCUUACAAAGUCAUAAAAACUUCAAAUUUCCCAAAACCAAUGCUCAUAGAAAUCUCAUCUAGUUAAUUAUCAAAUUCUUUCUCUAAUUUGCCAAAGAGUCUUAGAGUCAUUGUUGAGACUCGGUUUUGUGCCUCAAGGUCUAAUUUCGACCCUGGUUCAUAACCGGCCCUCUUUGAGUAUCAACAUCUAGUUUUUCUAAGUAAUUUUUAUUAAAAUUUACUCUUAACUUUCUCCUAAAGAUGUCUAUAUUAUUUAUUUUUCCAAUCUACCUUAUUUUUCUUUAUUUUUGGUUCUACAAAAUAAGUAGAAGCUAUUUUUUCUAAAAGGGAAGCAUUACUACUAAAAGUUUUACUACCUUUCUAUCUUUUAUCCAUAUUUUUCUACUUUUUUUUUAACUUGGUUCUUCUAUAAUAAGAUCCAUAUUAUCAUCUUUCACCAUAUGGUCGUGUUACAACAUGACAACAUGACAACGGAUAUAUAUAUAUAUAUAUAUAUAUAUAUAUAUAUAUUUAUCCUGAUAAUUAUCUAAAUAAUAAGAAUAGGUAGAAGUAAGUCAAAGUAGAUAAAUAUGAUAAUAUCUUGUAGAAAGCUUUCUAGAAGCUUCAUAGAUGCUACUUUGUCUUUAUACAUAUAUAUAGGUGAUUGAUAGGUUGAAAAAUUAGCCAAAAAAGAUGCUACGUAUCAAUAUAUUGACCACUUGUAGUAUAAGUUGGAUAUAUGGCAUACACCUAAGAAACUUACUUUGUAAAUUAGACAUAUGUUCUACAAGUUGGAUGCAUAUUAGAGGUCCUACAUUAUGUCACCACACAUCCUUUAGUUAAGUAAUAUAUAUAGAAGUAAGAAUGAGACCUUGCUCACUCUUAUUAAGUCUUUUCUUGGUUUUUAGUCCAGUUUCAAGAGUCUUAUGUUUUCUAGUCUUUGGCAAUAGCCAUUCCAAUUCUUCCUUGAUUGUACAUAUUUUCUUCUAUUUUUUCACUUUUCUUUUGACACAGGUUCCAUGACUUUAUGCAUCUUCUUUCAGUUUGUGUCCUUGAUAAUAAAACAAUUGGCAAUCAUAUCUAAUAAUAGUAAAAAAUGAGUCUUCAAUAUUAUAUUUACCAAAUUUGAUAUCAAACCUUCUAUUUAUUAUAUUAUCUUGACCAAUAGCUUAUCCAAUAGCAAUAGAACUUAUAUUAAUAGUAAAAAUAAUUGGUCUACCAUAAUCAUAGUCAAUUUGCUUUAACAUUAGUAACGACUUCAAAAUCUCCUUCAAACUAUCUAUGGCCAGUCUUUGAUUUUGUCUACAUAUGAAUUUAGUUUUUUUUUCUAAGAAACUGUAUAGUGACUCAAGUAUAUGAGUAAAGUGUGGAAUCCAAAUUUUUUAGAAGAUACAAGCUCUUAAAAACCUCUUUACUUUAGUGAUGCUAUUACAUACUUGCAUCCUUGCAAUAGCAUCAACCUUCUCAAAGUUAAGUUUUAUAUCAUACUUUUAAUAUAAGUAUCCAACCACCACAAUCUUAUCAACUUUAAAUUUGGAUUUGUCAAUGACAAGAUUAGAUCCACCUCUUCAAGCUUCUUCAAAAUCUUUUUCAUAUCUUCAAUGAGAUUCUUCACAAAUCUUUUACAUCUAUCAAUAUCCAAUGUGAAGUUUCUAGCCUCUUCUUUGUAUUUGUUAAUAGAUAUAUCAUCUAUAAAAAGAAUAGUCUUCUUAAGUAUAAAAUCCCUCAAGAUUUUAUUCAUAAUAUUUUCCAUAUGAGUUAUUAAGUUAGUCACACUUUGAAGCAGAGUAUACAUCCUCAUAAGUUCUAACAAAAUCAUUAUGGUGUCACGGACACAGAAAUACAGACUCGAGAUCUAACAAGAAGUUCAAGAAGAAUUGGCAAGAAGUAGAUUAAUCAGAUGAAUACAAGAACAACACCAAAGAGGUGAGCUAGAGCUCUAAGAGAUGUGUUGUCGAGACUGAAGAACUCUUUAGCCUUGAUUCCAAUUUAUACUCCUAUUUAGGAAGCUUCUCAAGCAACUUCUACUAACUAGGAAGCUUCUAGAAGGUUCCAGAGACUUGCUUCUAGAAGGUUCUAGAAACUUAUCUCUAGAAGGUUCUAAGGACUAUGUCCCUGACAUCUUCUACCAACUAAGAAGCUUCUAGAAGAUUCGAGAGACUUGCUUCUAGAAGAUUCUAGAAACUUGUCUCUAAAAGGUUCUAGAAACUUGUCUCUAGAAGGUUCUAAGGACUAUGUCCCUAACAUCACUCCUUCCUUUAGCUUCGAGGUCUCUGAGAAGUAAUGUUGUUGUUAAUCAGUAUCAAUGCAAGAAAAUGAAGAUCUGUUGCAUAACGUCUGCUGUGAACUCCAACUGUUGUUCACGAGGCAAGUGGUUCAUCGAUCCUUGAAGCUAAUGGUAGUGGCCUACUCCUUCAAUUUCUGACCAAGCAUGAACUUCCAUGUCCUCAUUGUGAAAUUGUCCUGCAAACAUGCAUUCUGGCUGACCAUCAUAAGCAGGCUCGGACUCAAAUACAAUCACCAGUGAUUGGUUACUCGGUAUCCUCCGUCGUCGUCAUGGUGUAGGCAGUUCUUCAUCUCGGGGUCGCCUUCGUGAGCUAGUCGGUUGAGAUAAUCUGACUGGCAUAGUAUCUAUCUCUUGGCUAUCCAUAUCAGAAGACCAAACUAUAGCUACUGAAAAAAAUUCUAUUUUAUCUUGGAGAAAAUAACUACAUCAACUACGAAUUUUGGUGGUGCUCUGCCCCUUCCUUAUAUUCUUAGGUGAGCAAGCUUCAGAAGGAAGCUAUUGUCAAACCUGUUUAGGUUUAUGAGGAUGUUGUUGAUGAAACUCUUGUACCUUUUGUGACGCAUUGGCGAGAUUUUUAGCUGGCUCCUACGUUUGCUCAUUAAUAUCGUAGUCGCACCAAUGAACAAGAUACUCCAACUUGCCCUACCUUUGCCAUGAAUCCAGCACCUUUUCAACCUCGUAUUCCUCGUGGUUCUCAAUCUCAAUACUAGGUGGCGGACAUUGCACUCUUCUAAGAUAAGACGACUCUCGAUAAGACUCCAACAUAGAAACAUGAAAGACUGGAUGUACCUUCAUAGAAGCCGGUAAUUCCAGACGGUAUGCCACUAGAUUGAUUUGCUUCUGGAUGAUAGAUGGUCCCAAUCUUUGAUAGUCCAACUUAUCACAUGGUCGCUUGACCUUGAUAUUUCGUCAAAGAAGCCAUGCUUUAUCUCCAAUUUUGAAAGUAGGUGCUUGAUUCCGAAAUCUAUCUGCAGACGCCUUGUAGGAUUCUUGAGCAGAUUGUAAUUGAAGCUUCAACGUAUUUUGAAGCUGUGACAGUUGUUUCACAAAUCCUUCAACUACUGAAUUGUUAUUUGUUGACGGACUCAAUAAAUCAAGCUUCGGAUGAUACCCAUAGUUGAAAAAGAAUGGUGUAUAUUGAAACGACGCAUGGAGGGUGUUGUUAUAUGCAAACUCAGCUAGCGACAAAUAUGUGGUCCAAUCGUCUUAUCAAUAGUUGAUGCUGCAUUGUAAGUAUUAUUCCAAGACUUAGUUCAUCCGUUCCGUUUGGCCGUCAAUUUCAGGAUGAAAAGCCGAAGAAAGCUUGAUAUCCAUAUUCAGUAUCUCAAAGAGAGAUCUCCAAAACUUUGAUACGAAUUAGGUUCCUCGAUCUGAUACGAUAUCAUAUAGUAGUCCAUGAUAUCGAUACAUAUUAUCGAGAAAGAGCCUUGCUGUGACUUCACUGGACGAUGUCUUCUUGCAAGGGAUAAAGUGUGCCAUCUUUGUAAGCCGAUCUAUCACGACAAAGAUGCUGUCAAAUGAAUUCGAUGAUAGUAGGUCCGUGAUGAAGUCCAUGGAAAUUGAAGACCAUGGUCGACGUGGAAUCGGCAAUGGCUGUAGGAGUCCAUAAGAGUGAUGCCGAGGAUUCUUGUAUCUUAAAUAGAUGUCGUAGGAGAGGACAAAAUCUUUCACAUCCUUUCACAUUUGGGCCACCAAAAAUCUUGAGAAAUAAGCUCCAAGGUCUUGUUGAAUCCAAAAUGUCCCACAGCUGGAAAAUUGUGGCGAGAUUAAAGAACUCGGAGUCGUGCUAAUCCUUUUGGGAUAUAUAACCGCUCCUCAAAGUAUAAAAGAUCUCCCUCCACCUUGAACUUGUUGUCAUUGGCACGCUCCUUAAUAUCAAUGGCUACUGAAUCUUCAAUGGUCACGGCACGUACCUGAUUCAGGAAGUUAGCAUCAACUAGCAUAAUAGUAGCACAAAGCUGAAAUUGCUCUGGCUUCAACAAUGUUGUACAUUGUUGAUCAAACGUUACUUCUCCAGCCUUUGGUAUAAGAUACGAUCUCCUCGAUAAGGCAUCAGAUAGUCCUUGCUGCUUUCUAGAACGAUAAGUGAUAACAAAAUCAAACCUAGAUAGCAACAUACUCCACCGAGCUUGACGUUGAUUUAGAACUCAAGCCGACAUGAAAUACUCCAAUUUCUUGUAAUCUGUGUAUACGGUGUCGUGUUGUGGUUCGGCUACUAUAUGAAAAUAAUGUAAUUAUGUACUUAAUAUAUAAUUUAUUAAGUAACAUGGUGAGAGCCAUAUUAGUAGAUUUUAGUUGAUUGUAGAAUAUAAUUUGAUUAUUACUUUGAGAAGAGGUUGUUUAAAAAGAUUACUAUAGAAUUUGUAUAAUUUUAAUUUCUUUUUGAUAGUGGCUUUUAAGAUUGGUUUUGGUUGAUAGUAACUUCUAAAUAUUUAGAGUCACCUUUGUUAGACAUUGGUGACAUUUGAAAACUUAUUUUGGUUCUUUUAUUUGGUGUUUAGAGCAUAUAUUAUGUAAAUCUUAUAAGAAAAAGGAUUGAAGAAGGAUUUUGGUAGCAAAGGAAGUAAUUAGGGCACCAAUAUAGAUGAAUGGAGAUGAAAAAUAAAAAUCUCUAUUCCUAUUGGUCAAAAAUCAUGACCAAUGGGCUUUGAGGAGGCUGCCCGAGGCCUUAUUAGGGAUUCGGGUUAGUUUCUCGAGAGGAUUCGAACUUUGAAGACUAAGGUCAAAAGGUUUAGAUUUAUGAUUAAGAUUUUGGUGCAAGUUUUGUGUCAUUUGGGGUUUUUAUGAAGAAGUUAUAGAUGCUCAAAGUUAAGGUGUUAGUUUUGGACCAACUGUCAUUCUCUUGGACAUAACGCACGCGUACAGAUGAAAAUUGAGGAUCGGCGAUAGCGACUAGAGAGAGCACUUUUGCGGCUAUACUUUUCACAUACUGCUAAUUGGAUUCCAAGUUGGAAUGUAGGAGUUAAUGGAUUUUAAAAUCAGCACAUGCAAUCUAAGGGUAGUAAGUAAACGGAUUUACUACUAUUUGUCUCUUGAGCUAUAUCUUGAACAAUUUUGUGAGAUUUUGGCCAAAAUUUCAAUGAAUGUGUAAUUUCAUGUUAGUAAACUUUGUGCAUAAGUUUUAUGACAUUUGGCAUUCGAGUUUUUGAGAUAUAAGGAAAAUAGUUUUCGGGUGCUUGUAAAUUAGGGUUUGGAGUGUCUGCUUGGAUUUCUUAGAUGCCAAAAGAUCGGAAGUGAAUUUGUGGUGGGUUUUUUUUGUGCUACAAGUUAAGGGAUAAUUAUACCUAUAUUCUAAAUUUGAAAAAAACUGAACGGUUAGAUCAAUAGUUAUGAUUUUCUAAAGUUCGGGGCGAAAAAAACCCUUCGCGGAAAAAAUAUGUUUUGAAGGGAUUUUGUUUUAUUUGGGGUUUUAUACAAAAAUAAAGGAGUUUUGGAAGCCAAAAAAAGAAUCUUAUAAAGGUUUAAGGUACACCCGCUAUAGCUAGAUACCCAGUGUAUUCACAAAUAGCAAAUCAUGCCAUACGGCAAUAGUCACUGGGUGUACAGCUCCUUUAAGAAAGUGAGGCCAUUCUUGGAAACAAUCGACUAUAACAAGAAGUUCCUUAUCGUGGAUCUCAUAAUUGAUUUCAGUAGCAGAGAACUUUCGAGAAUAGAAUACAACCAGAUGGAGCUUCUUGUCUUCUCCCAUUUGUGAAAGUACAGCUUCUAAAGCAAAAUCCGAAGCAUCAGUUUCUAAAUAAAAGGCCUUUGUAAAGUCUAGAUGUACCAAGAUUGGAGCCGUAGUAAAUACGGUCUUUAGGUCUUGAAACGCCUUCUCUGCUAAAGGUCCCCAUUCCAGCUUAUCUUUGCAUGUCAACCGAGUGAGAGGAGCAGCAACUUGAGGGUAAUUCUUGAUGAAGAUCCGAUAGAAGUUGGCAAAACCAAGAAAGCAUUGUACGUCUCUAACCGUCUUCGGAACCUCCCAAGACACGAUUGCUUCCACCUUCUUAGGGUCCAUCUUUAAGCCUUCCAUAGUCGCAAUGAACCCCAGAAACUCCAUCUCUAUUUGGUGAAAUAAACACUUCUCCAACUUGGCAUAUAGUCCUCGCUCGCGUAGUUUCUCCAAGACCAAACGAACGUGCUUUUCAUGCUCUUCCUCGUUUUUGGAAAAUAUCAAAAUAUCAUCCAAAUAGAUGACAACAAAAUCAUCAAGGUGUCUCGAAAAAUAUCAUUUAUCAUAUGUUGAAAGACCGCUGGAGCAUAGGUAAGACCAAAGGGCAUGACAUUAUACUCAAAAUGGCCAUACCUUGUACGGAACGCUAUCUUCCACUCAUCUCCUUCCUUGAUUCGUACGAGGUUGUAAGCUCCCAUUAGAUCAAUUUUUGUAAAGAUCCUUACACGUCCAAGUUGUUCUAAGAGACCAGAAAUCAAGGAUAACGGAUAAUGAUUCUUCUUUGUUACCUUGUUGAGGCCUCGAUAGUCCACGCACAUCCGCAACAAGCCAUCUUUCUUCUUCACAAAUAAGAUGGAUGCUCCAACUGACGAUUUUGAAUGACGGAUGAAGUUCUUAGCUAAUUUCUCGUCGAUGUACUUCCGCAACUCCACCAUCUCCGUCUGCAAUAGAUUGUAGAUUAGGCCAAAAGGCAGUUGUGCUCCUUCUUGCAAGUCUAUGGCGCAAUCAUAUGGUUGGUGUUCUGGUAGCAUGUCGGCAUUCUUUUUUUGAAACACGUCUUUAAAAUCCUUAGAUUACUCAGGUAUACUUGUUGUUAAGAUCUUCUCCCUAGUAGUUGGAGCCGUAUAAAUGACAAACGGUGUGCCUUCCUUGGACGAUCUUAUAAACGCUCUUGCUCCAAUGAAUAAGGAUUUCUCUAUUCGAGGUUUUCUACUAGGCUUGUUCUUGGGUGGUUUUGUGGCAAAGGUCAUCUUCUGCAACCUCCAAUCUAUGGAUGGGUUAUACUUUUCCAACCAAGAAAGACCAAGAAUAACAGGAUUUGAUGGGGUUCUAAUAAUAUUGAAAAUAAUAUGACUACUAUAGCCCUUAAACGUCACUUCUAUAGGUUCUGAUUCAUGGGUGACACUACUAGACAAUAAAGGUCGCCCAUCUAUGACCUCAACGUGAACAGGUUUGGAUUUUUGUACUAAAGGGAUCUUAUGACACUUUGUAAAUUCUUCGUCUAAGAAACACGCAGAUGCUCCUGAAUCUAAUAAUACUAAGGUUCUCAGUUUCUAAGGGCCGAUUAGCAAAGGGAUUGUAAAGCAAAAGGUAGGUUGAGCGGAAAGAAAAGAACCUAGUUGUUGUUGCGAUAUUUCACUGUCCAGUCGCACGAUUCCUAUUGUGGCUGGGCAUCCUCGUUUUCCUGAACAAAUGUACCCCUAGUCCUGACAAUACAUCGAUUUUGCUUCUUGGAACAGUUUCCAACUUUCUGGCCUUCUUCACCGCAAUACAAGCAUAGACCUUCUUCCAUACGCCGCUUUUUUUCUUCUAGAGUAAGAGAUUUGACAUGUACCGCAUCAAUUUGUAUGUCUUCUACCUCUGAAUGUGAAUUCACGCUGCUCGCCGACAUAGUUGGGGCGUAGCGAACCAUAUGUUGUCUUGAACGUUGAUCUUGACGGCGUUGAAAUAGGCGAUUAUCGCACUUCACAGCUUAGCUAAUAGCUUCGUUGAGCGUUUGUGGAUGAAGAAGAGUUAACAGCAAAUCCUUCACAUCAUCCUUUAAACCCUAAUAGAAUUGACUCAUCAACGCUUCUUCGUCCCAAUUGAUGUCGCAUGCUAAUUACCUGAAGUCCGAUGCAUUGACUGAUGUAGAGCGCAUCUCUUGUCGUAGUGACCGGACCUUUGUUGUAGCCCAUCGAACCUUGUCGUGUUCACCAAAUGCUUCCGCAAACGCCUCCAAAAAGGUUUCAAAGUUGUUUAGUAUGGACGAUCGUUUCUCAAACAAAGAAGUAAACCAUGAUAGAGCUUGCCCUGUAAGUAAGGUUCCAACAAGUCCAACACGUGACUCCUCCAUUGGAUAGCGUUCGAACUGUAAAACUGUUAUCAACUUGAUUUGAUUGACGAAUCCUUGAAACUUGGAAUGCGUACCAUUGAACUUGUCCGGAAGGCUAACUUGGGGCUCUUUAUGUUGUAGAACUAGUGGUGUCGUGUUGUAACACGAGUAUACCAUGAAAAUAUAAAGAAAGGGGACUUUUAUUAAUGUUCAGUUACCUCGAAUAUUAGGAGCAACGACCGACUCCAAUGCAAAUACUGAGAGGCCAGGGUCAGUCAUCCCAUUACAGUCAACCGAGGCAUACUGAAAUGCUCCGUUUGAUUCCAAUAACGGGAGUCAGCAAAAAAGGAAAAGGACCAAUUCAACGACGGGUGAGCCUAGUUCAAAGAGCCAAUUGGAUCCAAUUUCAUGACAUCCAAUCCAGGUCAUACUACGGGCUUCUUACCCAAUAUGAGACCUGAAUUGAUCGGGCAACCCAAUGCGGUCUAAUUUCGGGAACAUCCAGGUUACUACGGGCCUCUUAGCCAAUAUUAGACAUGAAUUGGUCGGACGACUCAAUGCGGUCCCGAUUACGAGUUUUCUAAUUCCAUUUCAGGGUGUUCCGUCCUUUGUGCCGUUUCGAAAACGUCAUUUUGGUAAAAGAAUCUCUUAAAGGUAAAAACGGAAGAGAAAGCUCUAACGGCGAGAGCCAAUUUCGGAUCCAAGACGAAAGAAUGAAGAAAUUUUGAGGCUAGGAUUUGAAAGAGGAGAGAAUUAGGGUUAAAGGGGAGAGCGAGCUUCAUGCUUCAGGAAGGAAAAAAAAAGACAGAGAAUUGGGGAUUUUUUUUUUCAUAGGGUUUUGGGAAGACUGAGGCAAUCGUUGCUGAAGUCAGUGUUGUAUUGGUGAAUCGGGAUUUUAAUGAAGUGGGUGUGAUUACUCUUAACUAUUUUAUGAAAUCAAAUUACGUCUAUGAUGAAGAAUUAAAAAGGUGUCUAUAGGAUUGAGUAUGUGGAGUGAAUGAAAUUUUUUGGAUUAAUCUAACGAGACAGUCAGUGGAUACAAGAUCGUGAGUAUAAAGCAAUAUCGAAGAUUAGCAGUUUGGGUUGUUCGGGGUUCUCUGUAACGUCUAGAGACCUACCGGCUGGGACAAAAAAGGAUUUCGGCGAGCAGUCGAAGGAAAUCCGUAUAGAUUUACGGUGUAUUCUUGUAGUUGUUUAUAUUCCAACAGUCAAAAAUCGAUAGACUGCUUGAAUAUUAGUGAAUCUCCAUACUACCUUCUACAGCCAAAUGCCCGAUGCGUUCUCAAGCAGGAAAGCACGUAAUACGACAGCGGUGCUUGUCGAACCUGAUGCAAAGUUGCUUCUCCAAGUGCAGAAGUUUGAAGCUGGUGCAACCUAGAUUGUGCCAUCCCAGAUGCUCCAUCAUUAUGAAGCCUUGCUACGACUCUUUCAAUCUCUACAAUUCUUUGUGAUAACGUAGCAAGGGCAUUCAUGAUAGCAUCCAACUUGGACUCUGAACUUUCUGUCAUAUUAAUGUCUUGGCCUCUGGCCAUUCUAAGAGAAGGACAGAAAUGACUCUACAAGAAGAUAAUAUUGGUUUAGAGGAGGGUACUCCGCAACCUCUAAAAUGCCUUAAGAGCUUCAAGAAAAGAGGUAAUCCACUCUCUCCAAGAAGAAUAAGACUUCAAUAUUGUAACAAAAGAAGUAUUAGUUUAGAGAAGGGUAAUCCGCAACCUCUAAAAUGCUAGUACACUUCCAAGCAGAGGGAUAAUCCACACUCUAACGAGGAAGAAACUAGCUCUGAUAUCUGAGGUGAAUGAAGUCUCGACAAACUGUCACAAACAAAAAAAUACAGACUCGAGAUCUAACAAGAAGUUCAAGAAGAACUGGCAAGAAUUAGAUUAAUCAGAUGAAUAUAAGAACAACACCAGAGAGGUGAGCUAGAGCUCCAAGAGAUGUGUUGUCGAGACUGAAGAACUCUUCAGCCUCGAUUCCAAUAUAUACUCCUAUUUAGAAAGCUUCUCAAGCAACUUCUACCAACUAGGAAGCUUCUAAAAGGUUCCAGAGACUUGUUUCUAGAAGGUUCUAGAAACUUAUCUCUAGAAGGUUCUAAGGACUAUGUCCCUAACAUCUUCUACUAACUAAGAAGCUUCUAGAAGGUUCCAGAGACUUGCUUCUAGAAGGUUCUAGAAACUUGUCUCUAGAAGGUUCUAAGGACUAUGUCCUUAAUAUAUGGUUGUCAGAUCUCUAUUUUUUGAUGCAAGUUGAAACUAAUUAUAAUCUAAAUAAAGAUCUUUAAUAGAAUCAAUGGUAUAUCUUAUAAAAGCCUUAGAAAUUUUAUCCACAAUUGGUCCCAAUUCUUUAUAUUUGAUUGUUAUUUUAUUGACUAGUUGCAUAUCUUCAAUAAACCUCAAAGCUCCAGACUUCUUUUAUACUAUGAAUGAUCAAUUAGAGUAUGGAACUAAAGAUAGUUUAAAUAUUCUCAUUUGCAUCUUUUCUUUCAAUAAACUCAUCAACUUAAGUAGUAAGGCUUUUGGCAUAGGAAUUGGCUUCAAAUUUUAAGAUAUAUGUGAAAUAGUAAAAAUGACCAUUGAUAUAAUAACCUUUGGAUUAACAAAUCCAAUUUCAUUUGGUGAAGAGGCAAAAGCCUUAUCAUGCUUGGAGAUCAUUUCUAAAAAUCUUUUCUUCUUAGGUUCUUUGAAAAACUCAUCUCCUCUAAUCUUUAGUAUGGCCAAUAUCUCUUCCAUGAAAUUAUAGCUAAUUCUUCUUAUCUCCCUCAAUCUAAGUUUUUUUUUAUUUUUUUUGAUAUGAUUAUUAAUCAUAGAAAUUAUUAUUAAUAAAAUAAAAAAAUUAUAUAGAAAAAUAAGAAAAAAAAUAAAAGAAGAAAAAGAAAUAAAAUUUGGUAUAAAAAAACAACUAAUAGAAGCAAGUAUAAAUAAGGUUAGAAAAAAAUAAGAUUGUUUGAAAAGCCAAAGAGAUUAGCCGUCAAUAUGUUUAAAAGACAAGAUAAUUAAGUUCAUAAAAUUUAUAGAAUUAAACAAAGGUGAAUUAAUAACGAUGAGUGAUGUUCUUGAAUAGAACUUAUCAACUUUAUCCCAAGUAUUAAUAACCAUAAAUAAAGAUAAUAUGGAAUAAUUUUAUAUUGUACACCAAAUCAAAAUUAUUGAAUAGAUAGAGCAAAAAAAGAUAGAAAUAAUAUCUAACAUUAGUCAUGGAAAAAAAAAAAAAAAAAAAAAAAAAAAAAGAUAUAAUUUGAAGAGAGAUCUAUAUCAAAGAAUGUUGUAUGAAAGAAAAUUGUAGCAAUCAAGAAAUUAUAAAACCAUUAAAAAAAUCAAAUAUAAUAUUAGGUAAUGAAUCAACUACAAAGGAGUAAUCUUGAGUAUUAUUAUUACCAUCAGAAUGGACAUAUUAUAGUAGAUUGUCUAUUAUAGCUUAAAGACCAAAAAGAAGCUAAAGAGGCACAAACAUAAGAAGAACCAGUUAUAGCCACAAACGUAAUAAGUUCAAAAAUUUAUAUAAUAACUUGUACUCAAUGAAAUAAAAAAGAAACUAAAAGUGUAGUAAUAAGUAGUAGUAGUAGUGAUAAAGAUGAGAAUGACAAAAAUUUAAACCAAUUUGAAUUUAUCAACUCAAAUUAAAAAAAUAUGAUAAGAAUGGAUCUAUAAAAGAAGAAUAUAUAAAGAAGUAACUAAAGAAGUAUAACAAUUACAAGAGGAGUUUGAAAAAAAUUUAAUUUUGGAAGAAAAUUCAUUUAAAGAUGAUAAGAAAAAAUUAUUAAGUAAGAAUGUUGAAGAUAGAGGAGUUAUAAAAGAAGAAAAGAUUGAAAAAAUAAUUGGAGAUGUAUUUCAAUGAAAAAAAGCCAAUAUAUCUAUAAAACAAUUAUUGGAGUUAGUUCCAUAUUAUAAAAAAAAGGUGAUGGAAGUAUUUUUUCUUCAGAGUAAUUUUAAACCAAGUGUAUCAGAAGCUUAUAUUGUAAGUCAAGAUUAUGAUACAAAAAUACCUAUGAUAAUUUUUAAAAUUAAAUAUCAAAUUAAAGAAGAUGUAUUAUUAAACAGAGAUUAAGGAAUAAAUAUUAUGAAAAAUAAAUUAUAUAAAAAGUUGGAUUAUAAUAAGAUCAAACUAUUCAAUUGACCUCCAAGUUUGUACAUACAUUCAUAAGUAGCACAUCAACACAUUAUUCAAAUUUCAUCCAUACACACCACAAAACUCAAAGAACUCUCAAAAUUAUAAAUGUAUUUUUAUUUUUUAAAAUUUAAAUCAACUAAAAAUAUUACUAACUUUAAAAAUCUUUUAAAAAUUUAAUAUUGAUUCAAUUGAUAUAAAAUUAAUGUAUAAAAAUCACUUCUCAAGUCAAUUCUCAAAUUCUACUCUUUAAUCUACUAAAGAACCUUGGAAUCACUAUAGGUGCAUGGUUUUGUGCCUUGGGAUUUGAUUUUGACCUAAGUUGACAACCAAUCCUCUCUAGAUAGCAAUUCUUAGCUUCUUGAGGUAAAUUUUUAUUAAAAUAUAUUCUUAAUUCUCUCUUACAUAUAUCUUUAUUAUUUAAUUUUCCAAUCUACUUUGUUUUGUCUUAUUUAUGGUUCUAUAAAGUAAAUAAAAGCUUAUUUUAUAAAAAAGCAAUCUUAGCAUUUUUUUAUUUCAUUAUCUUUUUAAUUAUUAUCUAUAUUUUUAAAAUAAUUUUCUAUAAUAUUUUAAAAUAAGAUCUAUGAUAUAAUCUUUUCUUUUCUCAUUUAUUCAUUAGUCGUGUUAUAUCACAACAGCAGUAUGUAGAAGUGGAAGAUGUAGAGUUGUAAUUGAUAAAGUAAAUUUUAGAAAAAUAAAAGAUAUUACCUCACAUAAAUUACUAAUGAUUAAAAGGCAAAAAAAGGUAAUAGAAAAGUUAUCAAGGUGAUGGCUAGGAUUUAUAGUGAUAGCAAAGUUAAGUAGCGGCUAGGUUAAGUAGAAUCUAGGAUUCAAUUGGAGGAAGUAAGGAUGAAUGAAAAUAAAGUUGAGCUACAAUGGAUGUAAAUUCUACCUAUAAGUAAAGGGUGUUGGAAGUGAGAGGCAUCUUAUUCCACACUUUUCUUGUGUCUAACCUUGCUGAUUUCUACUUACUUGUAUCUUGCUUAUUAUGUUUCUUUAAUAGGUUAUGGGCCCACACACACUUGAUUGUGCUUCCCAAGUAAGUUGAAGUUAUUUGCUGGUUAUUACUCUUGUGUGGAAUAGAUCUUAUGGUAUUUGCUAAUGUUAAGAUUUGUAUGAUCUAAUCUUGUAUUUUGACUUAUGGAAGUUCUGAUUUGGACCUUAUAGAUCCCUAACAUGUGUUUGAAGGUUCUUAAUUCCUAAAAUUGAGUGAUUAAGACCUUAUACAAAGACCUUGAUAGUGUCUUUAGUGUUGUUGAAGUUUUAGUGAGAAAGUGAGUUUUAUGAAUUAAAGAAAAAGAACUUCAUAGUAAGGUUGAUUGGAGUCCAUAUACUUCUUAGAAGCUUUAAAAUUUGAGUCAGGAGUAUUAGGAAUGAAGAAGCACUCAUUUGUUCACAAAAGGGCAUUCUAAGAUUUUGCUAGUGAAAAAUUAUUUUAGUUAUUUUAAGCACAUAGAGACUCUUUUUCUUCAUAUUUUUUGAUAGACCUAUUCUUAGAUAUAGCUUUUAGUGAGGGUAAAGAUUUGAGAGUGAUUGAAAAGUUUAAAGGUGACAUUCUUUAUCAUUGGAAGAUAAAAAUGGAACUUUGGGACAUUGUAGAUAAAAGUGAAGAGCCUCCAAGCAUGCAUGUUGAUGCUAAAGAUAUGAAAGACUUUAUAAGACAUGAAAAGAAGGCUUUUGGUAUGAUUGCUACUAAUUUGGAUGAAGCUAAUUUUUCUCACAUCAACUCUUACAAAGGACUAACACAAGCAUAGAAGACUCUUUAUAACAUAUAUGAGAGCAAGAACUUAUCCAAUAUCAACUUCAUAAGGAGGAAAUUCUUCACUUAUAAGAUGGAAGAAAGUGAUGACCUCAUGGCUUAUGUCAAUAAGGUAAAGGCCCUUGCUAAUCAACUUGCAAUUAUUGACAAGCCUUUAGAAGAGAGUGAUAUUGUCAUGACCUUGCUUAUGAGCCUUUCAAGUCCUACAACUACAUCAUUAUGGCAUUAGAGUCCAUCAAACUAAAAGAGCUCACAAUAGAUUCUAUGACAAUAAGACUUGGUCAUGAAGUGACCAAGAGAAAAAAAAAAUAAAAAUAAAAAAAAAAAUGAGGAUUCGGCUCUCUUUUCAAGACAAGGCAAGGAAAGUUAUUCUAACAAACAUGAAAAUCUAAGAACUUGCUUCAUUUGUGGAAAACCAGGUCAUUUUGCUAAAAAUUAUUAUAAGGCUAAGAAAAAAUGAUAUAAAAAGUACAAACAAUGCUUGUGAUAAAUAUGGAGGUGAUGAUUAUGUAUUCAUGGCAAGUAUAGGUACUUUCAUCGCUGCCAUAUCCAAGUAGAUUAUUGAUUUGAGUGCCACCAAGUACAUGACUCCAUACAAGUGUUCAUUUGACACUUAUGAAGAAAUUUCAGUAAUAAAUAUACUCAUGGGAGACAAUGGCAUAGUAGAAGCUAUUGAAACAAGCUCUAUUAUAGUAGAGAUAGUUGUGAAAGGCCAAACUAUGAAGAUCAUAUAAAACGACGACUUACAUGUACCAAAGAUGAAGAAAAACCUCCUCUUGGUGAGUAAACUUAUUUUUUGUGGUUGUAAAGUACAAUUUGAUAAGAAUGGAUGUUUUUUGAAGACAUUGGAAGGAGAUGAUGUUGCAAAGAACUUAAGAGAUGAAAAUAUCUACUUCAUCAAGUGUAAGAAGGUGAAUGGAGUUGAAGUAGUGGCAUUUGCUGAAUUUCCUCAAAAUCAAGAUAAAUUUGAUAUUUGGUCAUUUAAAUGCGAAGAGCAUGAAGGAGCUCCAAUCCAUAGUAAGUGGCUUAGAUCUUGGUCAUAUAAGCCACAAAUGGUAUGACACUUGCUUGUGAAGAUUGUAUUCAAGGCAAACAACAAAAGGCUAUAUUUUCAAGUGGAGUUGCAAUACGUAUAACCAAGUUGUUAGAGAUAGUACAUUCUAAUGUUUGUGAACCUAUGAAGAUACCAUUAAUAGGAGGUGUAAGAUACUUUAUUACAUUUAUUGAUGAUUUUUCAAACAAGGUAUGGAUUUUCAUCCUCAAAGCAAAGAGUGAGUGUUUUACAAGGUUUAAAGAGUUUAAGGCAUUUGUAGAGAAGCAAUGUGAGUACAAAAUCAAGAUAUUACAUACGGACAACAAAGGUGAAUAUAUGUCAAAGCAAUUCAAUGAUUUCUUGAAGAUGCAUGGUAUUACAAGACAAACCUCCAUUCUUUAUACUCCACAACAAAAUAGAGUUGCUGAAAGAACAAAUCAAACUAUUGUGAAGAUGGCAAGGAGUAUGCUUCAUGUCCAAUACCUUAGACAGGAAUUUUGGAUGGUAGUAGUGGUAAAUGCAGUGUACACAAGAAAUAAGUGUCCUACAAGUGUACUUAUAUCAAAGACUCCAGAAGAAGCUUAGAGUAAGAAAAAACCUUUUGUUUCUCACAUGAAGACCUUUGGAUGUAUAGUAUAUACAAAGAUACCAAAUUGUAUGAGAUCAAAAUUUGAUAAAAAAGGUACAAAAUGUGUGUUUGUUAGAUAUUAUUAAGGUACAAAAGCUUAUAGGCACAUGUGUUUGGAGACCAAAAAGAUCAUUAAAAGUCGUGAUGUUGAGUUUUUGGAGCACAAGAGUGCUUGUGAGCACUUGGAGAUGUGUCAAUGUGGAAGUAAUAGUAUUUUCAUAGAAACAUCUUCAAAUUCAGCAAAGAAGGAAGAAGAUGAAGACAAUGAUGGUUGUAAAGGUAGAAAUGAAGAUGAAGAGGCAAAGAAGGUAGAGAACAAGGCCUUUAAAAAUGCUAAGAAUAGCAAUGAAGAGUAUGAAGAUGUUGAUGAUGAUGGUAAUGAGGAUUAUCAACCUUUGAGUGAGAAAAGACUAUCUACAAAAGAAAAGAAGGUUGGAGGAGACCAUAGAAUGUAAUAAGUUGAGUCUUCUUCAAAUGAAAGAAGAUAUCCUUUGAGAGAUAGAAAACAAUUUUGUGAAUGGUAGAAGAAUCACAUCUUUCUUCAAGUAAGUGAAGAACAUGCCAAUGUUGUAUUUCUUAUUGAUUUGUUGAGUUUAUAUAAUAAAAUGAAGUCCAUAGAUGCUUUGAAGUGGAAGAAAGCCAUGGAAGAAGAAUAUCAAUCACUCAUGGAUAAUGGAACAUGGGAAUUAACUCAACAUCCACAAAAUCGAGCUUCAAUUAGUUGUAAGUGAGUGUUUAGAAUAAAAAAGGAUGCAAUAGACAAUGUUGUGAGGUAUAAGGCAAGACUGGUUGCCAAAGGCUACUCAUAAGUUAUUGGUACUGAUUUCAAUGAGACAUUUUCUUUCGUGGCCAAAUUCACCACCAUCAGAACCAUUGUGGCAAUUGGGGCAGCAAUAGACAUGGAGAUGCAUCAAAUAGAUGUGAAGACGGAUUUUUUAAAUGAAGAGUUGGAAGAAGACAUCUAUAUGGAUCAACCUCAAGGAUUUAUUGAAGAAGGCAAGCAACACCUUAUUUUUAAGUUGAAGAAAUCCUUGUAUGAAUUCAAGCAAUCACCAAGAACAUAGUGCCAAUGAAUCGACACAUUCUUUGUAAAUAAAGGAUUUAUGAAAAGUGAAGCUGAACAUUCCAUAUGUGAUGCAAUCAAAAGUCUCCUUACUCAUUGUUAUUCUUUAUGUUGAUGAUUUAAUCAUCUUGACCAACAUCUUAAAAAAGAUGAAUUAGUUGAAGACAAAAUUAGCAAAAAAAUUUGAAAUGAGUGAUUUGCGAGAGCUUUAUUAUUACUUAAGAGUGGAGUUUGUGAGAGAUCGAGCUAAGAAAUUCAUUACAUUGAGCUAAAAGAAGUAUAUUGAAGAAGUGUUGAAACGAUUCAACAUAGAGAAGUGCAAGCCUAUUGGAACACCAUUGGAGGCCAAUAUGAAGUUGAUCAAGUUCAUAGAUGAGGAAUUUGCUGAAGUUUAAGAUGAAAUGAAAGAUGUUCCAUAUAAGGCAGCAGUAGACUCACUUAUGUAUGCAAUGGUUGGAACAAGGAUGGAUCUUGCAUAUAUAGUAAGUAUUAUGAGUCAACACAUAUCAAAGAUUGGACCAAUCCAUUGGGCAACCAUUAAGAGGAUCUUGAGGUACUUAAAAGGUGUUUUAAACUUCAAAUUGUGCUUUAGAAGUGAUAAUAUUGCAUUGCAUGGUUAUUGUGAUGCAGAUUGAGAUAGAAAUAUAAAUGAUAGAAGGUCAAUAAUAGAAUAUAUAUUCUUUAUUAGAGUGGGAGCAAUUUCAUGGAAUUACAAGAGACAACCAACAAUUGCAAGGUCUACAAUGGAGGCAUAGUAUAUAGCAGCAAGUCAUUUUGUAAUAGAGGCAAUAUGACUAAGACAAGUUUUAGAAGACAAUGGACUUAUGCAAUUGGAAGCAACUGUAAUGAAGUAUAACAAUCAAGGAUGCCUUGCCUUUGCAAAGAAUCCAAAGUAUCAUUCAAGGACAAAGUACAUUGACAUUCAAUAUUACUUUAUAUGAGAAAAGAUUGAAAUGGGAGUGAUUGACAUGAAGUAUUGUGCAACAAAAGACAUGCUUACUAAUUUGCAUACAAAAGCAUUGGUGAAGGAUAGAUAUUACAAAUUGACAAAGGUAUUAGGUUUAGAAGCCUUUAACCAAUAGCAAAGUGGGAGUGAUAAAGUAAAUAUUGGACAAAUAAAAGAUAUUACCUAAUGUAAGCUGCUAAUGAUUAAAGGGCAACAAAAGAUAAUAGGAAAGUUAUUAAAGUGGUGGCUAGGAUUUAUAGUGGCAGCUAGGUUUAGUGGAAUCUAGGGUUCAGUUGAAUGAAGUAAGGAUGAAUGAAAAUGAAGUUGAACCACAAUGGAUGUAAACUCUACCUAUAAGUAAAGGGUGUUGGAAGUGAAAGGCAUCUCAUUCCACACUUCUCUUAUGUCUAACCUUGUUAUAUGCUCGUAUGAAAAGAGUGUCGUAUCUAUACAAACAAGAGUGUCGUAUCUAUAUGAGCAUACAGUAACGCCAUGUACAGCAGGAAAUCAUAGAUACGACACUCUUGUUUGUUAUAUGAUUUGCAGAGGCACAUCGGAUGAAUCCUGUCAUCUAUAGAUUGGAGGUACAUUGUGUUUCAUCGUGGCAAAGACUUCUUACUUCAAGCAAAUCAAGCAGCGCUGGAAAAGAGGGAUGGUAUUGCUUUGCAUAUUUUUGGAAAUGAACUAGAGGCUUCGAAUUAUAGCCCUCAUGUAGGAGUUAAAGUCGUGGAGGACCCCAGAUGCUAGUGCCUCCUCAUUUUAGAAUCGGCACUGAUCGGAUAAUUUCUUAGAGUUGCUUCCCACGAUGUCCACUUGCCUUAACUGUUGACAGCCAAGUAGGAACAUUGAAAGUGGCCCUGGAAAGAAGAGUUAAGUGGGAAGAUUGAGUAAAUGCUAUUGAAGCUCGCAAUGAAAGAAUACCAGCACGGAGGAGGACAAGUGCACAGAAAGCUGGCAAGAUUUGUUCAAAUUUGAGCUCUGAAAGUACAUCUGAGGUUUAAAAUCCAUGACCCGUAGUGUGAUUUUAAGAUGCUUGUUGAGAAUAUGUAUCCCUGAAAACGUAUGGAACCUGUGAAGGCAUCACUGCCAGAGGCCCAGCAGAGAACGAAAACACUUCAAAAAAAGACUGGGGGAAUGUUAGUUGAUACCACUUUUUUGUCGAGCAAGUUUUUGAGUCGUGGCAUUUGCAAGAACUGUUGUGUUCAUUCUCUGCCAUGCCUUGCAUUAUAGUAAGGAGGAAAUCGGGACGGUGAAAUAUCAGCUUUAUUUCACAGAUAAUAGCAUCCCUACAACGCGAGUUAUAAUUGUCCAUGAUCAUGCGAGCAGUUCCAAACUCAACAUCACUAGUGGUUGUUUUAGACAGAGGAACAUGAAUGGAAAAGAGUAGGAACACAAACAAAUUUGGAUGAUUUAGACGAGGCAGACCCUUGAACUUGAUGGAUUAGAGCAUGAUGAAGAAAACGUAGGGGUGAUAAGAAAUGAAGUGAUUGCAAAAUCCUUCACAAGUAAUCGUAGGCUGUUUUGUGCUGUAGCAAAUACCUCUGGCGGUGAGAGAAUUGCUUAUUGUCGCAUUCGGGAGUAUCAAAACAUUAGCCCCUACUGUCGCACUUAAUUAUCUACUCUUGUUUCAGUUUGUUGGCUCCGUCUCUGGGGGGCAAAAAAUUACUCAUCGACUUGUCACGCAUGGAGGAUUAAUUCGUCUCGACAACACUUUUCUCACUUGAGGUCUACUUAAAUCAUACGUGAUUAUUCUCAUGACAUCAUUUGUUACAUACGUGUUUAACGAUAAUUCAGACAACUCGUAUAUGCGUAACUAAUAAGUUAGGAUUCUCUAUUCGUACUCGUAUUUAUGAGAGCAUUAGCCACAACAGAUAAACAUGAGUAGAGCCUCAUAGAUACAUACUGUCAGGAGAUUCACUCCUAUUGUUGCAUGCCUUCAAUGUUACCGUUAGGGACAUUUAUUGACAGUCGUAAUAACGAAUAUUAAAUGAUAAAUGAUGCUGAAUUAAAUACUGGGUUGGAACAUCAGAAAGCAGAUUAUGUAGGAAGAUUUAGACUAAUCCAUUCAAGCGCGUCCUGAAAAGUAUAAUAUUGUCGGAAUCAGUGUGAAGUACAGAGCAAAAGGCUACUUCGGUGGAAUCAGUUGUGGAUCGAACUGAGGAAUUCUUAGAGAAGAAGAAACUGUAAAUUAUUUGGCAAUCGGCGGGCAAAGUGUUCAAAAAAAGGACUGAGAAACCAGUGUUUGCGUCUGUAGUGAUGACGAUGAGGAUGACUUGAGCAUUGAUGAUUGAAAUGAAGAGUGUUGUGAUGAGGAAGGCAAUGAAUUUGCAAGAAAGAAGGAAGCGUUGUGACAUGAGGAAUGCAUGAGAAGCUUGUGACUUGUCUUUUCCACUGGGAGUACUGUUCGGAUGGAUUUGUACGCUGAUGGGGUGCAGACUGAAAGCAAUGUCGGUGUAACAAAGGCGCAGGCCUGCACCAUUUCAGAGAAAGGGGAUCACAAAUUCCACUGUACCAAGAGACAUUGAAUAUUCUCAAGUUAUCGAAUCCACCCCAGGAUCAUAACAGCGAAACAUUGAAAGCUUUAGUGCGUCAUGCUUGCUGUAGGAAAGGAAGCGAAUAGGUCUCUCUUCAAAACAUUGCUGAAUACAAAAUGUUCAAAAUGUUAAUAGAAAAGGUGAAUAUGUGCACAAGACAAAUAGUUUUCAAGGCAGAAAAGUUGCUUCUAUGAUAUAUAUUUUUUUAAUGAGACCCCUAUAUUCCUUUCCCAAUUUUUUCUUUGACCACUUGUUCUUCAAGAGUUCAAAGAUUAAGGAUUCGUUACAGUGCUAUGUAACGUCCAAAAUCAAAAUGCAAGUCACUUCCAUGUCAGUUUGAUUUCCAGUGACUCACACUGCACAAUCACAACGUCGGACCAACUACUAGAUCCGACACACAAAUACUACACGGACGUCAUGGUAGAGCGAUGUGAGCAAUGGAACCUAGAAGAGUAUUUCGUCAGAGGACUGUGCAGCUAUAAAGGGCCACGCUGAUAAAGGUUACCAGCAGUAUCGCCAUCAUUUCCUCUCAUUGAGCUUCUUCUGUGCAUGGGCGACCAUUCAACACCUGGAAACCAUCGCUUCCUACUGUAACAAAGGAACUGGAAUGUCUCACACACACGAAGACAACGCCUCCCUGUUCAAGAUCACCACCGUCUCUCACAACCCAUCCUAUCCCAUCCCAUCCUUGCCUUCUGUGAAGCAUGUUGCAGAGCCCAGUGAAACUCUCCCACGUCCUUCCACCUCCAUUCUCGACAUUGAUCACACUCUGAUCGCCAAGUAGUUAGCAUGCACGAAAACUGCCCUUUGGUACUGACACAACCCAAUCUUUCAUCAUCUCGAAGAUGUAGCUUUACUGCAACCAAGACGGACAUAGACUUCAGAUAAAGCUGCCCAACCUUGAGAACUACGACUUCCUUACUCCACGACAAUGCGAAUCUGGUCCAUGAUAAAAAAAUAAAAAAAAAAGGAUGUCCACAUUCACUGCAAGGCAAGGAAGCAUGAGUAAUUCCAGGCUGACAGAGUAUCACACAUCUUGAUGAUCAAUGCGUUGGGUGCAUGAAUUUCAUCAAAAAAAAUCAUGUCUUUACUCAAGAACAGGAAAGCUGAGCUCAUUCUCAGGACCAACUCUUCCACAAACUUGCAAACACAGUGAGCUUGUUGGAAAAACAUUUUUGGAGGGUGAAUUGGGUUCCAGCAAAAGCAUGGUGGGCCCAUGAGUUGUGUCGAGGCGGCGCCCAGCUGAAAUGUGAUACACACCGAAAGGUUCAAGCUUAUAUUGCUUUACUGGGAAUCCUUGUUUGAGCCUCAAGUUUCAGCAAAUUGAGACAUGUAAUGCCUAAAGGACUUUCCCAAAUGUGUUUUAUGAAGAAAGAUGUUAGUUUGAAAAUAUGUGCGUAGUUGAAUCUCUACGCCCAUGCCUUUAUUUGUGUGUCUAAACUUCACUAAAUGAAUGAAUUUGUUUUUAAAUUUGAUGUUUUAUUAAAAUGAGUAACUGCAUUUGUACAUUCUGAUUAAAGUAAUGGAAUCGAACUUGCUUUUCUGAACUAAUGUUUUUACACAGGUGAUUUGGGAAUGUUUUCUUUUGUUGAAUAACUCUAGCAUAAAACUGAAUUAGAUUUAAAUGGAUAUCAUUUUUUAAAUUUGAAUUUAAUACUCUAGAUAAUAUGAAGAGGAAAAGCUUUAAAUUACUGAUUUCUUUUUGCUACAGUCUGAAGCAAUUUUCUUGCAAUUAGUACCAUAAAACAUCAUCAAUACAUUAUUUUCAUAUAGACUUCAAAAUUUCCAAUAAAUUUUAAUUUUUUUCAUUUUAAUAUGAAAUAACAUGUGCAUCUUUAAAAAGCUAAGUUUUAAAUUCAAAUAAAUUGAAAUAUGUGAUGAUUAUAUGAACAAGUUGCUCAUAAAAUAUUUACCUUAAAAUAUCAAAAUACAAAAUUAAAAGAUUAAAUUUUGAUUUGAUUUGAUUUUAUAUUGUUAGCACCAUGGAUGACAUCAAUAAUUUUUAGUGAAAGCUGAAGGAUGUCGAUAUAGUAAGAAGAUUGAGUAAAUACAUGACAGUAAAAACUAUUAGUAAUUAGUCAUAGCGUUGUUGCAAAUUUAGAAUAGAAGCAUUUAUUACAAAACUUUAAGACAUUAUAAAUAUCCUUAGAAGGAAAUUUUUUAUUUUAUUUUUAUUUUUUUAAAAAUUUGGGUGUUCAAUAAUUAGUAUUAUAAAUAUAUUGAGUUAAUUCAUCAAGAUUUGCAAGUAUUUUGGCUAGCCAAAACUAUAUAUCAUAUUGUACUCAAAUAAAUAAAAGAGAGAGCAUUCGUUUAUUGAAUUUGAGAUACUUAUAAACUUGGUGGUAUUACAUAGAAGUAUCAUAUUAAAAGAAGCAUUUAUAUAUUAGAUAGAUCAACAUAUGACUAUUAUUAUUUCAUAAUGUAUUACUAACCAUCACAAUCCACAAGCAAAUAUACAUAUAAGAUAAUUUUAUAUUAUUUUAUAUAUAUAUAUAUAUAUAUAUAUAUAUAUAUUUUAUAUAAUUUUUUUAUAUUUCAAAAUUAUUCUAAAUAUAAAAAUAAAGAUUUAUUAUAUUAAUAUAUAUUUUUAAAAUAUAAUUAUAGAUAUUAAAUUUAUAAUUUUUUAAGAUUUGUGGUUAUUUCUAGAAUUAUAAAAUAUAAAAAAUUAAAGACCAUUUGAAUUUAUAUAUGGUAAUAUUACAAGUUUUAAAAUACUCUAUGCUUACAUUAAACAAUAAUAUAAUAACUUUAUAAAUUCCAAGUUGAUGUAGUUUAUUACAAGUCAUUGUUAAUGAAUUUGGAUUAUUUUUUAGUUUAUUGAUAAAGUAUAAUCUUGUAAGUUUUGCCUCUUAAGCAUAUGUCAAUAAGACCAAUUCAAUAAGAAUUUCUAAAGUUUAUUGUAUCUUCAAAGGUAAAAAAUGUCUACAUAAAUAAUCUCCAAAAAGAUUAUGUAAGUUUGUUUUUUUACAUUAGUCUUUUAUAAUAUUUUAUUUUAUUUUAUUUUUUUCUAGUAGGAUUUUAAUACAUGAAAAAGAUGAAGUGAGUGUAUUAGAGAGGUUUCUAAAGCCAAAACUAUACCUUAUUAGUACUUUAAACAUAAAAAAUUUGUCAUAUUUAAAAAAAUAUAAGAAACACGAUUUAAUAUUGAAUCAUAUUGCUCAAAUGUUAGAUAUGAAAUAUUAAGCACAAAUUUAGAAGAUUGUAUUGUAGUUGAGUUUAAACAUGUGAAUAUUCAUAAAAGUGUGGAUUCCAAAGAAACUAUACUAAGAUGAUUUAAAAACUUCAAAGAUUGAGCCAUGACAAUACAAAGUAUUUUUUUAAAAAGAAGAUUUAUGAAAUCUCAUUGAAUCUAAAGAGAGUUUUUUUUAUAAAAAAUGCCAAAAAGAAUAAGAGAAUAGGGAUAAAAAAAAAUUACUAAUUCAUUAAGAACUUUUGAUGUCUACUAUAAAUACAAAACAUGCAAAAAGAACUUCCUACAACUCUUUCUUAUUCUAAAUUUGUACCAUACUAUUUUUUACAUUUAAGAUUUUGAAAAAGUCUAAAAUCACUUUAAGAAUAUAUUUUUUACUAACAAUGUAUUUGAUACCAUGAUUGAAACAAGAUUGGAUUCUUUAAGGUGUAAAAUCUUAUUAAUUUUAUAGUAACAAAGAUCUUGACACAAUGUAAGUUCAAGCACAUUAGAACAAAAUUAAAAGUAACUAAACGGAGUGGAACAUGAAAGAUGAGACUAGGUAAAACAGAAUAGAACCAAACAAAACCAAAUAAAACAGAAUAAGGAAAAACAAGCAAACUGUAUUGAGAGAAAGAAUUUGAAGCCAUACUUCAUCAAAUGCUCAAAUGGCCUCAAUUAGUACUAUUUAUAUUUUGUUCAAUAAUCCUUGGAACUUUUCAAAAUAUCUUUAAUGGUAGAUCUACUAAGAUAAUUGCCCUUCUAAAAGACUCUAGAGGUAGAUCCUACUAUAAAAAUUAUCUUAAGCCUUUCUAAAAGAUUCAAUUGUAGAUUCUACAUGAAUCACUACGUUAACUUUAAUUCUAGAAAUUUUCCAAAAAUAACUCCAACUAUAUAUCUCUAUGUGUGAAUAAUACAAAUAUCCUAUCUAUGCCUUGUUAUACCGAAUUUUUGUUUACUAAUGCUGAAUGUCCUUGUUUCACUCUCAAUGGUAUUUCCAAAUGCUUUCCUAACAAUGAAUGAGAUUUUAUGGAGGUUCUUAUAUUGCAUCGUGGAUAAGAUAAUCUUUUUAGAGAACUUUGUACUAAAGUUGGAGAUGUUCAUUGCCAUGACAAAAGUAGCAAUGCUCCAAAAUACUAUCCACUUCAUACUCUUAUUGAUCAUUAAUCAUAUUUGUAGUAGCACUGGUGGUUGAUGUCAAUCUAAAAAGUGCCUUGGUUUAAUAUGAAAUUCCUUGAGUUGCAAAAUAUGGAAGACCAGAUAGAUCCAAAUAUGUGGUAGAAGCUCAAGAUAAUAUGCAACAUCAAAAAUUACUGUAGAAACAUAGAAAGGUCCAAGCCAUUGAAGUACUAGCUUAUGGACUUAAGUUGAUGUAACAAGUGAAAGGUUGGCGUUAGAAAGUAAUACUUUGUCACCUUCAUAUUAUUGGUGGUUAUUCACACACUACUUCUAUCAAUUGUAUGCAGUAAAGAGAUGGUGUUGUAUCUCCUACAAGGUUGUUGUAAGCUAUUGUAUAAACUCCUAUGUUAACAAAUUAUUGGUGUUGAUGGAGCAAUGGAGAGUUGCUGAUAUAAUCAGAUGCUAAUUGGUGUUAAAGAAGAAUGAUGAAUAUCAGUACUUACUUGAAUACUAUCAUUGUAGGUAAACUAUAAAGGCACCAAAUACUCAUUUCAAUCAUUAUGGUGAAUUGCCAUAAAUACUCAUAGCAUAUUUUCUAGAGUUUGAUUUGCACCCUUUAUUUGUCCAUUUGUUUGAGGAUAGAAGGCCAUAGAUAUGACAAGUUAUGAGCCCAGUAGCUUGAAUAAGGUUGCCACAAACUCCUUGUAAAGUAUAGAUUUCAAUUUGAAAUGAUGAUACAAGAUAAUCCAUGGUAAUAAAAGACAAUGUCAAAGAAGAAUCGUGCAAGUAUUAAAGUAUCAAAAUCAAAACAUAUUGUAGCCAAGUAAAGUUGCUUCAAGAAUUGAUUCACAAAAGAUAGCAAUUGUAAUGUGAUUGUGAGGUAUCUAUGGCAAACACGUAAAGAGAUCCAUGAUCACCUACUCUCAACAUACCAUAGAUAGUAGAAUUGGCUACAAUAGCCCAUAAGAUGCCACAUUGCUUGCUUUGUUAUGUUGGCAUGAUUUAUAAGAACACACAAAAGUUCAAAUAUUAUGAUCCAAACCUAUCCAAAAUCAUGUCUUUGAGAUCCAUUCUAGAAUCUUCUCACAUCUUAAGUGUCCAAAUAUUGGGAUGUCAUGUCUUUCUUGAAAUAUGUGCAUCCAAAGUAUAACAUUAUCAAGUACAUAAUUCUAUUUUUUGAAAUAGAGUAAGCUAUCAUUGCUACAAUAAACUUAACAUCACACAUCAUUCAUCUUUAGUUGAUCAAUAACCAUUUUAAAAUAAGCAUUGCAAUAUGUAGCUUCUCUCCAUUUUGCUUCUUUCAAUAAGUGUAAAAUAAUACUACCAAUGAUAAUAACUUUUGCCUUAUCAUUUAAUUUGAAUUUUAAGUCAAAUCUGCUUGAUAAGAUAUCCAACACGAUGUGUUGUUACCCUUGCUUGUAUUCAAGCUGAAUGUUAAAGAGCUAUAAUUACUCUUUUCAACAAUAAUAUUGUGAUUUAAUAUUUUCUAGAUACAAAUCAUAUAAUAGGAAUCAGUGGUUAGUCCAAACAAUUAGUAGCUUUUCCAAUAAAUAGUGCUACUACACCUUUGAGGCAUGUACAAUUGCUAGUUGCUCUUAAUUAUGUACAAAAUAAUUGCCCUCUGUCCUUCUAGGUUUGUGUUAUUCAUAUGCUACAAGUUUAAGGCUCCUAUCAAAGUCAUAUUAAAGAAUUGCAUUAAUAAUAAAGUUGAAAGCAUCUAUAUCAAGUAUACAUAGAAAGUCAAGAUCAUAUAGUUAUAAUAUUGAAGUAGUAAUCAAUGCCUCUUUCAACUCUCUAAAGGCCUUUUUUGUUUUAGUUUCUAUUCAAAUAUAGCAUCUUUCUCCAUUAAGCUUGUCAAUGAAAUAGUAAUGUCUGCAAAUCACUGAAUAAAAUGGUAAUAUUAUCAAAUAAGGCUUAAAAAUGAGUAGACUUUAGAAGCAUCUUUGAGAGUUGGUUAAUCUUCUACUACUUUCAUCUUCUCCUACUCUAUGCAUUGUUCCAUUGAAAAUUCUUACAAUAUGUAAAAAUUAAUUAAAAUAUAUUAUAUCUUGAUAAUUCUAGAUAUGUGUUAAAGUGGUUAGUAGAUUAAAUUAAAAAGAGUUGGUAUAGAAAAUAUAACUUUGUUUCUUUAACUUGUUUUGAUUUUGGCAUAUAAAAAAAUAUGUAUAUAUAUAUACGACGUAAAUAUUUAGUAUGAAGCCUUGGAAGAAGGUGGAAGCGUAAGAAAGAAAAUCCAAACUAGUAGGAGGCUAAUUAGAAGGGAUGAAAGCAAGGCAUAGUCGGAUGAAGGCAAGGAAUGGAGAACUUCAUCUCUAUUGGUCAAAUACCAUGUCCAAUGGGCUUUGAGGAGGCUGCUUGCGACCUUAACAAGGGUUCUAGUAACUUCAAAGGGGGCAUUCAGAAAUUAGAAGCUAUGAUUGCAAGGUUUAGGAUUUGAGCUACAAUUUGUGUAGAAAAAUUAGAGGAUUUGGAGUUAGAAUGAAGAAGUUAUAGUCGUUUGAAGUUAAGGUAUUAAUUUAAGAUAUAUUUUUAUUCUUUUGUAAAUACAAAGAGUUGUACGAUAGUUUUUGAAGAUUGAAAGAUGCAAUUGAAACAGCAAUUUUAAGGCCUAUAUCUUUUACAAAAGAAUUUUUGCUUUUGAAAUUCAUAUAAAGGAGAUAUAAGGAGUUGAAGGCGAUUCUUCCAAAUCAAAGGCAAUAAGUGAGUAGUUUUAUUUAUAGUAAUGUUUGGAGCCAUAACUUGAGUUUUUGGACAAAUUUUUGGCUCAAAUCUUUUGGAGAAUGAAAUAUUUUGUGUUAUAAAGCUAUAUAUAUAUAUAUAUAUAUAUAUAUAUAUAUAGAUAUGUAUAUAAAUUUUGUGGCAUUUGAGCUUUUAUUUUGUAAGAUAUAAAGAAAAUUACAUCAGGGGAUUUAAAGACAAGGAUUUGAAGUAACUAUUAGGGUUUUCAAGAUAUCUCAAGAUCUGCAAUAAAUUUGUAAUUGAAAUUUGUUGUGAAAGUUGAUAAGAAUACAUUAGUACUCUAUAUAAAAUUUGAGUAAGUUUAGAUAGUUGGAUCAAGAAAUAUGAGGUAUUGAAGUUUGAGAAAAUUUUCACAUAAGGUUAUAAAAGGUUUUAGAGGAUUUUAUCAUAUUUUGGAUGUUGUUAGUUACUUGAGGCUUAUGUAUUUGGUGUAAUUGCUUCAAAAGAAAAAUUUUAUAUAUAAAAUUAGGACUUUCCUUAUUUUAAAGCUUUAUUGAGUAAUUAGUGACAGCCAAGAGUUCAGUUUUUUUUUGAGGCAAACUCUCUCUACUCCGACAUAUUGGUGCUUCCACUAAGAGAGCCUUAAGGUGCUAAUUUUUUAAUAAGUUGAAAUGGAAGAUCAAAAUCUAUGGAUUAGAUUAUUAAGAGGAGUUGGUACCUAUGAUUUAGUUAAGAUAUUUGCUCAAUUUAUAGAAGAAAGGCAAUAGGUGUAUGGAGAGGAUAGGAGCACUACUAAAGCCUUACAAGUAGUGGUAGAUAAGGUUGGAAGGUUUGAUGGAAGGAUCAUCACUAAGUUUUUCAAAAUUUAUACAUGUGAAAUAGAAGUGUAUCAAGUUUCAAAAAUGAAGAUGAUUACCACGUUUGAUUUGGCAAUGGUACUGAAAAUCACGGAGAGAAUGUAAGAGUUGCAUGUAGAGGCUAUAUCAUAGAAAAAAUUUGAGGAACUCUUAAAAGAUGAAGUUUUUGAGAAAGAAUGACUAAAGCAAAUUUUUUGGAUUGGAUUAAACAAAGGCCAAGGAAUCAAAUGGCUCCAAAUGAAUUAAUCAAAGAAUUUGAAAUUAAGUUUGGUCAAUUGCCAUGGCAAAAGAGGUAGAUAUUGGAAGCAAAAAAAAUUGGAUUAUUCUUGCAAGCAAUUGAUAAACACUUGGAGGACAAGCUUCUCUUUCAUCUAGUAGUCAAGACAUCUGAGAGUGGUUUUAUAAAUAAUUGAAAGCUUAUAAAAGAGAUAAUGGAGCUUUUGGCUAAAUAAUAAAAGAUUAAGAGUCAUGGUUUAAUAUCAAGAUUGGAGCCAAUGCUUACAACUCAAAAUAUAGUGCCACCUCAAAAAGUAAUAAAGACUAUUAAAGAUAAAAUUCUUAAAGAAUUAAUUAAGAGCAUACAAAAUUUGAAGGUAGAAAUGUCUGAGUUGAAGAAAUUUCAAAUGGUAAGUUCAUCAAAGGUAGUUGUAGGUUAAAAAGGAUUUGUGAAAAGAUGUAUGUCUUGUGAUAAUUCAAACCAUAAGCGUGGUGAAUGUAAUAGCUAUAAGGCUGCAAUCAAGGAUGAUAUUGUAUAUUUUAAGGAUGGUAGGAUAAGACUCACAGGAUUAGAUGACCCUUUGAAGACUAAUUUGAGAAGGGUGGCAUAAAUAAAUUGGUAGAAUAGUAAAUAUCAAAGAAUAAUGCCAUAUAAGGAGAAGGAGCUGAAUCUUAUUCUAUUAUAGUAGAACAAAAACUAGUUAAGGCUAGUUUCUUACCAACUACAGAAGUUAUAAUCAGAGGAGCUAAAGCUAUCAGAAUAAUGACUGGGUGGAAUGAUCCAAUUGAUGCUAUUAAAGCAUAUUAAAGUAUAUUUUUGUAAGAAUAAAUAUAAUGAUGAUCUAUAUGAUGCUAUUGUUGAAGAAAAAAGAGGGUGAGCUAUUCAUGAAGAGGAUGUUAUUGAGCUUGAAAAGAAGAGGAGGUCUCCAAAAAAUAAAGAAGCUUCUAAGGAGGAAAAAUUAUAGAAGAUGCCUUCUUCUACUCAUUUUUGUGGUGCACCAUUGUCAAUAGAGUGGUAGGAGAAGAAAAAAGAGAAGAAAGAAGAUAACACAAGCAAACCUAAAGAUAAAAAUCCUACUUAUAAGUUUCAAUCUGACAUUAAGUCAUCUACAACCAUAAAGAAUAUUUUAGAAGAAAGGAUCUUGGAUGCAAAAAUUGAAUUUAUUCUAAGAGAGGCUCUAAGUGUAGUUAUUGUUCUGGUUGCAUUCAAGCUUCAAUAGACCAAAGCAAUUGAACUAAUAGAAGUGGGUUCGAACACGGGAAAAGAUUGAGAAUAUCAAUUGGAUUUUUUAGUGUCACAAUUGAUUGUACUCUGACUAUCUGAAAUCAAUUAUCAAACUACAAAACACCAAGACUUACUACUUCCAUCUUGAUUCAAUAUAUAAUCCAUUCUACGACAAUCAAUUCAACAAUACUUCUCUCAAUCACAAUUCUUCAUAAGCAAAUAAUAAAAGUAAAGAAAACAAAGAGGUAGUACCAAGCUUACCCCAGCUUAUGACUCUCAUAGUCUGGCUCUCGGCUUACGACUCUCACAGUUUAGCCCUGAUCGCUCUUUCUUCAACUUAUUUAUCCUAUCAAAAAGAUGAUCCGUUGGCGAGCAGAUUCCAAAGGUUAUAACUCUUUGAAUUCUUAACCAUUUAUUCCACUAACAACCUAUUAUUACCAACUAAACUGCCUAACCAUCAAUCUAAUUUUCAAGGUUGUCAAUAAGUAACUAGUAACUUACCACAAAGUUUCUUUACCUAUUCUACAUAGCCUCACUCUUAAUUGUGUAGCGUCCUCGCAAACAUUAUUUAGCCUCAAAUUAUAAAGACGUAGCAAUGUUGGCUUCUUUAGUCAAUGGCGUUGUCUUACCACCCUUUGAAUUGGUGACUUUCUCUUCUUUACAUCUUCGUCAUCUGCCUUAGUGUUCAAGGGUUCUCCAUCCAAAUGCGUGUCACAUCUUCAUUCAACAAACUCAAUUCCUGUAUCUAAGACUCAUGUUGGACAAUUUGGUUGUCACACUUCUCCAACAUCUUUUGCCAUUCUUUUGUCGGUUUCAGAGGUAUCUCCGAAGGUAUUAUCACUGAAACUGGUGUAUUGGUCCAUACUAAAUUAUAGGCCUGCUUUGCUAAUGCUGCUAGUUUAGUCUGCAACAUCGCAACUUCUACCUGCAGCCAUUCUUGCCAUUCUUUUCAAUCAGUCUCCAUCCUUACUUUCUCAGACACCAUGUUUGCCAUCUUCUCCUUAACCACAAAAAAAAAUACGAUGCUUGUCAAGAGCCCCCCUCCUACUUCUUACUAUGGUCCAACCAAUUGGAUUGACUCUCUUUUUUGUAACAAAAAACCCGUCUCAGUGUUGGAGUAGACAGAGUUUGCCUCAAAAAAAUGCUAGGCUUCUAGCUGUCACUAAUUAUUUGAUCAAGCUUGAAAAUAAGGGAAGCUCUAAGUUUAUAUAUAAAUUUUCCCUUUUUUGAGUAAUUACAUCAAAUACAUAAGCCUCAAGUAACCAACAACACCCAAAAUAUUAUAAAAUCCUCUAAAACCUUGUAUAUUCUUAUGUGGAGAUUUUUCCAAACUUCAACACCUUAUAUCUCCUAAUCCGAUUGUUCAAAAAACUCAAAUUUUACAGGAGGUACUGAUGUAUUUUUAUUAACUUCUACAACAAUUUUCAACUGCAAAUUCAUUGCAGAUCUUCAGAUAUCUUGAAAUCCCUAAGAAUCGCUUCAAACCCUUGUCUUUAUACAUCCACAUGCAAUUUUCUUCAUAUCUCACAAAAUAUAAGCUCAAAUGCCACGAAAUUUGUGUAUAUAGCUUCUUAACACAAAAUUUUACAUUCUCCAAAAAUUUUGAGCCAAAAACUUGUCUGAAAACUCAAAUUAUGGCUCCAACAAUUACUACAAACAAACUCGCAUACUUACUGCUUUUGAUUUGGAAGCAUCGCUUUCAACUACUUACAACUCCUUCAUAUGAACUCCAAAAGCAAUAAUUCUUUUGUGAAAGAUAUAGGCCUUGAAAUCACCAAUCCAAUCACAUCUUUUGAUCUUCAAAAGCUGCUGUAAAACUCCUCAUAUUCUCAAAAGAGUAAUGAUAUGUCUUAAAUUAACAUCUUAACUUCAAAUGGCUAUAACUUCUUAAUCUUAACUCCAAAUUCUCUAAUUUUUGUACACAAAUUGUUCUCCAAACCCUAAACUUUACAAUCUUAGCUUGUAAUCUCUGAAUGCCCUCAUUGAAGUCUCUGAAAUUCUUGUUAAGGUCGCGGGCAGCCUCCUCAAAGCCCAUUGGGCAUGGUAUUCGACCAAUAGGGAUGAAGUUUCCCAUUCCUUGCCUUCAUCCGACCAUGUCUUGCUUUCAUCCCUCUCAAUUAGCUUCCUACUAGUUUAGAUUUUCAUCCUUCGGCUUCCACCUUCUUCCAAGGCUUCAUACUAAACAUUUAGGUCUUAUAUUUUUUUUUUAAUGUCAAAAUCAAAACAAGUAUAGAAAAAAAAUAAAGUUUCUUAUACUAACUCUUUUUAAUUUAAUCUACUAGUUAUUUUAACACAAAUCUAGAUUUAUUAACAUAUAAUAUAUUUUAAUUAAUUUUUACAUAUUAUAAGCAUUUAUAGUACGACACCGGAUUUAUGUAUAAUAAAGUUUAAGCCGAUUGCCAUUGAUCCAUGUCGUAAAUUUAGUACCCAUAAAAUCUUCCAAUUGUACUAAACCAUUUGAAAAUCCUUCAAUAACUUGAUAUGGCCUAUGCCAUCAAACUUAAAAUUUUCUUAGAAAAUUUUUAAAUCGACUAUCAUAAAGAAGUAUGAAAUCAUUUGGCAUAAAAGCUUUUAGUCUAAGCUUACUAUCAUAAUAAGUCUUCCUUUGUUUUUGUCUCAUUUCCACUAUCAUUAAUGCAUUGGCUCUAGUUUCAUCCAAUUUUUCCCAUUCUUUAAAACGGUGCCGUUGUCAUAUUACGUGCUAUCUUACUUGAGAAAGCACUGUCGUAAUGUGUGAAGUCUUCCUUGAGAAUGCUCCGAGAACCUAGAUGUAGAAGGAAGAAUAGAAAUUGUAAUAACAAAAUCCUAAUUCUAAUAGAAUACUAACAAUGCUAUAAUUAGACUAUAAUAAUGGUAAACAAACGUAAUCAAAUUCAAAACAAUUCAAAGAAAUUUCAAACAAAUAAUAAAAUUUUUAAAGAAAUAUUAGAAUGAUCACAAAUUUUACUCAAAUAUAUGUCAAUUCAACCUUAAUUUAAUUCUAGUUAAAACCCUAUUGAAUUUCACUCAACUUUAGACCAAACCUAAUUGAAUUUUAAACCCUAAUAAUUCCUAAAUCCUAAGUCAAAUCCUAAACAAAUCUUAAAUUAAACCCUAUUUCAAACCCUAAAUCCUAAACCAAACCUUUAAUCAAAUCCUAACCAAAUCCUAAACCCUAAUCCAAACCCUAAUCCAAACCCUAAUCCAACCCUAAAAUCUAAUCCAAAUCUUAAACCCUAAACCAAACCUUAAAUCAAACCUUAACCAAACCUUAGUCCAAACUCUAAUCCAAACCCUAAAUCAAACCCUAAUCCAAAUCCUAAAUCAAACCCUAACCAAACCCUAAACCCUAAUCCAAACCCUAAUCCAAAUCCUAAGUCCUAAUCCAAAUCCUAAUCCAAAUCCUAAUCCAAAUCCUAAUCCAAAUUAUAAACCGAAUCCUAGCCAAACCCUAAUCCAAAUCCUAGUAAUUCCUAUGACAAAUUUAAACCUCAAUAUCUAAUGAAUAAACCAUUGAUCUCAAUUCAAAUUUGAAUACUUCUUAAAAAUCAAGUUCAAAACAAGCAAAAACAUUUUGAAAAGGAUCGGAGUUACCAAAUUGACGAAAACCUCAAAAAUAUGUUCGGGUGUUAGCCGGCCUCCUUCUCCAAACUUAUUGCCAAAAUUCAAGAGUCAAUUUCUCUUCUUUGCGCCGUUCAAUUGGUUUCAAAUUUCUCAUGGACAUAAGAAAACAAGUCUAAUAUCCUCUCACACAAGUUUUACUCCAGUCCAACUAGUAGAUUGCAUUAAAUCUUAAAAACCCUCACUAGACGUAAAAUUCUACUUUUUGAGACCUUGACUCACUUAAACCUCAAUAUCUCUCAUUUCAACCGUUAGAUCAAGCUCAAAUUUACAACAUGUAUUUAAAACAACUAUAACCAUGAACCAAAAAAAAUUCACUUGUAGAUCUACAACAAAACUCUCGAAAUCACUCAAAACAUAAACCCUAUUUUAUUUCAUAAAAUCCAAGUCAUCCGAAAAAAACUCAACUUUGCAAAGCUCUUACAAAUUCAUAUCAACUCCAAAUCACCCAAAAUCAAUGCCUAUAGAAACCCUAUUCAAUCUUCUCUCAAAUUCCACUCUCCGAACUGCCAAAGAGUCCCCGAGUCGUCGUCGAGACUCAGUUUUGUGCCUCAGGGUCUGAUUUCAACCUUGGUUCAUAACCGGCCCUCUCCGGGUAUCAAUAUCUAGUUUUUCUAAGUAAUUUUUUCCUAGAAUUUAUUCUUAACUUUCUUCUAAAGAUUCCUAUAUCAUUUAUUUUCCCAAUCUACUUUGAUUUGCCUUACUUAUGGUACUACAAAGUAAGUAGAAGUCACCUUUCUAAAAGGCAGCAUUGAUACCUUUUAAUUUUUCUACCCCUUUGGCUAUUAACUAUAUUUCUAAGAUAAUUUGUUCUAAUACUUUGAACUAAGAUCUCUUAAAUUAUAAUAAUCUCCACACUCUUUCACCUAUUAAUCGUAUUACAUCACGACAGCGCCGGAUAUCUGGCUAUAGGAGGUAGUAUGGUGUUUUGCUAGUACUCAAGCAAUCUAUCGUGUUCUUGACUACCUAAAUACAAUCACUAUCGGAUUGCAAUGUCAAAGCUCAAUUCCAAUAUAAAACCCCUACAGAUCCUAUAUAACUUCAAUCUCUUUUGUUAUUUUUAUUUUAUUUUAUUUAUUUUAUAUUUUUUAUUUUAUCUUUAUCGUUAAUUACCUUAAUCCUAGACCAUGAACUUUGACAAGUUGUGAUCCUCAAUCUAUCCCUCUGACUUAUUGUGAAACAUCUAUCACUAGUAUCUCUACAAGCCCUUUCGAAUGCUCAAGAAGUUCCAGUUCAAUCCCGCUUACAGAUUGUGAGGCUAUGCUGCAAUCCGCACAGAUGUCCUUUGGCCGCUCGCCAAUAUUCCUCUUAUCCAUGUUGAUAGGUCCCUAGUUAUCACAGAAACCCUAAACAAAUUCCAACUUGCCAACUCCCAAUACCUCUUUAAACUGUUGGUAGAUAUCUUCUAUCCGUACAAUCAGAUUAACACAACCAUGCAUGCAUUCAGCAUACUCAACCUUCUAGACAACUCUGAAUUUCAACCAUAGAAGUAUCUCCCAUUUCAUCAACAAUCAAGAGUACCAGCCUUUCCUAUCUUACGAAAAAAUCCAGUUUACCAAUACAACACUGACUUUCAGCAAUGAAUGCCUCAGUCUUUCCAAAAUCCUAUGAAGAAAAAAAAAUCCCAAUUCUUUGUCUUUUCCAAGCAUGAAGCUAGCUCUCCGAUCUAAAAACCUUGAUUCUCUCCCAUCCUAACCAUUUCUCGAAUAUUUUUCCUCCUCCUCUCUCAAACCCUAGUCUCUGAAUUUCUUCAAUCUUCCAUCUUGGAUCCGGAAUUGACUCCACCGUCAGAGCUUUCUCCUCUAUUGUUUGUCUUUUUAAAAGGUUCUUUUUCCGGAAACAAUGUUCCCUGAAACUGCACAGAGAACAGGACAACCAGAAACGGAAUCAAAACCCCCGUAAUUGGGACCACAUUGAGUCGCCCGACCAAAUCAGGUCUCAUAUUGGCUAAGAGGCCCGUAGUAAGACUUGGAUGUCCCCAUAAUUGGGUCAAAUUGGUCCUUUGCGUCAGGCUCGCUCAGUCAUCAAUUUAUUCCUUUCGAUUCUAUUGACUUCCACUAUUGGACUCGAACGGAGCAUUUCGUUACUAGUAAGUAUGUCUUGAUCGACUGUGAUGGGGUGUCUGAACUGGCCCCUGAAUAUUGGCACUGGAAUCGGUAGUUGCUUCCAAUAUUCGAGGUAACUGAACAUUAAUAAAAGUCCCCUUUCUUUAUAUUUUCACGGUAUACUCAUGUUACAACACGACAUCCACCCCCUCUGAACCUGUGCAUCCUCCGGUAUGCACCAAUUAACUUGCGAACCUCUAUUAAAGAAUCACAAUCCUCUUUCAUCCUUCCAAUUGCAUCAACUUUAGUCGGAUUUGAUUUUCUUCUGUAAGGUCCACAUAAAUGAUCAAGAAUCACAACCUCUUGUACUCGAAAUAUGGACUUCAUACUCGAUAAUGUAAGAUGAAUUUCUCCAAGCCGAGUUAAAAUCUUUUCACAAUCUUGUAUAUGAUCAACAACAUAUUUGCAACAUCCCGUCUUAUCUAAAGUUUCAUCCUUGUCUCCUUCUUUGCACCUUUUUAUAGGAACAUCAUCCAAAAAAGGCAUAGUCUUCUCCGGAAUAAAAUCUCUCAAUACCUUAUUCAUCUCAUUCAUCAUAUGCGCUACUGAGUUAGUGGCGCCUUGAGGAAGAGUGCACAUUCUAACCAAUCCAAGUGGUGUCGUCAUCGCCAUCAUAUCACUACUUUCUUCGGCAAGUUAAAAUUGAUCAUAACCUGAAUACAAGUCACCCAUUUAAUAGAUCGAUUGGAAUAGAAGAGCAUAUUGCAAAUUCAUCCACAAUAGGUCCAGAUGAAGAACAUUCUACAUCAACAUAUUGAAGAAUCGUUGGUACAUGCCGGAGGAUGCACAGAUUCAGGGGGGGUAGAUGUCAUGAUAUAACAUGAUUAAUAGGUGAAAGAGUGUGGAGAUUAUUAUAAUUUAAGAGAUCUUAGUUCAAAGUAUUAGAACAAAUUAUCUUAGAAAUAUAGUUAAUAGCCAAAGGGGUAGAAAAAUUAAAAGGUAUCAAUGCUGCCUUUUAGAAAGGUGACUUCUACUUACUUUGUAGUACCAUAAGUAAGGCAAAUCAAAGUAGAUUGGAAAAAUAAAUGAUAUAGGAAUCUUUAGAAGAAAGUUAAGAAUAAAUUCUAGGAAAAAAUUACUUAGAAAAACUAGAUAUUGAUACCCGGAGAGGGCCGGUUAUGAACCAAGGUCGAAAUCAGACCCUGAGGCACAAAACCGAGUCUCGACGACGACUCGGGGACUCUUUGGCAGAUCGGAGAGUGGAGUUUGAGAGAAGAUUGAAUAGGGUUUCUAUAGGCAUUGAUUUUGGGUGAUUUGGAGUUGUUAUGAAUUUGUAAGAGCUUUGCAAAGUUGAGUUUUUUUCAGAUGACUUGGGUUUUAUGAAAUAAAAUAGGGUUUAUGUUUUGAGUGAUUUCGAGAGUUUUGUUGUAGAUCUACAAGUGAAUUUUUUUUGGUUCAUGGUUAUAGUUGUUUUAAAUACAUGUUGUGAAUUUGAGCUUGAUCUAACGGUUGAACUGAGAGAUAUUGAGGUUUAAGUGAGUCAAGGUCUCAAAAAGUAAAAUUUUACGUCUAGUAAGGGUUUUUGAGAUUUCAUGCAAUCCACUAGUUGGAUUGGAGUAAAACUUGUGUGAGAGGAUAUUAGACUUGUUUUCCUAUGUCCAUGAGAAAUUUGAAACCAAUUAAACGGCGCAAAGAAGAGAAAUUGACUCUGGAAUGUUGGCAACAAGAUUGGAGAAGGAAGCUAGCUAACACCCGAACACAUUUUUGAGGUUUUAGUCAAUUUGGUAACUCCGAUCCUUUUCAAAAUGUUUUUGCUUGUUUUGAACUUGAUUUUUAAGAAGUGUGAAAAUUUUGAAUUGAGAUCGACGGUUUAUUCAUUAGAUAUUGAGGUUUAAAUUUGUCAUAGGAAUUACUAGGAUUUGGAUUAGGAUUUGGCUAGGGUUCGGUUUAGGGUUCGAUUUAGGGUUUGGAUUAGGGUUUGAAUUAGGAUUUAGGAUUUUGUGAGGGUUUGAUUUAGGGUUUGGAUUAGGAUUUGAUUUAGGAUUUGGAUUAGGGUUUGAUUUAGGAUUUGGAUUAGAGUUUGGACUAGGGUUUGAUUAGGGUUUGAUUUAAGGUUUGGUUUAGGGUUUAGGAUUUGGAUUAGAGUUUAAGGUUGGAUUAGGUUUACAGUUUGGAUUAGAGUUUGGACUAGGAUUUGGUUAAAAUUUGAUUUACGGUUUGGUUUAGAAUUUAGGAUUUAGAUUAGAAUUUAGGAUUGGAUUAGGAUUUAGGAUUUGGAUUAGAGUGUGGAUUAGGAUUUAGGGUUUGGUUAGGAUAUGAUUUAGAGUUUGGAUUAGGGUCUGAUUUAGGGUUUGGAUUAGGGUUUGAUUUAGGGUUUGAAUUAGGGUUUAGGGUUUAUUUAGGAUUUGAUUAAAGGUUUGGUUUAGGAUUUAGGAUUUGAAAUAGGGUUUAAUUUAAGAUUUAUUUAGGAUUUGACUUAGGGUUUAGGAAUUAUUAGGGUUUAAAAUUCAAUUAGGUUUGGUCUAAAGUUGAGUGAAAUUCAAUAGGGUUUUAACUAGAAUUAAAUUAAGGUUGAAUUGACAUAUAUUUGAGUAAAAUUUGUGAUCAUUCUAAUAUUUCUUUAAGAAUUUUAUUGUUUGUUUGAAAUUUCUUUGAAUUGUUUUGAAUUUGAUUAUGUUUGUUUACCAUUAUUAUAGUCUAAUUAGAGCAUUGUUAGUAUUUUAUUAGAAUUAGGAUUUUGUUAUCACAAUUUUUAUUCUUCUUUCUACAGCCAGGUACCCGGAGCAUUUUCGAGCAAAAUUUCACACAUUAUGACACCGUAAACCAUCGACUAGAAUAUUGUGCAAAUGAGGGUUCCAAUAUUUUCAUCUUCAUCUUUUCUUUUAAUAGUUCCACCAAUUUAGGUAAAUGUACCCUCGGUAUUGGAAUCGGUCUUAGAUUCCAAGGUACAUGUGGUACAGUGAAGAUAACCAUAGGUGUUAUAAUAUUCGGAUCCACACACCCAAUUUCAUAAGAUUUGAAGACAAACGAUCUACCUUGUUUAGCCAACAUCUUUUUGAAGCAAGUAAUUUCCUCCGACAAUAAAGAACCAUCAGAACCAAUCUUCAAUUCUUCAAAAGUCUCUUUAGUAAAUUGAUGUCCAGUACUAAUUGGAUCUCUUAAACUUGCUUCUUUUGAUGCUUCUCUCAUUUGUUCUUUAGAAUCUUCUGGUAAUGGUCCGGCAAUAGGCUUUACCUUCUUAUCUGCCGUUUUAUAUCUCGUCUCUACAGUGACUUCUGGUGCUUGAAAAGAUUCAAGUAUGGUAUAAACCUCUCUUGAAUGAAUCUCAACAAUCUUAUCAGUAUCCCCUAACCCAAUAAAUGUAAUCAAUUCCAAUGAAUCUUCUAGUCCAUUUUCUUCAUAAAUACCUAAAAUCCUCUCAUCAUCUUGCAAUGUACCCAAUUUGCAUAAUUUCCCUUCAAUAUUAUAUAAUCUUUUUCUUUCUUUUCUUUUAAAAUCAUCAACUUUCUUAUACAUAAUAUUUCCAUUCUCCAAAAUACCAAUAAAACUCCCAUCAAAGGCACCUUCAUCUCGCUUGAGUACCUCCUCUUUUGUACCUCCAUAAUCUCGCGUUACAGUGGUACCUCCCUAAAAUCCUUAAAUCCUUCAACAAUCUUUGGCAAUCGUUUCUCCCUCAACCUAUCUCAAUUCCGUUCAUGGGUAGGAGGUACUGUUAGAAAUUGUACAACUUUCCUUCCAUCUUUGCUACGUAUCCUUACAUAAGCAGAACCAUCGUCAAGUACUUUUCUUUCCAUCCAUGUUGUCGUAAUAUAAGGUUGUCCUAAAAUCAAUGGAUAAGAUGUUGUAUCUUGAACAAAGAAAUGUUGCUCCGUCGCAACAUCCUCAAUCCGAAUUUUGACAUCUGGACAAGCUCCAUAUAAUUCGCCUUGUGUGUUAUUAGCUGCUAGCAUUGCCCAUCCAUGUUCCAUAUCAAUUGGCCAUUUUUACUUCUUAUAAAGAUCUUUAGACAUGAGAUUUAUUUCAGAACCAUGGUCGACUAAAGCAACAAUUGGUUCUUCUAUAUCUCCCACUUUCACCAAUACCUCAGUAGUUGCCCUUGUCCAAUGCUUUCGAGUAUAAUGGCUCAAAGUUUCCAUUUCCUUAUUACUAUAAUCUUUGAAACAUACUCAUUGAUUAUAUCCAUUCUUUUCAUUUGUUGGUUGCUUGUAAUCAAUAUCAACCUCUUCUUCAUCUUUAUAUAUUCUUGCAUCAAUAGCUUGACUCAUUCCAAUUUCACCCAUUAAUUGCCUCUUUUGCUUAACGCUGUUAAUAAUAACAUCAUAAAAUUCUUUCUUUGCAAUUCCCAAGACUUCUUUCAAUGUGAAUUCCACCUUAGCGUUUAAUAUACAUUCUUCCAACAUCCCUUUCAAAUUUGUUGCCGCUUCAAUAUCAGAAAGUAGCUUAUAAGCAAUUGAUUUGCCCUUAUCUUUUGUCUCCUUUGUUUUUUUUUCCAAUGAUGUUGAGAUAUCUUUUACAGGCAAUUCUUGUGAAGCUGCCUCCCGAGCCUUGUCUCCUCGAGUUUGCCUCUUAGAAGAAUUUCCUUCUCUCGUAUCAUCAAAAUUUCCUCGUCUCUUUUCUUCCAUCAAAGCUUUAUGUUGGCUCUUAGCAAUAUAUGCAUGAAUUGAAAGAGACUCAACAGGAUCCUCUCAACCUGUUCUACCUCAUAUUGUAGGUGCAGUCCUCAAUAACGCUUCUCGAGGUAAUUUCCCUUCUUACAUUGUAGAAACGGCAGAAGUCCAAAACUCACUAGUUCCGUACUUCCACCAAGGUCAUCAUCUACUUUAGCACCAUAACUUGCACUUUCUCGUGCUGAUGUUUCAUGCUCUUUUAGGUAAUCUUGAACCAAUGCUCUCAUUUCUCCCUUGCCAAAAUUGGUUUGAAGAAGAUUCUUCCUAUUUUUUAAUGUUAUCUUUCCAUCUUUCUAACAAAUAAUUUCUUGCCGUAUCAUAUUAUUAAAUUCAUUGCAAUCUUUUCUAGUGUGUGAAGCAUCAUCACACCAAAUGCAUCUUUGUAUAUAUCCUUGUUUUGAAACAUUCUUCAAAUUAUUUGUAGAAAUAUUCUCUUCAAGUCUUGCUAAUUUGAUUUAAAGAUCUCGCAUUCCUCGUAUAAUUUGUUCCAUCCCCAUAUCUGCUUUCUUUGAUAAGGAUGUCGAAGGUUGAACUGAAGGCAUUGUUAGUGGUGUUGUACGUAUUGGAGCUUUGGGUGCUUUUACUAUUUUCAGAAUAAUGCUCCUAUCCUUCCUCCUUUCUCUUUUUGCAAGCAAUCCCACUGCAUCUUCAACGUUCUUCCACUUUGUUGUCAAUCCUUCAUCUUCUUCUUUGUCAUCAAGAAGGAGUUCUAAUUUCCCUUGUAAUUCUCCAUCAGCAGUUUGAAGAAAUAGAUCAACUUUGUUUGGCUCCAAUGUCAAUUUUUCUACCUUCGAUAAUUGAAAGUACUGCCUUUCAAAUUCCCUUAGUAGCUCUAUUGCUUGCAAAUUCUUAUUAGGCCGUUCAAUCCAUUCCAAAAAUAGCUUCUUAGUAAUGCGAUCAGCAUCUUCCAAGAAUAUUCGUCUUUCAAUGCAUGUNNNNNNNNNNNNNNNNNNNNNNNNNNNNNNNNNNNNNNNNNNNNNNNNNNNNNNNNNNNNNNNNNNNNNNNNNNNNNNNNNNNNNNNNNNNNNNNNNNNNUGUAAUAUGGUCUUUUAUCUCUAGUAUCGUAGCAAGUCCAAAUAAUUCAACCAUUUUCUUCUCAGAAACUCAAUUUAAUUCCAUUUCACAAACAUAACAUCUUAAAUACCUUGAAAUAUUCUUCCAUCAAAUUGAUCAAUUUUAUUGACCACUGCUUGUAAUGCUUUGGUUGUCAAAGCUUCCUUUCGAUCAUUGCUUUGCUAUUGCUGCAUCGAUAAUGAGAAGGCUUAAAACAUACUAGCAAUAGACGGAUCCAUGUGCAUACCUUGUCCUUUAGAAGACUCCCCACCAGAAACUCCUCCCAAAAAUUCUUCAAAAAUUUUAUUUUUCGUUCUUCAUAAAAAUAAAAAUAAAAUCAAACGAAAUCUAAUACCUUCUACUUUAAGCUUUUACGUCGGAUCCAUCACUUAUGUCAUAUUAUGUCCUAUCUUGCUUGAGAAUGCACCGGUGUCGUGUUGUAACACGAGUAUACAGUGAAAAUAAAAAGAAAGGAGAAUUUUAUUAAUAUUCAGUUACCUCGAAUAUUGGGAGCAUCAACCAACUCCAGUACAAAUACUGAGUGGUCAGGUUCAGUCACUCCGUUACAGUCAGCCGGGGCAUACUGAAAUGAUCCAUUCGAUUCCAAUAACGAGAGUCAGCAGGAAGAGAAGGACCAAUUCACACGACGGGUUCGAGGAGCCAAUUGGAUCCAAUUUCGAUAAUCCAAUCCGGGUCCUCUUAUCCAAUAUGAGACCUGAAUUGGCCGGUCAAUCCAAUGCAGUCUAAUUACGAGAAAUCCAGGUCUUACUACGGGUCUUAGCCAAUUUGACGCGAGGACCAAUUUGACCCAAUUAUGGGAACAUCCAGGUUACUAUGGGCAUCUUUCCCAAUAUAGGACCUGAAUUGGUCGGGCGACUCAAUGUGGUCCCGAUUACGGGGUUCGAUUCUGUUUCAGGCUGUCCUGUUCUCUGUGCCGUUUCAGGGAACGUUGUUUUCGGUAAAUGGAUUUCUUAAAGGUAAAAACGGAGGAGAAAGCUUGACGGCGAGAGCCAAUUUCGGAUCCAAGCUUGAGGUGGGAGCCAAUUCCGGAUCUAAGACGGAAGAUUGAAGAAAUUCAGAGGAUAAGGUUAGGGGGGGAUAUAGUUUUGAGGAGGGAGGUUUUCUUUUCGGGGGUUUUUUGGAUCAAGGAGCUAGCUUCAAGCUCUUUUCGAGGUUACUAGUUCGGUUUUCAUUGGAGGUUUUUGGAAGAUCAAGGGAAUUAGAGAGAGGAGCUUCAUGCUUCGGGUCGGGGAAGGAAAGACAUAGAAUUUGGAUUUUUCUUCUUCGUAGAGUUUUGGGACGACUGAGGCAAUCGCUGCUGAAGUCAGUGUUGUAAUGGUGAAUCGGGAUUUUUAAAUGAAGUGGGUUUGAAUACUCUUGACUGUUUUGUAAAAUCGAAUUACGUCUGUGAUUGAAGGAUUAAAGGGGUGUCUAUAGGAUUGAGUAUGCGGAGUGAAUGAAAUUUAUUGGGUUAAUCUAACAAGACAGUCAGUGGAUACAAGAUCGUAAGUACAAAGGGGUAUUGAAGAUUAACAGUUUGGGUUGUUCGGGGUUCUCUGUAACGUCUAGAGACCUACCGGCUGGGGCAAAAAAAGGACUUCGACAAGCAGUCAAAGGCAUCAGUAAAGAUUUACGGUAUAUUCUUGCAGUUGUUUAUAUUCCAGCAGUAAAAACUGAUAGACUGCUUGACUAUCGGCGGAUCUCCAUACUACCUUCUACAGCCAGUCGCCCGACGCGUUCUCGAGCAGGAAAGCACGUAAUACGACAUAAGUGGUGUAGUUGUAGAAGGUAGUAUGGUGUUUUGUUAGUACUCAAGCAAUCUAUUGUGUUCUUGACUGCCUAAAUACAAUCUAUAUCGGAUUGCAAUGUUAAAGCUUAAUUCUAAUAUAAACGCCUAGAGACUCUAUAUAACUUCAAUCUCUUUUGUUAUUUUUAUUUUAUUUUAUUUAUUUUAUAUUUUUUAUUUUAUCUUUAUCGUUAAUUACCUUAAUCCUAGACUAUGAACUUUGGCAAGUUGUGAUCCUCAAUUUGUCCUCCCGACUUGUUGUGAAACAUCUAUCGCUAGUGUCUCUGCAAGUCUUUUCGAAUGCUCAAGAAGUUCCAAUUCAAUCCCGCUUACAGAUUGUGAGGCUAUGCUGUAAUCCGCAAUGAUGUCCAUUGGCCGCUCGCCGAUAUUCCUCUUAUCCUUGUCGGUAGGUCCCCAGUUAUCACUGAAACCCUAAACAAAUCCCAACUUGCCAACUCCCAAUACCUCUUUAAACUAUCGGCAGAUAUCCUCUAUCCGUACAAUCAGAUUAACACAACCACGCAUGCAUUCAGCAUACUCAACCUUCUAGACAACUCUAAAUUUCAACCACAGAAGUAUCUCCCAUUUCAUCAACAAUCAAGAGUACCAGCCUUUCCUCUCUUACGGAAAAAUCCAGUUUACCAAUACAACACUGACUUUCAGCAACGAUUGCCUCAGUCUUUCGAAAAUCCUUUGAAAAAAAAAAAAUCCCAAUUCUUUGUCUUUUUCGAGCAUGAAGCUAGCUCUCCGAUCUAAAAACCUUGAUUCUCUCCCAUCCUAACCAUUUCUCGAAUGUUUUUCCUCCCCCUCUUUCAAACCUUAGUCUCUAAAUUUCUUCAAUCUUCCAUCUUGGAUCCGGAAUUAGCUCCACCAUUGUUGUAUUACGUACUUUCUUGCUCGAGAAUGCGCCGGGCGUCUAGCUAUAGAAGUUAGUAUGGAGAUUCACCAAUAUUCAAGCAGUCUAUUGGUUUUUGACUCUUGGAAUAUAAACGACUGCAAGAAUACAUCGUAAAUCUAUACAGAUGCCCUUCGACUCCUUGCCGAAGUCCUUUUUGCCCCAACCGAUAGGCCUCUAGACGUUAUAGAAAACCCCGAACAACCCAAACUGCUAAUCUUCGAUACCGCUUUGUACUCACGAUCUUACAUCCACUGACUAUCUCGUUAGAUUAACCCAAUAAAUUACAUUCACUCCGCAUACUCAAUCCCAUAGACGCCCUUUUAAUUCUUCAUGACAGACGUAACUCGAUUUCACAAAACAGUCAAGAGUAAUGACACCUACUUCAUUAAAAAUCUCGAUUCCAUUACAACACUGACUUCAGCAACGAUUGCCUCAGUCUUCCCAAAACCCUAUGAAGAAAAAAAAAAACCCCAAAUCUCUGUCUUUUUUCCCCUCCGAAGCAUGAAGCUAGCCCUUUGAUCCUUCUCAAAACUUCCUAACUUCUUCUCUCCUCCCCCUCCCAUUUCUUAACCUAUCUUCCCCUUUAACCCUAAUUCUCCUCUCUUUCAAAUCCUAGCCUUUGAAUUUCUUCAAUCUUCUAUCUUGGAUCUGGAAUUGGCUCCGUUGUUAGAACUUUCUCUUCCGUUUUUACCUUUAAGAGAUCCUUUUACCGAAAGGACGUUCCCGGAACGGCACAAAGGACGGAAUAGCCUGAAACGGAAUUGGAGCCCCGUAAUCGGGACCACAUUGAAUCGCCCGACCAAUUCAGGUCUCAUAUUGACUAAGAGGCCCGUAGCAAGACCUGGAUGUUCCCAUAGUUGGACCGCAUUGGGUUGCCCGACCAAUUCAGGUCUCAUAUUAGGUAAAACCUGGAUUGGAUGUCUUGAAAUUGGAUCCAAUUGGCUCUUCGAACCAAGCUCAUCCGUCGUUGAAUUGGUCCUUUCCCUUCCUGUUGACUCACGUUAUUGGAAUCGAACGGAGCAUUGCAGUAUGCCCCGGCUGACUGUAAUGGAGUGACUAAACCUGGCCUCCCAGUAUUUGCACUGGAAUUGGUCGUUGCUCCCAAUAUUCGAGGUAACUGAACAUUAAUAAAAGUUCCCUUUCUUUAUAUUUUCAUGGUAUACUCGUGUUACAAUACGACACUAUCAGAGCUUUCUCCUCCAUUUUUUGCCUUUUUAAAAGGUUCUUUUUUCGGAAACAACAUUCUCUGAAACGGCACAAAGAACAGGACAGCCAGAAACGGAAUCAAAACCCCCAUAAUUGGGACCACAUUGAGUUGUCCGACCAAAUCAGGUCUCAUAUUGGCUAAGAGGCCCGUAGUAAGACCUGGAUGUUCUCGUAAUUGGGUGAAAUUGGUCCUUCGCAUUAGGCUUGCUCAGUCAUCAAUUUAGUCCUUUCGAUUCUGUUGACUCCCACUAUUGGACUCAAACAGAGCAUUUCAUUAUUGGUAAGUAUGCCCUGACCGACUGUGACGGGGUGUCUAAACUGACCCCUGAAUAUUGGCAUUGGAAUCAGUCGUUGCUCCCAAUAUUCGAGGUAACUGAAUAUUAAUAAAAGUCCCCUUUCUUUAUAUCUUUACGGUAUACUCAUAUUUCAACACGACACCGUAAUGAAUCAUGAUCUCUCAAUCUAUUAUUAAUAGCAAUUUAUAAACUUUGGACUUCCAAUUCAAUAAGUAAGAUUACUUCUUAGCCAUAAACCAAUUAGAAAGAGGUAGCAUUGGUAGUAACUUUAUAUACAGUACGGUAUGCCCAUAAAGCUGCGAACAACUUAGUGUCCCAAUCUGUUCCCGCUCUUGAAACUAUUUUUGUUAAGAUUUUACAUAAAAUUCCAUUAGUCUUUUCCAUUUGUCCAUUGGCUUUAGGAUGAUACAGUGUAGUCUUUCGAUGUUUUAUCUCGUAUUUAGCCGUGAGUGCUUCGAUUGUACUAUUUGUAAAAUGAGUUCCUCAAUUACUAACUAAUUCUCGUGGAUAACUGAACCAUGUAAUAAUAUUUUUAUACAAAAAGACUGCUACUAUACUUACACUAUCGAAUUUUGUAGCUACAGCUUCAACCCAUUUUGUUAUGUAAUCCGUUGCUAUCAGUAUAUACCAUUUUUGUUCAUUUCUCGAGGUUGGUGCAAUUGGUCCCACAAAAUCAAUUCCCUAUUUUUUAAAAGGUACUUGAGUCAAAAUUGGUACCAAUGGCAUUGUUGAAGUUCCAAUAGGUUGACUCGUUCUCUCAUAUGGGUCAUAAUAAUGGACAAAUUGGUAGACAUCUGCAAACAUUGUUGGCCACCAAUAAUUAGCUUGUAAAGCUUUACGAGCCGUGCUGUCCCUCGUAAAAUAUCCACCACAACUAUCCAAGUGGCAACCUUCCAAUAUAGUACGCACUUCAGUCUGAUAAAUACAGCGUCGCAAAACUCCAUCCUUGCUUUGUUUAUAUAAAGCUUCACCAACCAUCGUAUAAGGUGCUUAUUUUAAUAUUAAGUAGCGUUUAAGCUUUUUAUUGAAAUUGGAUGGGAAGGUUUGAAAUGUCAAUUAUUGAAUUAUUUUACUAUACUCAGGAGUAAUUAAAUCUAUCGCAAAUAGUUCUGCGUCGAGUAGUGCAUCGUUAAUGGGUUCAUUACUCAAUAUAUUGGAUAAUCAAGAUAAAUGGUCCGCAUUGGAAAGUGAUUUUCUUGGUCUUACCUGAAUAGUAAAGUCAAAUAUCCACAAGAGUAGAACCUAUCGUGCAAUACAACCAUUCAAUUGAGGCUUAUUUAUCAUAUAUUUUAAAGCAUCAUGGUCGACAUGGAAAAUAAAUUUAUAACCAAGAAGAUAAUGUCGAAACUUUUGUACGGAAUAAAUCAUUCUCAAUGUUUUUCUUUCGGUUGUUCUAUAAUUUCUUUCAGUUGCUACCAAUUGAAAAUUUACGUAAUAAAUAGGGUAAUCAAAAUCCUGAUCAUCUUUCUGGCUUAGUAUAGAAUCAAGCGCAAAAUUAGAUGCAUCUACAUAAACUUGGAAUGGUUUUGUCCAACAAGGUGCCACCAAUAUUGGUGCUGAAACUUAUUUCUAUUUCAAUGUUUCAAAUAUAAUUAUACAUUCCCUUGCCCAAAAUAGACUGGUUCCAUCGAUUGGUGGUUUUUUCAAGAGAUUUGUCAAAGAAAGGCAUAUAACUGCAAAUAGAUAGAUAAAUCAUCGAUAAUAACUGACAUGGCUGACAAAUACUCAAACACGUGUAAUAGUGUCUAGUUGCUUUAAUUCUACUAUAAUCUUUAUUUUAUCCAAAUCUGUAGCAAUGCUUGCCAUUGAAACUAUAUGACUCAACAGUUUACCAAAAAGCACACCAAAUUGGUACUUUUUCAAAUUUAAAGAAAUUCCAUAUUUGGCAAUUGAUUCAGAUAUUGACCGAGACAUUCUAAAUACCUGGCUCUCGUACUAAAUGUAUAGAAAUUAUCUAAUAAUAUUUCCAUUGAAAUUCGUAGAUAAUCCUAAAACGCUUACGUCAUUAUCCUUUGAAAUAUAGCUAGUGCAUUACAAAGCCCAAACGGUUUAACCUUAUAGGCAAAGGUCCCCAAUCCGUAGUAAAAGUAAUUUUUAAUUGGUCUUCUUUUACAAUCUUAAUUUGAUUAUAAUUGGAGAAUCCAUCAAGAAAUGAAUAACAUUCAUGUCCAGCGACGAUAUCCAAUAUACUAUCCGUGAAUGGUAAAGUAAAAUAAUCCUUCUUGGUAGCUACAUUUAAUUUUUGGAAAUCUUGACAAAUUCAAAUUUUUUCAUUCUUUUUUGACACCAUAACAAUUGAUCAAAUCCAUUCAUUGAAAGGAACCAGAUAGAUAAAUCCAAUCUCCAUGAGUUUAUCUAGCUCUUCUUUUACCAUAAGUGAAUAUUUUGGAUUAAGUCGAUGUUGUCUUUGGCAUUGUCGUAUUACGUGCUUUCCUGCUUGAGAACGCGCCGGGCGACUGGCUGUAGAAGGUAGUAUGGAGAUUCACCAAUAGUCAAGCAGUCUAUCAGUUUUUGACUGUUGGAAUAUAAACGACUGCAAGAAUACACCGUAAAUCUAUACGGAUGCCCUUCGAUUGCUUGUCGAAGUCCUUUUUGUCCUAGCCGGUAGGUCUCUAGACAUUACAGAGAACCCCGAACAAUUCAAUCUACUAAUCUCCGAUAACGCUUUGUACUUACGAUCUUGUAUCCACUGAUUGUCUUGUUAGAUUAAUCCAAUAAAUUUCAUUCACUCCGCAUACUCAAUCCUAAAGACAUCCUUUUAAUCCUUCAAUCACAGACGUAACUCGAUUUCACAAAACAGUCAAGAGUAAUCAAAUCCACUUCAUUAAAAAAUCUCGAUUCACCAUUAUAACACUAACUUCAGCAACGAUUGCCUCAGUCUUCCCAAAACUCUAUGAAGAAGAAAAAUCCAAUUCUCCGUCUUUUCUUCCCCGACCCAAAGCAUGAAGCUCUUCUCCAAUCCCCUUGAUCUUCAAAAACCUCCAAUGAAACCGAACUAGUAAUCUUGAAAAGAGCUUGAAGCUAGCUCAUUGAUCCAAAAACCCCCCCCCCAAAACUUAUUCUCUCCCUAACCUUAUCCUCUGAAUUUCUUCAAUCUUCCGUCUUAGAUCCGGAAUUGGCUCCUAUCGUCAGAGCUUAGAUCCAAAAUUGGCUCCCAUCGUCAGAGCUUCCUCCUCCAUUUUUACCUUUAAGAAAUCCAUUUACCGAAAACAACGUUCUCUGAAACGGCACAGAGAAUAAGACAGCCUGAAACAGAAUCGAAACCCCGUACUCGGAUCCACAUUCAGUCGCCCGACCAAUUCAGGUCUCAUAUUGGGUAAGAUGCCCGUAGUAACCUAGAUGUUUGCGUAAUUGGGUCAAAUUGGUCCUUCGCUUCAAACUGGCUGAGGCCCGUAGUAAGACCUGGAUUUUCUCGUAACUAGACUACAUUGGGUUGCCCGACCAAUGCAGGUCUCAUAUUGGGUAAGAUGCCCGUAGUAACCUGGAUGUUUGUGUAAUUGGGUCAAAUUGGUCCUUCGCGUCAGACUGACUGAGGCCCGUAGCAAGACCUGGAUUUUCCCGUAACUAGACUGCAUUGGGUUGCCCGACCAAUGCAGGUCUCAUAUUGGGUAAGAUGCCCGUAGUAACCUGGAUGUUCGCGUAAUUGGGUCAAAUUGGUCCUUCGCGUCAGACCAGCUCAGGCCCGUAGUAAGCUGGAUUUUCUCGUAACUAGACUGCAUUGGGUUGCCCGACCAAUGCAGGUCUCAUAUUGGGUAAGAGGAUCCGGAUUGGAUUCUUGAAAUUGGAUCCAAUUGGCUCUUCGAACCAGCUCACCUGUCGUAUGAAUUGGUCCUUUCUCUUCCUGCUGACUCCCGUUAUUGGAAUCGAAUGGAGCAUUUCAGUAUACCCCUGCUGAUUGUAAUGGGGUGACUGAACCUGGCCACUCAGUAUUUGUACUGGAGUUGGUCGUUGCUCCCAAUAUUCGAGGUAACUGAACAUUAAUAAAAGUCCCCUUUCUUUAUAUUUUCACGGUAUACUCGUGUUACAAUACGACAUCCACCCCCUCUGAACCUAUGCAUUCUCCUGUAUGCACCAAUUUAUCCAAUUGCUGUUUGAUUCAGAAUAUAUCCUUUACAUCUUUGUCCUGUUCGUCUUCGUCACCUUCAUUAUCCAAAUCACUUUCAUCUUCUUGAUGCGGAAUCUCUAUACCUUCAUUAAGGUCUUCCAUGUUCAUCUCCGCAUGUCUUCCCUUAAAUAUUUUUACUUGCUUCCCUGCAAUUGGUAUUUUCAAUUUCGUACGAUCUAACUCCCGUAAUGAGUAAGUCGCAUUAUCAUGAACAGUUGUUACUACAUAUGGUCCAAACCAACGUUUUGAAAAUUUCUACAAAGUAGUAUGUUGAUUAUCCAGACUAUUAUCAUAAACAAGUACCCAGUCACCUUCCUCGAUUGCUUCUGGUCUCAAUCGAUGUUGCUUAUCGAAUCGUGCCUUGUUUUGUAACCUUGCUCUUUUUAACCUUUCCAAUGCUAUCUGGACAUCUUCCGUUUUUUGCUCCAAUUGUCGAAUCCUAAUAGCCAGAAGUUCUUCUCUUGUCAAUCCAUCUUCCCAUGGUAGUAUAUUCCAAGUAAGUACCUUUUCUUCAAUCAACAUAAUUGGUUUUUGACCUGUCAUAAGUUCUACUGGCAUAUAUCCUGUCACCAAACUAUGUGUUGUUCGAUCAGCCCAUAAUGUAAAUGACAAAAGCCGUGGCCACUCUUUAACUUUCCCAUUACAAGCUUUAACUAAUGCUUUCACAAUCGGUGGGUGACCGCAUUCGUUUUUUGCAUUCCCUUUCAGAUUAUAAGCAGUAGUCAGUGAUAGUUGAACUCCACAUCUUUCAAAGAACUUACGAGCUUCUUGUGCAUUUAAUUCUCCACGAUCUGCAGUGAUUUUUCCUACGCACCCGUAAUGGCAAAUGACAUCUUCAAGCAAAAACCUACAAAUCUCCUCUGUAGAUUUUAUCCUCAAUGCUCUUCCUUCUACUUGAUUUGAUAAAUCUUCACGAGCUAAAACCAAAUAUCUCAUCUGCCAUAAUCCAACCAGCAUAAUAACCAAAUCAACAACCCAUUUAAAAUGAAUAGCCAGAGGAUAUGUAGGAUGAAGACCAUCUCGAUGUCGGAUAUUAGAAUACGAUUGACAGAUUUUACAUGACUCUACAAAUGAAAGCACAUCUCGAUACAUAUUUUUCCACCAAUAUCGUUCCUUGAGUUUAGCAAAAGUAGCCCAAAUUCCUCUAUGCCCUGCCCAUAAACUAUCAUGAAACUCCUUUAAUAAUUUCAAUCUUUCUUCCUUUUUGCCUAUCAUUCGUUGUGGCAUCUCAAUUCCUUUCUUCGGUCUCUUCCAUAAGAAUCCAUCUUGAAGUAAAAAUCCAUAUGUUUUUUUCUUAUUUGUUUGAAUUUUUCUGGAGAUCAAUUCCCCUGCUUAGUCAAGGUAUUCAGGUAAUGACCAAUAUCCAAUAAUUCUCUUUCAUAAGAUUCUUCAAGAAAUAGCUUGUCUUCUCUGUUGAGAUUUGAUAUUGAAUAGAAUUUCAAUCCGACGUCAUCAAUGUCUUCAACCAUUUUGUCCUCCCUCUCGUGUCUUGCUCGAGAUAGCAUGUCUGCUACUAAAUUGUCCUUCCUAGUAAUAUGCUUAAAUUUUGGAUUUAGUGACUUAAUAUAAGCAAUUCAUCUCAACAUUGCAAUAUCAGGCGUUGAACAGUUAAUAAUCAUUCCAAGCAAUGACAAUCAAUCUGUUUCAAUUACUACUACUGCCCCAAUCAAAUAGUCCUUUUCAGCUUUCAUAGCUGAAACGACUCCCCAAAGUUUUCUUUUGACUUGCGAAUAUGCACGCUGACGAAUAUUUAAAACUUUAGCCCCAAAUCGAACUGCAAAUCUACUCCCAUUUGAAUCAUCUUGACCCACAGCCCAUCCAAUGGCAAUUGGACUAGCGUCCACAGUAAGAAUCAUUGGUCUAUUGCACUUAUAAUCAACCUUCCUCAAUAUUGGAGGUGACAUCAAUAAUUUCUUCAAUCUUUGCAUUGUCUGAAUAUGCCUUUCUUUCCAUUUAAAUCGGUAACCCUUGCGUAACAGUUCAUAUAAUGGAUCCGCUAUGUGAGCAAAAUGAGGGAUCCAGAUUCGAUAAAAUAUACAUGCACCCAAAAACCUGCGAACCUCUGUUAAAGAAUCACAAUCUUCUUUCAUCCUUCCAAUUGCAUCAACUUUAGUCGGAUUUGGUUUUCUUCUGUAAGAUCCACAUAAAUGUCCAACAAUUACAACCUCUCGUACUCCAAAUACGGACUUCAUACCCAAUAAUGUAAGAUGAACUUCUCCAAGCCGAGUUAAAAUCUUUUCACAAUCUUGUAUAUGGUCAACAACAUAUUUGCGACAUCCCUUCUUAUCUAAAGUUUCAUCCUUGUCUCCUUCUCUAUACCCUUUUAUAGGAACAUCAUCCAGAAAAGGCAUAGUCUUUUCUGAAAUAAAAUCUCUCAAUACCUUAUUCAUCCCAUUCAUCAUAUACGCAACUGAGUUGGUCGCGCCUUGAGGAAGAGUACACAUUCUAACCAAUCCAAGUAGUGUCCUCAUUGUUGUCACAUCUCUACUUCCUUCGGCAAGUUGAAAUUGAUCAUAACCUGAAUACAAGUCAUCCAUUGAAUAGAUUGCCCUUCCAGCAAACGCCUCAGCAAAUUCAUCCACAAUAGGUCCAAUUCCUGCAUUCCUGACAGUUACAGCAUUCACCGGUUGCAUAUCUUGAAUAAACCGUAGUGACCCAUUCUUCUUAGGUACCGUAAACCAUCGACUAGAAUACGACGCAAAUGAAGGUUUUAAUAUUUUCAUCUUUAUCUUUUCUUUCAAUAGUUCCACCAAUUUAGGUAAAUGUGCCCUCGGUACUGGAAUCGGUCUUAGAUUCCAAGGUACAUGCGGUACAGUGAAGAUAACCAUAGGUGUUAUAAUAUUUGGAUCCACACACCCAAUUUCAUGAGAUUCGAAGGCAAACGAUCUACCUUGUUUAGCCAACAUCUUUUUGAAGCAAGUAAUUUCCUCCGACAAUAAAGAACCAUCAGAACUAAUCUUCAAUUCUUCAAAAGUCUCUUUAGUAAACUGAUGUCCAAUACUCAUUGGAUCUCUUAAACUUGCUUCUUUUGAUGCUUCACCCAUUUGUUCUUUAGAAUCUUUUGGUAGUGGUCGGGCAAUAGGCUUUACCUUCUUAUCUGUCGUUUUAUAUCUCGUCUCUACAGUGACUUCUAGUGCUUGAAAAGAUUCAAAUAUGGUAUAAAUCUCUCUUAAAUGAAUCUCAACAAUCUUAUCAUUAUCCCCUAAUCCAAUAGAUGUAAUCAAUUCCAAUGAAUCUUCCAGUCCAUUUUCUUCAUAAACACCUAAAAUCCUCUCAUCAUCUUGCAAUGUAGCUAACUUGGAUAAUUGUCCUUCAAUAUCAUAUAAUCUUUUUCUUUCUUUUCUUUUAAAAUCAUCAACUUUCUUAUACAUAAUAUUUCUAUUCUCCAAUAUACCAAUAAAACUCGCAUCAAAAGUACCUUCAUCUAGCUAGAGUACCUCCUCUUUUGUACCUCCAUAAUCUCGCUUUACAGUGGUACCUCCCCAAAAUCCUUAAAUCUUUAAACAAUCUUUGGCAAUGGUUUUUCCCUCAACCUAUCUCGAUUCCGUUCAUGGUACGGAGGUACUGUUAGAAAUUAUACAGCUUUCCUCCCAUCCUCGCUACGUACCCUUGCAUAAGCAGAACCAUCGUCAAGUACUUUUGUUUCCAUCCGUGUUGCUGUAAUAUAAGGUUGUCCUAAAAUCAACGAAUAAGACAUUGUAUCCUGAACAAAGAAAUGUUGCUCCAUCGCAACAUCCCCAAUCUGAAUUUUGACAUCUGGACAAGCUCCAUAUAAUUCGCCCCAUGUGUUAUUAGCUGCUCGAAUUGCCCAUCCAUGUUCCAUAUCAAUUGGCCAUUUUUGCUUCUUAUAAAGAUCUUUAGACAUGAGAUUUAUUUCAGAACCAUGGUCCACCAAAGCAACUAUUGGUUCUUCUAUAUCUCCUACCUUCACCAAUACCUCAGUAGUUGCCCUUGCCCAAUGCUUUCGAGUAUAAUGGCUCAAAGUUUCCAUUUCCUUAUCAUUAUAAUCUUCGAAAUGUACUCGUUGAUUAUACCCAUUCUUUUCAUUUGUUGGUUGCUUGUAACCAAUAUCAACCUCUUCUUCUUCUUUAUAUAUUCUUGCAUCAAUAGCAUGACUCAUUCCAGUUUCGCUCAUUAAUUGCCUCUUUCGCUUAAUGCUGUCAAUGAUAACAUCAUGAAACUCCUUCUUUGCAAUUCCCAAGACUUCUUUCAAUGUGAAUUCCACCUUAGCGUUUAAUAUAAGUUCUUCCAACACCCCUUUCAAAUUUGUUGCUGCUUCAAUAUCAAAAAGUAGCUUAUAAGCAAUUGAUUUGCCCUUAUCUUUUGUCUCCGUUGUUCUUUCUCCCAAUGAUGCUGAGGUAUCCUUUACAAGCAAUUCUUGUGAAGCUGCCUCCCGAGCCUUGUCUCCUCGAGUUUACUUCUUAGAAGAAUUUCCUUCUCUAGUAUCAUCAAAAUUUCCUCGUCUCUUUUCUUCCAUCAAAGCUUCAUGUUGGCUCUUAGCAAUAUAUGCAUGAAUUGAAAGAGACUCAACAGGAUCCUCCAAACCUGUUCUACCUCGUAUUGUAGGUGCAGUUCUCAAUAACGCUUCUCGAGGUAAUUUUCCUUCUUGCAUUGUAGAAAUAGCAGAAGCCCAAAACUCACUAGUUUUUGUACUUCCUCCAAUUUCAUCAUCUACUCAAGCAUCAUAACUUGCACUUUCUCGUGCUGCUGUUUCAUGCUCUUUUAGGUAAUCUUGAACCAAUGCUCUCAUUUCUCCCUUGUCAAAAUUGGUUUGAAGAAGUUUCUUCCUAUCUUUCAAUGCUAUCUUCCCAUCUUUCUAGCAAAUAAUUCCCUGCCGUAUCAUAUUAUUAAAUUCAUUGCAAUAUUUUCUAGUGUGUGAAGCAUCAUCACACCAAAUGCAUCUUUGUACAUAUCCUUAUUUUGAAACAUUCUUCGAAUUGUUUGUAGAAGUAUUCUCUACAAGUCUUGCCAAUUUGAUUUGAAGAUCUCGCAUUCCUCGUAUAAUUUCUUCCAUACCCAUAUCUGCUUUCUUUGACAAGGAUGUCGAAGGUUGAACUGUAGGCAUUGUCGGUGGUGUUGUACGUACUGGAGCUUUGGGUGCUUGUACUGUUUUCGGAAUAUUACUCCUAUCCUUCCUCCUUUCUUUUUUUGUAAGCAACCCCACCGCAUCUUCACCGUUCUUCUACUUCGUUGUCAAUCCUUCAUCUUCUUCUUUGUCUUCAAGAAGGGAUUCUAAUUUCUCUUGCAAUUCUCCAUCAGCAGCUUGAAGAAAUAGAUCAACUUUGUUCGGCUCAAAUGUCAAUUUUUCUAACUUCGAUAAUUGAGAGUACUGCCUCUCAAAUUUCCUUAGUAGCUCUCUUGCUUGCAAAUUCUUAUUAGGCCGUUCAAUCCAUUCCAGAAACAGCUUCUUAGUAACGCGAUCAGCAUCUUCCAAGAAAUAUUCGUCUUUCAAUGCAUGUGAAAAAACCUCCCAUGAAUUCCCAUAACGAUCCGUAAUCAAUGUAAUGUGGUCUCUUAUCUCCGGUAUCAUGGCAAGUCCAAAUAGUGCAACCAUUUUCUUCUCAGAAACUCAAUUUAAUUCCAUUUCACGAACAUAACAUCUUAAAUACCUUGAAAUAUUCCUCCCAUCAAAUUGAUCAAUUUUAUUGACCACUGCUUGCAAUGCUUUGGUUGUCAAAGCUUCCUUUCGAUCAUUGCUUUGCUGUUGCUGCAUUGACAAUGAGAAGGCUUGAAACAUACUAGCAAUAGAUGGAUCCAUGUACAUACCUUGUCCUUUAGAAGACUCCCGACCAGAAACUCCUCCCAAAAAUCCUUCAAAAUUUUUAUUUUCGUUUCCCAAAAAAUAAAGAUAAAAUCAACCGAAAUCCAAUACCUUCCACCUCAAGCUUUCACGUCGGGUUCACCACUUUUGUCGUAUUACGUGCUUUCUUGCUCGAGAACGCGUCAGGCGACUGGCUGUAGAAGGUAAUAUGGAGAUUCACCAAUAGUCAAGCAGUCUAUCAGUUUUUGACUGCUGGAAUAUAAACGACUGCAAGAAUACACCGUAAAUCUAUACGGAUGCCCUUCGACUGCUUGUCAAAGUCCUUUUUGUCCUAGCCGGUAGGUCUCUAGACGUUAGAGAGAACCCCGAACAACCCAAUCUGCUAAUCUCCGAUAACGCUUUGUACUUACGAUCUUGUAUCCACUGACUGUCUUGUUAGAUUAAUCCAAUAAAUUUCAUUCAUUCCGCAUACUCAAUUCUAUAGACAUCCUUUUAAUCCUUCAAUCACAGACGUAACUCGAUUUCACAAAACAGUCAAGAGUAAUCAAACCCACUUCAUUAAAAAAUCUCGAUUCACCAUUACAACACUAACUUCAGCAACGAUUGCCUCAGUCUUCCCAAAACUCUAUGAAGAAGAAAAAUCUAAUUCUCCGUCUUUCCUUCCCCGACCCAAAGCAUGAAGCUCCUCUCCAAUUCCCUUGAUCUUCAAAAACCUCCAAUGAAACCGAACUAGUAACCUUGAAAAGAGCUUGAAGCUAGCUCAUUGAUCCAAAAAACCCCCCCCAAAACUUAUUCUCUCCCUAACCUUAUCCUCUGAAUUUCUUCAAUCUUCCGUCUUGGAUCCGGAAUUGGCUCCUAUCGUCAGAGCUUAGAUCCAAAAUUGGCUCCCAUCGUUAGAGCUUCCUCCUCCAUUUUUACCUUUAAGAAAUCCAUUUACCGAAAACAACGUUCUCUGAAACGGCACAGAGAAUAAGACAGCCUGAAACAGAAUCGAAACCCCGUACUCGGAUCCACAUUCAGUCGCCCGACCAAUUCAGGUCUCAUAUUGGGUAAGAUGCCCGUAGUAACCUGGAUGUUCGCGUAAUUGGGUCAAAUUGGUCCUUCGCGUCAGACUAGCUGAGGCCCGUAGUAAGCUGGAUUUUUCCGUAACUAGACUGCAUUGGGUUGCCCGACCAAUGCAGGUCUCAUAUUGGGUAAGAGGAUCCGGAUUGGAUUCUUGAAAUUGGAUCCAAUUGGCUCUUCGAACCAGCUCACCUGUCGUAUGAAUUGGUCCUUUCUCUUCCUGCUGACUCCCGUUAUUGGAAUCGAAUGGAGCAUUUCAGUAUGCCACGGCUGAUUGUAACGGGGUGACUGAACCUGGCCACUCAGUAUUUGCACUGGAGUUGGUCGUUGCUCCCAAUAUUCGAGGUAACUGAACAUUAAUAAAAGUCCCCUUUUUUUAUAUUUUCACGGUAUACUCGUGUUACAACACAACAGUGUACUAGUGUAGCGAGCUCCUCCAAUAUAAUUUGAUGCUCACAAACUUCAGCUGGUAUUCUUUUCAAAUCCGCAUAUGAUCACGCAAAAGUAGUUUUAUGCAUUAAAAAGUAAUCCACCCAAAUUUCUUUCUCCUUGUCUUUUAUACCAUCGUAAAUCUAAAUGAUUUAGGGAGCCUCCUCUGUACCUAAAUUAAUUGGUUGACAUCGUGGAAUUUUAGGUGUAUCUGGAAUAAUGUUCUGUUCAAUUUCAAAAUCUUUCAUAAAAUUUGACACAUUAGAACUUUUCAACUCCAGUUCUAUAACACUAACAUGAUUAAUAUUCCAUUUUUUCAUCUAAUAUGUAAUCAUAUGAUCACUAUCGUCAAUAACAUCUGGAGGAAUUAAGUACUCUCCCAAUGUCCUGCACUGGUAGUUCAUUCUACUGUAUUGAAUAACUUGUCUUUUAUCAGCAUAAAUUGGGUCAAGUGCACCAAUUUUUUCUUCUGUAGACUCAUCUUUACAAUCCGACAUGAAUUCAAAACUAGCCAAUUAAGUUUCUCUGUGAUAUUCGACAGGGUAUAUUUGAAGCACAAUUUUAUCAUUACCUUUCUCAAUUGUCAAUGUACCACGGCCCCAAUCAUUUUGAAUUUUAGCUUGAUACAACCACAGUCACCUCAAUAAAAUUGAUUAUGAUAAUAUAGAGCUUUAUAAUUGAAAAAAAAUAUAAUCAAUUUUAUAGGUAAUCCCCGUAAUUACUGUAUCAAUACUUCAUAAAAUACCCAUAGGUUUAACUCGACUAGAGUCAGUCAUUCUCAAAACCACUGUAGUAGGCAAUAAGUGAUCCAAACCUAGCUCUUCCAUUGUAGUGGCAUUCAUAAGAUUUACACUAGAUCCUCCGUCUACUUGCACUCCUAAUAAUAAUACUCCAUCAAUUGAGACAUCAAUCUUAGGUGCACUUAGAUCAGGAUUCAAACUUACUUCUUGGAUUUCUUUAUUUUGAGAUCUGCGACGAAUUAAUGAAGAAUUCAAGAUAGUUUGGCACUCAAGUGCUACCGCCAAUAGUUGCUUCAUAGAGAUUAUAGGUUGUAUGGUACCCAAAUCUUUUAGAAUAUCAUAUGGUUAUGUAUUAGUGGUAAUUCUCAAUGUCUGUUUCUUCUUCCUAGUCCUUGAUAUCGAUGCAGGUAAAUUGGUUGUCUCUAUAUUGGAAAUUGGUAAAGCUCUUGGAACUGAAUUUGAUAGAGCCUGUAAAAUCGAUUCUUUCAACAGAUAAGAUUGUUCUCUGAAUUGGAUUGAUAAUUGUUCCUUGGAAUUCAUGCCUCUUAGAGAAUCUUUCAAUGGAAAGGACGUUUUUAAAACUGUGUAGAGAACAAAACAACUUGAAAUGAAACCAAAGCCUCAAUAAUCGGUACCUCAUUAGAAUGUACAACUGAUUCAGGUCUUAUACUGAGUAAGGGGCCCAUUUCAAGACUUUGAUUGGAUGGCCCCAUAAUUGGGUCCAAUUGGCCCUUUGUUUCAAGAUCACCCAAAUAUUGAAUUGGUCCUUUCUUUUUUUGUUGACUUCUCGUAAGGAUAGCUUGGACUACUUCUACCUGAUGAAUUGGUGAAUCUUGAAGACGUUCAUUUAUCUCCUCGAUUUUUUCUUGGCUUUGGAUCUGCUCAUCUCAAUUAUUGAAAUUAAACGGAGCAUUACAUUGCUGAUAAGUAUCUCUCAACUGCUUGCAAUUUGAACAUACUGACGCGUAAUCAUCACUGGUUAUGGGAUUCGGACAUUCACUAGCAUAAUGACCAAUCUAUCUGCAACAAAAACAACAAAGUAGUCUUCUUGCACUCCCAUCCGGCAUAUUGGGUGUCUCCAUCAGUAUAUACCUACUAUGCUUGUUCCAUGUAGAGUUAGAAAAUUAUCCUAGUUGUUCCAUUGGUAUAAAAGAUAUUUGGUUUGAUGAUGCUAGUGGAGCAUAUUGCUGAUACCUCUACUGCUCCUUUUGGUAGUUCUAGAGGUUGGAUGCAGAUCCCUGAUUAAAAUUGGAACUUUGAAAAUUUUUGAAUGUUCGAUUUUGUCCAUUAGAUCGAUUUCCAUUCCAUCCAUAUGUAUUUUUUGUUUGAACUUGAUUAACUUUUCAUUGAGUCGGUGGGAUCAUGGUCUGAUUACUGAAUUAUUGUUGCCUUAGUAAAUGCUAGUAGUUUUACGUAGAGUGCUUUCUUCUACAAAAUGUACAUUGAUCACCCGUUUGUCUGGGUGAUGGACAUUCCGUAUCAUAAUGACCUUGUUCCUUAUAAUUAUUAUACCAUACAUUAGGUCUCGUAUUAGAAGGCUUAUAUUGUUUCUCCUUAUCUUUAGCCAAAUUCACGGCCAAUUCUUCCAUUUUCUUUGUUAGAUUUAAUAACAAGGCUUCAUUUGAAUCUUUAACAGUUGCAUUUGUAAACAACUCCGGUUGUUAAUAGGUUGGCAAUGUAAAAUAAGGUGUCAUCAUUAUUGACACUAUUGCUUGAAGUGGUGUAGCAUUAAUUGGUUGUUGCAACAUAACAUUCUUCACAUUGGAGGCAGCCAUUUAUGGAUAAUUAUCCAUCGACAUAUUUUCUGGUUGUAUUUGUUGGCUUCCUGAACUUGGAAUCAUCGUGGCCCCUACUGUUAAUAAUUGGUCAUAAUGACAUUCUUCCCACACCUUUGCUCUUGCCAACGAUGCCUCUACUUUAGCUGAUUGAGCCUCUUUUACAAACAUUUUUAAUUCUGGUGGAUGUAAACUAUUAAUUAAUAUCGACCAUAUAAACACAUCUGGUAUUUGAUUAUUUGACCAUUUAUGAAGUAUAUCCAUGAUCCGGCCAUAAUAAGAUUCUACGAAUUCUCCUACAAACAUCUUGCUGUUCAUAAAACUUUCUCGAAGCAGAUCUUCAAAUCUAAUUGGUCUGAAGUGGAUUAAGAAGGCAUUCUUCAAGGCCUCCCAAUUGGGAAAUCUACCCAUUGAUUGCCGAAUAUACUAUUCAAAAGCUGUAUCUUAUAAAAUUGUUGGCAACCAUCUCAACCAAAUGUCUUCAGUUCUACCAUUAUUAGCCACGCAGACUGUCAAAAAUUGAGAUAUACGGUGAUCGGAAUCAGAGCCCGAUCAACCCCUAAAAGUAAGUAAUGGUGCCACACUUGUAGUUUGGUCUCCUAUUGCUCCCAUUUGUAUUGCAGUUGGUACUUUUGGCACUCCUGCAGCCAUUGGUAUUAUCACUGGUCUCCUUACUAUUUGAAUCUGAAUUUUUCUUCCUUUGAUUUUUCUUGGACUUGCAAUUUCUUUUUGUCAUUUCCGUAGGCUAUUUCUUAUGCUUAAUUGCUCUUGUCUUUCUUUCGCUUGUCAAUUAAUUCUUUGAUAAUCCUCCCCCCCAUGAUUAUCACUCAUAAUCUUUCAUUCUUCUUUACAAAAUCAAUACUGCCUUGAAUUAUAACUUCUUAUAUUUGUAACCCUAAAAUUGGUUCUUCUCAUGUUCUCAUUCAACAUAUAAUUCCAUCUUCCAUAUAAUCAAUUUGUAACAUUUCAUAUUGUUAUUAUUUCCCCGGUAGUGGUGCCAAAAUGUUGUUUUUGUUGCGUUCAAGCUUCUGUAGACCAAAGCAAUUGAACUAAUAGAGGUGGAUUCAAACACGGGGAAAGACUAGUUAUAUGAAUUGGGUCUGUUAGUGUCACAAUUGAUUGUAUUUUGGCUAUCUAAAAUCAAGUAUCAAACUACAAAACAUCGGGGCUUACUACUUCUAUCUUAAUUCAACUCAUAAUCCAUUCUACGAUUAUCAAUUCAACAAUACUUCUCUCAAUCACAAUUCUUCAUAAGCAAAUAAUAAAGAAAACAAAGAGGUAGUACCAAGCUUAUCCUAGCUUAUCACUGUCAGUCUGGCUCUCGACUUACGACUCUCACAAUCUAGCCUUGAUCGCUCUUUCUUCAAUCUAUUUAUCCUACUAAAAGAUGAUCUAUCGGCCAGCAGAUUCCAAAGGUUAUAAUCCUUUGAAUUCUUAACCAUUUAUUCCACUAACAACCUACUAUUACUAACUAAAUUGCCUAACCAUCAGUCUAAUUCUUAAGGUUGUCAAUAACCAAUCAGUAACUUACCACAAAGUUUAUUUACCUAUUCUACAGUAGCCAAGAAAGAUAUCCAUGAAUUGAUCAUUAAUGUAAUAAAAAGGAAGAGGCAAAUGACAGUUGAAGCUAUUAUAGUAGACACAUUGGAUACUUAAGUAACUAUGGAUGAGGAAGAAGACAUAAGGUAAGUAUUUAUAUAAUUUGUAAUACUAAAAGCUAAAAAUAAGGUUGAUAUAGAAGAUGAAGCUUUAAUUAAAUAUGAAGAGACUGUACAAGAGUAUCUAAUGAAAUAUGUAUCUAUGAGAUUUACUGAGAUAAAGAAGAAUGCAUAAGAAGCAUGUAUAAAUACUUCCUCUAAAUGUAAUAAUGAUGGAAUGGAAAGUAGUAGCUAUUCAGUUUUUUAUUGAACUAGAGCUACUACAGAGACAUAUGUGAGGUUGGAGGAUUUUAAAGAUCUAAUUUUGGCCUUAGUUGAUCAUGGAUCUAAAAUCAAUAUUAUAAUAAUGGAUAUAUGAGAAGAAAAAGUGGCCAAUUGAUAUCAAUCAUGGUUGUGUAAUUAGAACUACAAAAAACCAACACAAUAAUUUAUAUGGAGCUUAUCCAACUAUAAAGAUUAAGAUUGGAGAUGUGGAAGUGGAGCAAAAUUUCUUUGUGCAAAACUCUGCUAUAUAUUUGAUAAUACUUAGUCAAUCUUAUAUUACAAUUGCUAGAAUGGAAACUAGAAUCUUGAAUGAUGGUUUACAUUAUGCCAAGAUUUACAAUUGAAAUGGAAGAAAAGCUGUGUAAUUUAUUACUAUGAAACCUAUCCAUGAGAGAUAUAGAGAACAAUUAAGAAAGAUGUCUUUGGAAGGAGGAAACAACUUUGUGGAUUUCUUAAAAGCACCCCUAUAGAAUGGAGACACAUAGAUGUAGAUAUUAGUCUAUUCAUCUACAAAUCUUAGUGUAGAUAAUAUGAAUUUGUAAUUUGUAAUAAUAUUAUCUAUAAAUCUUAGUGUAGAUAAUAUGAAUUUGUAAUUUGUAAUAAUAUUAUCUAUAAAUCUUAGUGUAGAUAAUAUGAAUUUAAAAUUUUUUAACUUGAUUAGUAAUAGAUUUGUGAUUAUUCAAAAGAUUAAGGAUUUAGAUUUCUUAAAUAGAAGAAGGAUAAAGAAACAAGAAAAAAAAACUUAAAAAAAGUGGAUUUAGUUUCAAGUAAUGAAGCCAUAGUUGGAAUAAUAGAAGAAAUAGGUUUAGAAGAUGAUUUGAUAAAGAUUUUGAAAAAUUUAGCUACAAGCAUAGAUAGAAAUUCUAUAAUAGAAAUAUAUUCAAGAGAGACUUAUGAUGAGUUAAAAAAGAUAGUAGCAAAUGGUAGACUUGCUACAAGCUAUUGAUUGAAAUACGAAGCUACAGUACAAAUUAAAUAUAAAACUAUGGCAAAAAAGAUAAAAUCUAUAGCUACCUAGUUACUAGUUGAUACUAUGAAGUAUAUUAAGCAAGCAAUUAAGAAGCGAAGUAUAAGAGAAAGAUACAAAAUAAGACAUCAGUUUACUUAAGAAUCAUUAGCUAAGUUGAAGAUUGGAAGAGGUGAUUUCUUGACAUCAAUGGAGAAAAAUAUGUUCUAAGAAAUGCUUAUUGGGCACUGUAAGGCAUUUGCCUUAAUUCCUCAUGAAAUUGGAUGUAUAGACCUUAGUGUUGUAGUACCUAUAAUAAUCUUUACUAUGCCACAUGUUCCAUAGAAUUUAAAGCCUAUACCUGUGCCUAAAGAUUUACUUCUGAAAUUAAUAGAAUUAUUAAAGAAGAAGGUUAAGAUGGGUAUUUUAGAACCUUCAAUUGCUCCCUAUUCUAAUAGAUGGUUUACAGUACCAAAGAAGUUAGGAGCAUUAAGGUUUAUUCAAGAUAUGCAACCUACAAAUAGAAUAAUUAUUCGGAACAUAAGAUUAGGUCCAGUAGUAGAUAAAGUGACUGAGCAAUUUUCACGUCAUACCAUCUAUUCUAUUAAAGAUUUAUAUUCUGGAUAUGACCAAUUUCAAUUGGCUAAAGGGAGUAGAAAUUUAACUACCAUGAAGACUCCUUUGGAUUUAAUGAGGAUGUGUACUUUACCUCAAGAUACAACCAACUCAAUGGCUCAUAUGUCAAAUGCUAUGAAUCAAAUAUUGAAAGAAUUUGUACUUAAAAAAACCAUUCUAUUUUUGGAUGAUAUACCUAUAAAAGAAAAUAAAAGAGAAUAUAAAAGAAAAGACAAGAAUGAGACUAUGGAGGUUAGAGGUUGUAGAAAGUUUAUCAAGAAAUAUAUUGAAGAUAUGGCUUUGAUAUUGAAAAGAUUGGAAUUAAUUAAUUUCAUGUUAUCUUUGGAGAAAUCAAGCUUUAGAAUUGAUGAGAUUCUAGUAGUGGGACACAUGUGUGGUAGGUAUGGAAGGAAAUAAAGAUAUCUAUGAAGGAUAUUAGAAUUUAUUUAAGCACAAUGAAGAAACAAGAAGGGUGGAUGGAUAAAAUCUUCAAAGAUAAUAGACAUCAAUCCUAUGAUUAUUUGCUUAGGGAUGGAUUCUUAUCAAAGAGGCCAAAAAGAGGUGAUAAAAUCCCAUUGAAGAUAGUAGGAGAUCUUGAAACUAAGUUUAAGAUUUUAAGAGAAUAUCAUGAUUCACUUUGGAUAAGGUACAAAGGAGUUUGGACCACAUACGAAGAUCAAGGAAAAAUAUUGAUAGAAGGAUUUAUACAAGAACAUAGAAGACUUUGUGAGUUCAUGCACAAAGUAUCAACUAUAAUUCAAAAUUAGGUAUAGAGAUGGAUUACAUCCUACUUAUCUAUCUUCAAUACAUUUUCAAUAGGCAAUUGAUUUGGUAGCUAUGCCAUCAGGACUUAGGGAUAUAAAAUAUUUGGUUUUGGUAAGAGAGUAGCUAUUGAAUUAUAUUGAAGGGAGGGCUUUGAGAAUCAAGACUACAAAAGUAGUAUGUACAUUUAGACUGGAAGAUUUCUUCAAUAGAUAUGGUAGCAUUAAGAGGAUGAGAGCUGAUAGAAGAGAAUUGGAUGCCGUUGAAGAAAAAAAAAAAAUUCAACAAAUAUGGAGUUCAAUUAAAGUUGACUACUUCUUUUAAUCCUAAAGCCAAUGAGAAGAGUGAGAGGAGUCAUCUUCCUAUCAUUUAUGCAUUAGUUAAAGCAUGUAAGGAUAGAUCAAUUCAAUGGCCUAAACUACUUCCAUCUGCUUUAUAGAUUGAUAGAACUACUCACAGUAUUAUCAUUGGUUAUAUGCCUAUAGAAUUAAUAUUAGGACAAAAAUUCAUAAUUUCAGUUGAAGAAACUUAUCUUAUAUAAAUGUUUUUAUAUUCAAAAGAUGACAUUGGUAGAAAAAGAUAAUUAGAACUUUGAAUCCAAUAGUUAGGUAGGUUACAUGAAGACCUACAAAUUAUAGGUGAGAAAUUAAAGGAAGCAAGAUUAAAAAAUAAAGAAAGGUUUAAUAAGACUCAUAGGUUGAAGCCUAAGCUUAUAGAGAUUAUGGACCGGAUUUUAGUUUAUGAUAGCAGCCUUGAACAUCAACAAAAUUAUUUUUUGUAAAACAAUGAUUUAGAUCAUAUGUGGUAGUUACAGUCCAUAAUAAUGCCACAUAUACUUUAUGUAAAUAAGAUAGAACCAUCAUUAGAAUUCCAAUAUCUGAAAAGAUGAUAAAGGCUUUUAAGAAAAAAAAUAGGUAGUUCAAAAUGGAAGACCUUAAAGAAUUCUUACUAUAAAAUUUGAAUUAACAAUAUCAAGAAGAGGAACCUAUGAAUGAUUUAGAGCACUUUCAAGAUGAUGAAGAGGAGUAAGACAUGGCACAUACUGGAGGAUGUGCAAGUUUAGAGGGGGUACAUGUCAUAUUAGAAAUGCUUAUAGUAUAUAAAAAUUAAUUAAAACAUAUUAUAUCUUGAUAAUUAUAGAUAUGUGUUAGAAUGGUUAGUAGAUUAAAUUAAAAAGAAUUGGUAUAGAAAAUCUUACUUUAUUUCUUUUAUUUGUUUUGAUUUUGGCAUAUAUAUAUAUAUAUAUAUAUAUAUAUAUAUACAUAGGACCUAAAUAUUUAGUAUGAAACCUUGGAAGAAGGUAGAAGCCUAAGAAAAAUAAUCCAAAAUAGUGGGAGGCUAAUUAGAAGGGAUGAAAGCAAGGCAUGGUCGGAUGAAGGCAAGGAAUGGAAAACUUCAUCCCUAUUGGUCGAAUACCAUGUCCAAUGGGCUUUUUGGAAGCUACUUGCGACCUUAACAAGGAUUUUGGCAACUUCAAAGGAGGCAUUCAAAAAUUAGAAGCCAAGAUUGUAAGGUUUAGGAUUUGAGCUACAAUUUAUGUACAAAAAUUAGAGGAUUUGGAAUUAGAGUGAAGAAAUUAAAGUCGUUUGAAGUUAAGAUGUAAAUUUAAGACAUAUUAUUACUCUUUUGUAAAUACAAGGAGUUAUACGGUAAUUUUUGAAGAUUGAAAGGUGCAAUUGGAACAACAAUUUUAAGGCUUAUAUCUUUUACAAAAGAAUUUUUGCUUUAGGAGUUCAUACAAAGGAGAUAUAAAGAGUUAAAAGAGAUGCUUCUAAAUCAAAGGCAAUAAGUAAGGAGUAUUGUAAUACGUGAAGUCUUACUUAAGAAUGCCCCAGGCACUUGGCUGUAGAAGGUAGAAUGAAAAUUGCUACAACAAAAUCCUAAUUCUACUACAACACUAACAAUGCUAAACAAGUUUUAAUCAAAUUCAGAGAAACCUCAAAGGAAUUACAAAGAAACAAUAAAAAAAUCUUAAAGAAAUAUUAGAAUGAUUACAAACAUAUCUCAAAUAUAUCUCAAUUCAAUCUUAAUUUAAUCCUAAUUGAAAUCCGAUUGGAUUUCAUUCAAACUUUAGGCCAAAAACUAACUAAAUCUUAAAUCCUAAACAAACUCAAAUAAAAUUCUAAAUCCUCAAUUACUAAAUCAUCAAUUACCAAUGAAUAAACCACCAAUCUUAACUCAAAAUUUUCAUGCUUUUUAAAAAUUAAGUUGAUAAUAAGUAUAAAAAAAAAUUGAAAUGAUUGGAAUUACCAAAUAGACGAUAGCCUCAAAAAUGUGCUUGGAUAUCAGUUCGCCUCCUUCUACGACCUUGAUGCUAAUCUUCCAAAGCCAAUAUCUCUCUUUUUUAUCAUUCUAUUAAUCUCAAAAUUCUCAUACACAUAGAAAAAUAAGUCUAAUAUCCUUACACACAAAUUUUACUCUAAUCCAAUUAGUAGAUUGCAAGAAAUCUUUAAAAUCCUCACUAGACCUAAAAUUCUAUUUUUUGAGAUCUUGAUCCACUUUGGAUGUAGAUCUAUGCUUCUUAUUUUUGCAUAGGCUAAAUCAUCAUUCAUUAUUUUUGUUUCCAUUUAUAUAGCAAUAAUAUAUGGUUGUCCAAAUAUAAUAGGAUAUAUAGAAAUAUCUUGCACAAAGAAAUUUUAUUCAUAAAUAACAUCUCAUAUUGUCACUUUGAUAUUUGAACAUGCUCCAUACAAAUCUCCUUUUAAAUUAUUUGCUGUUCUUAUCAUCCACCCAUAUUCAGUAUCAAUAGGCCAUUUUUUCUUAUUAAAUAAUUCUUUUGACAUCAGAUUGAUUUCAGAACCAUAAUCAAUCAAUGCUACAACUAGUUCUUCUAAAUUCUCCAAUUUUAUCAAAAUUUCCAUAGUAGCCCUUGUCCAAUGAUUUCUAAAAUAAUGGCUAGAAGCUUAAAUGACAUCUUUUUUUUUUGCAAAUCUUACCCGCAAGAUAUCCCCAAAAUUUUAUAUUUCAUCUUUUUUAUCUUCAUUGCUUUCCAUUACUCUUGUUUCUUGUACAUUUGAUGUCAUAGAGUCUCCUAUAGAUUAUCAUUUUCUCUUUAUUGUAUCAACAAUAACUUCAUAAAACUCAUACUUUGUAAUUCUUAGAAUUUCACCAAUUGUGAAUUCAACCUUUCUACUUAAAAUCCGCUCCUCCAAUACCUUCUUCAAAUCUAUAGCAGCUUCAAUAUCUGAUUAUAAUUUAUAAGCAGGAGCCAUUACUUUUUCUUUUUCAAUUUUCCUUUCUUUUGUGGAAAUGUUCUCUGUUAUCUCUUCAUGUAUAGGAUUCUUUUGUUAUUAUGUUUUUUCUCUCUUUGUAGUUCUUUUUGAGGGCCCUUCAUUAUUUUCAUCUCUCCUUUGUUUUUCUUCUAUUAACACUUCAUGUUGACUCCUUGCAAUAUAAGCAUGCAUAGAUAAUCUAUCUACUAGAUCAUUCCACCCAAUAAUUUGUCAAAUAUUAUUACUAACAUAUUUUAAAUCGUCUCUAAUAAAUUUUCUCUUUUUAGCAUAAUUCAUUGCACUUGUCCACAAAGAACUAGAUUCUCCUAGAAACUCAAGAUUUAUACUUAAAUAUUUACUAGGAUUUGCUUCCACCCAAUAUGUUGAUGCUUUAUUGCUUCACAUUAUAUGCACUUUAAAAGUAUCUCCAACAAAUAACUUCAUUCUUCCUUUAUCAAAAUUUGUUUCCAAUUUUUCUUUACUUUCUUUUAAGUAUAUCAUACCAUCUUUAAAAAAAAUAACUCCUUUAUAUAAUGGCUUUGUAAAAUCUUUUCAUUCCCUCCUUGAAUGAUCUAUACUAUCACACCACAUGCACCUAUGUACUACACCUUCUAUUGGCCCUAGUCUUUGUUUUAUUGAUAUUCUUGAUGAUUGACCCUUCUCUUCAAGUUUUACAAAUUUUAUUUACAAAUAUCUCAUCCCACAUAUGAUUUCAUCGAUGUCCAUUUCUUCUUUCUUUGAUGUAGCCAUUAAAGGUUGAAUCAAAGAUGUUAGAUGGAUACUAGACACCUUUAUCUUAGAUGCUUGUAAUGGUCUUUGAAUAUCUACCCUAUCUUUUUUUUUUUCUUUUUUUACUAACAAUCCUAUUAUUUCUUCUACUUCUUUCUAAUUUUUUGUCAAUGCUUCAUCUUCUUUUUUAUCUUCAAGUAAGAUUUUCAACUUUUCUUACGACUCUCCAUCAAUUGCUUGAAGAAAAAGCUCCACCUUACUUGGAUCCAACAAUUGUCUUUCUUUCUUUGAUAAAGAAGAAUAUUGACUUUUAAACUCUCUUAAUAAUUUUGUUGCUAGAAGAUCCUUCUUUAGUCUUUCAAUCUAUUCAAAAAAAAAACUUUUUGUAACCCUAUCACUAUCUUCCAAGAAAAACUCAUCAUUCAAUACUCGAGAAAAUUUCUCCCAUGAACCUCCAAAAUAUCCUAUAAGAGACUUUACUUGAUUUCUUAUCUCUUGUACAAAGGAUAAUUCAAAUAAUUGAACCAUCUUCUUUUCUAAAAUAUGCUUUAAUUUUAUUUUCUUUACAUAUCAUCUUAAAUAUUUUAUAAUAUCUUUUUCUUCAAAUUAAUCGAUCUUAUCUACAACCGCUUGUAAUGCUUUAUUAGCCAUAUCUUCUUUGUGAUCUUUAACAUGUUACUCUUGCUAUUGCAUGAAUAAGGCAAAAGAUUCAAACAUGCUUGUAGACUUAAAAUCUAAAUAUAUAUCUUGUCUUCGAAUUGAAGCUCCUCUUUCAACUCUACUUGAAGCUCCACUUCUAACUCCACUUGAAGCACCAUCAAAAAUUCCUCCUUCCAUCUUCUUGCCUUCCUUCUCUAAAUUUUAAAAAAUGUAAGAAAACCAAAUUCCUUCCACCUCAAGCAUUUCACAUUGGAUUCACCAAAUAUAUUGUAAUACGUGAUGUCUUUCUUAAGAAAGCUCUGGGCACCUAGAUUUGGAAAGUAGAAUAGAAAUUAUUAUAAUAAAAUCCUAAUUCUAAUAGAACACUAACAAUGCUAAACAAGCUUUGAUAAAAUUUAGAAAAAUCUUAAAGAAAUUACAAAGAAAUAAUAAGAAAUCUUAAAGAAAUAUUAGAAUGAUUAUAAAUAUAUCUCAAAUACAUCUCAAUUCAAUCUUAAUUUAAUCUUAGUUGAAAUCUUAUUGGAUUUCAUUCAAAUUUUAGGCCAAAAACUAACUAAAUCUUAAAUCCUAAACAAACUCAAAUAAAAUCCUAAAUCCUAAAUCAAAUCUUGAUCAAACCUUAAAUCAAAUCUUAAAUCCUAAAUCAAAUCCUAAAUCCUAAUUCAAAUCCUAAAUCUUAAUUCAAACCCUAAAUCCUAAAUUAAAUUCUAAUCAAAUCCUAAAUCCUAAAAUAAAUCGUAAUCAAUCCUAAAUAAAUCCUAAAUCCUAAACUAAAUUCUAACCAAAUCUUAAUUCUGAAUCAAAUCUUAACUAAAUCUUAAAUCCUAAACCAGAUCCUAAUCAAAUCCUAUCCCUAAAUCAAAUCCUAACCAAACCCUAAACCCUAAAUUCUAAAUCAAAUCCUAAUCAAAUCUUAAAUCCUAAAUCAAAUCCUAAUCUUAAAUCAAAUCCUAACCAAAUCCUAAUCCUAAAUCAAAUCCUAAUCUUGAACCAAAUUUUAACCAAUCUUAACCCUAAAUCAAAUCCUAACCAAAUCCUAAAUCCUCAAUCAAAUCCUAAUCCUAAAUUUAACUUUAACCAAAUCCUAAUCCUAAAUCAAACCCUAAUUGUGGAUAUAAUUAAAACUUCCAAUGAUUAGUUACAAUUCUUUUUGUAAUUUUUAACAUAUUUUUACUAAUUUUAAUGCAAAUAUAACUAAUUAAUAGAUCCAAAUUAGUUUUUUUAGUUAAUUAUGAUUUUAAUCAUAUUUUUAGUUGUUUAUUAGAUGGAUACUUUUAAUUAGUAGAUUGAUUGACUAUUUUAAAAUUUAAAAGAAAAAAUAGUAAAUUUAGAAGGUUUAUGAUUUUUUUUUCUUGAAUUACUUUAAAUCUUUUUCUUAGUAAUAAAACUAAAAUUUUAGUAGAAUUUCUCCUCUCAUUCUUAGGAAUUAUAUCUUAAAUUAAUCCACAAUCUUAAUUUUCAAUCCAAAAGCUAAUUUCCAAUUUGACUAUGGUUAGAAAGUCCCUUAAACCUAAUUGCUCUAUCUUCUUAAUUAAUUUUGAAGGUUUUUAAGCUUAAAUAUCAUUUUGUAAUUUAAUUGGAUUAAAAAUAUAAAUUCUAGUUCUUAAAUUAAUGAUGAUCUUAAUAAGAUAGAGACAAGCUAAAUUUUUGGUGGAGUUUCCUUUCAUAGUGAUUUUAAUCACUUCUUGAAGUUGAAAAAAAAAGAAAAAUUGGAAAAAAUCCCAAAUUUAAGGCCAAUUUGUAAUUAGAUUUUGGAUUUGCCAAGAGCUCAUACUUAAGGGAGUUUAAAUUGAAGAAUGGUGAUUAUGAAGGCUUUGAUGGCAAGAAUCCUUGCUGAUUUCCAAGUCAGAAAAUUCGAAUUAGAAUUGUAGUUCAAAUUUACAACUAAAUUAACAAAUCAAUUGAUUCUUAUGAUUUAGAACUCAAAUUUGGGCUUAUGAAUAGUUGAUCUCAGGAUAAAAAUAUGUUUUAGAUACAUUGGUGGUAUUGGUUUCAUCCAAAAGGUGCUAGUUUUUGAGUUCUAGGCAUUUCUAGCCUUAAAAUCGGAUUUGAGCUGAGAGUUAUUGAGGACCCUUGAUCUUGGUUAGGGAUUUUCUGAUUUUGAUGGUAGAGAUGUGUCCGCCACUUUUGGGCCUCCUCCCACAUUGUUCAGAAGGCUUGGGUGUCUGAGCUCCCUCUCUCACUCUCCAUCUUCUUGAGGUGAAGCCAUGGCAAAAUGUUCCUCAAUCUUGUGAAUGCAAAUUUUCUUCUUUAAACUUGUAUGGCCUCAGUUUUAACUCGCGCAGUCUAUCUCUUUUUAUUUUCUUUCUGUGGAACUUUUUAAGCAAAUUCUACUCACCCUUAGCUUCGUAAUAGAACAAUGCAUGCCUGAUUUGAAGUUGUGACGAAUUUUUGGCGAGUUUUCAAGGUGGCAGGGGUCUACUGCCUUGGCAGUGUAUGAGUGUUGGUUUAAAAAAUCUAUAAUUCGGUGACCUUUGACUCAACUUUGAUGUGGAUUGUUGAAAUGAACGAAUUCUAAAGUUUAGUUUACUAAAAAAAAUAAAUCACUAAUUUCCGAUCUAUAUCAAAAUUUUAAUGAAUUUUUAAAUGUAAAGGGAUCUGCAGCCUUGGCAGUGUUGAACAAUCAGCUUUGAAAAAUUAUAUCUUAAUACUUACUCACAUCUUUUUGCUGGAAUUUGUUGAAAAAGAAACUCUAAUAAGCUUUUUUUAGGAAAAAUUACACUUGUCAAUUUUAAACUAUUAAUUGAUUUUUAGUGAUUUUUUAAGUAGAAGAGGGUCUGCUGCCUAGGCAGCUCAAGUCGCCUUGCUUUUAAAACACACAUCUCGAAUUUCAAACCUCGUAUCACCAUGAAAUUUAGUAGAUAAGAGCAAAUCUACAUCAACCUCAACCACAAAAAAUUUCAAGUAUAUAAGAGUUAUGUAGAAUUGUUAGCAAAGUUUUGAAUGACAAGGGAUCUGCUGCCCUCAACUUGAUAUACUCUAAGUAAGUUUUCUCCUCUAAUCACCCUCUAAUCACAUCCCUUAGCACCUAAAUUGCUAUAUUAUCACUCAUUCGCCUCAUUACCAUCAAUUAAUUUUAUUUAAUAAUUUCAAAGAAAUUUUAUCUCACUUGGAAAUUAAUCUUAAAUUCUUCUUUUUCCAUCCAUUUUUAACCUUAAGAAUAAAAUAAAAUAAAAAAUAAAAAUAAAGAUUAAUCUGAGCUUUUAAUUUUUUCCUAUUUCUUUUAACUUUAACCUUUUAAUUUUUUCUUUUAACCUUAACCUUUUAUCUUUUACUUUUAACCUUCAACUUUAAACUUUUACUUUUAAUCUUAAUCUUUUACUUUUAUUACUUUUAAAAUUUCAUUUAACUUUUAAUUAUUAAUUCUAAUUCUAAUUUUAUUUUAUUUUAUUUAUUUUAAUUUUUUAAUCUUCCAACUUUCAUCUUUUAUCUUAAAAAAAUCUUAACAUCAUGUUAGUGCUGAACUUAAAUAUUUAAGGCUAUUUAUUACUGAAUUUCUAAUUCUAGAUGCAAUUUUGUCAUAAAAACUUCAUCUAUAGAUAACUUCCUAUAUAGAACUCUGAUUUACAUAAUUAAUACUACCUUGGAAAGCCUUAAACUAGCACUUUAGAAUGGUAUUCAUUGUUUUUAUUUUAUUUUAUUCUAAUUCAUAAUUUUUAGAGUUUAAGUUUGAUAAAAUAAGUCUUAAAAGGUACUUAACUAAAUGAACUACAAAUGCUAAAAAUUAAAUCAUAAAAAAUUAUAAUUAACUUAUUGUAUUAUUGGAUAAAUCUUAAUUAUUACCUCAUUUUGGUUUUCUUAUCUUAUAGAUGAUUUGCAUCUCUACAUUAAUUAAUAUUGGGCUCUGAUGUAAGUUAUGAUCUAAUUAAAUCAAAUUUAAGUGACGGGAGAAAAAUCCACUCAUACUAAUCCUAAAUCAAAUCCUAACCAAAUCUUAACCCUAAAUCAAAUCCUAAUCAAAUCCUAAUCAAAUCCUAAUCAAAUUCCAUUCCUAAAUCAAAUCCUAAUCAAAUCCUAAAUCCUAAAUCAAAUCUUUAUCCUAAAUUCAAUCCUAACCAAAUCCUAAUCCUAAAUCAAAUCCUAAUCUUAAACCAAAUUCUUACCAAAUCCUAACUCUAAAUCAAAUCCUAACCAAAUCCUAAACCCUAAACCCUAAACAAAAUCCUAAUACUUAAUCAAAUCAUAAUUAAACCCUAACCAAAUCCUAAUUUUAAAUCAAACUUUAAUCAAAUCUUUAAACAAAUCCUAAAUCCUAACUAAUUCUAAACCAAAUCCUUAAUCCUCAACCAAAUCCUAAUCAAAUCCUAACCCUAAAUCAAACCCUAACCAAAUCCUAAAUCCUAAUUCAAACCUAGUAAUUUCUACAAUAGAUUUAAACCUCAAUUACUAAUUAAUGAACCACUGAUCUUAACUCAAAAUUUUCAUGCUUUCUAAAAAUUAAAUUGAAAAUAAGCACAAAAAAAAUUUGAAAGAAUCGAAAUUACCAAAUAGACAAUAGCCUCAAAAACGUGCUUGGAUAUCAGUUUGCCUCUUUCUCCGACCUUGAUGUCAAUCUUCCAAAGCCAAUAUCUCUCUUUUUUAUCAUUCUAUUGAUCUCAAAAUUCUUAGAAACAUAGAAAAAUAAAUCAAAAAUCCUCAUACACAAAUUUCACUCCAAUCCAAUUAAUAGAUUGCAAGAAAUCUUUAAAAUCUUCACUAGACCUAAAAUUCUAUUUUUUGAGACCUUGACCCACUUAAACCUCAAUAAUCCUCAAUUCAAUCAUUAGAUUAAGCUAAGAUUGACAACACAUAUUAAGCACAACUCUGAACAUUAAUCCAUAAAAUUUCAUCAAUAGAACUAUUACAAAACUCUUGAAAUCACUAGAAAUAUCAACCCUAUUUUAUUUCACAAAAUCCAAGUCAUCUAAAAACAAACUUGACUUUGUAAAGCUCUUACAAAGUCAUAACAACUUCAAAUCGCCCAAAAUAAAUGCUCACAAAAAUCCUAUUCAGUUUGCUAUCAAAUCCCACUCUUUGAUCUACAAAAGAACCCUGGAGUCAUUGUCGAGACUCGAUUUUGUACCUUAGGAUCUGAUUUCGACCCUGGUUCAUAACCGGCCCUCUUAAGGUAUCAAUAUCUAGUUUUUCUAAGUAAAUUUUAUUAGAAUUUACUCUUAAUUUCUUUCUAAAAAUGCUUAUAUCAUUUAUUUUUUUAAUCUACUUUAUUUUGCCUUAUUUAUGGUCCUACAAAAUAAGUAGAAGUCACCUUUCUAAAAAGGCAGCAUUGGUACUUUUUAGUUUUACUAUCUUUUUGACUAUUAACUAUAUUUCUAAGAUAAUUUUUUUUAAUACUUUGAACUAAGAUCUUCUAAAUUAUAAUAGUUUCUACACUUUUUCACCUAUUAGUCGUGUUACAUCAUGACAGUGGUUUUGUUUAUAGUAAUGGUUGGAGACAUAACUUGAGUUUUUGUACAAAUUUUUAGCUCAAAAUUUUUGAAAAAUGAAGCAUUUUGUAUUAUAAAGCUAUACAUAUAAAUUUUUUAGAAUUUAAGCUUUUAUUUUUUGAGAUAUAAAGAAAAUUGCAUGCAAAAAUUUAAAGACAAGGGUUUGAAGUGAUUAUUAAGGUUUUCAAGAUAUCUCAAGAUUUGCAAUAAAUUUGCAAUUGAAAUUUGUUAUGAAAGUUGAUAAGAAUACAUCAGUACUUCAUAUGAAAUUUGAAUAAGUUUAGAUAGUCGAAUGAAGAGAUAUGAGGUAUUGAAGUUCAGAAAAAUUUUCACAUAAGAGUAUAUAAGGUUUUAGAAGAUUUUAUCAUAUUUUGGAUAUUAUUGGUUAAUUGAGGCUUAUGUAUUUGGUGUAAUUGCUCCAAAAAGGAAAUUUUAUAUAUAAACUUAGGGAUUUCUUUAUUUUGAAGCUUGAUUGAGCAAUUAGUGACAAGCAAGAGCCCAAUGCUUUUUUGAGGUAAACUCUCUCUAUCCUGACAGUGCUUGCCUUCAGAGGAUACUACAUGCUUCAAAAAGAUGACCUCCAAUUUCCAAAGUUCACACUUUGAUUACUUGCAAUAAAAGUGACUAUCAUAUAGUUGGCAAAGCACUUCUCAUAGAUAUUGCUCAUGCUCUUCAAAGAUUUUAUUAUAGACUUUGAUAUCAUCAAUGAAGAUAAUUACAUACUUAUCUAAAAGGUUUUGAAAUAAUCUAUUUAUGUAAUCUAUAAAAAAAGCUAGAGUAUUGGUUAAACCAAAAAAUAAUAGAAGCCACUCAAAAUAUCCAUAGCAUGUACAAAAUGCCAUCUUUUUUAUAUCGUCUUUAGCAAUAGGAAUUUGCCAAUAACCACUCCAAAAGUCCAAUUUGCUAAAGAUGGUUGUACCUCAAAUUUGAUCAAAAAGAUCAUUUGUAUGUAGAAGUGGAUAUGCAUUUUUAACAAUUUUUUUAUUGAGGCCUCAAUAAUCAAUGCAAAAUUAAAAUCCACCAUCUUUUUUAGAUGCAAAGAAUAUAAGUGUUUUCUAUAGCGAUGUUCUUUUUAGAAUAAGGCCCUACUCCAAAAGUUUGUCUAAUAACUUUUGUAACUUUUCAAGUUUAUUUUGUUCUAAACAAUAAAUUGGCCAACUUGUUAGUUUGGCCUUAGGCAUUAAUUCUAUUUGGAAGAAGGCACCUUGUUAUUCUCGUUGUGUUCAAGCUUUAAUAUACUAAAGCAAUUGAACUAAUAGAGGUGGAUUUGAAUAUGGAGAAAGAUUGGUUAUAUGAAUUGGGUCCUUUUGUAUCACAAUUGACUGUACUCUAGCUAUCUAAAAUCAAUUAUCAAAUUAUAAAAUACCAAGGCUUACUAUUUCCGUCUUAAUUCAACACAUAAUCCAUUCUACGACUAUUAAUUCAACAAUACUUCCAUAUUCUUAUCAGUUCAUCUCUCACUUACUCUCAUUAUGGUUUAUAUAUAUUCAAUUAGUGAUCUCCUGCUUACUUAUUAUAUUCAAUUUUUUAAUUCAUUACACAAAAUUCAAUAUCUUCACUUAACACAACAUAAUUUGAUAAUCCCAAUUCUCAAGGUCACAAAUUUUCUCCAAAUUGGUCAGUCCAAAGUCAUAUUUUAUAAUAUUCUAAUCACAGUUUCAACAAUACUUCUCUCAAUCACAAUUCUUUAUAAACAAAUAAUAAAAGUAAAGAAAACAAAGAGGUAGCACCAAGCUUAGCCUAGCUUACGACUCUCACAAUCUGGCCCCUUGGCUUAUGACUCUCAUAAUUUGGCCCCCCAGCUUAUGACUCUCAUAGUCUGGCUCUGAUCUCCCACUUCUCAACCUCUUUAUCCUACCAAAAGAUGAAUCGUUGGCCAACAGAUUCCAAAGGUUAUGAUCCUUUGAAUUCUUAACCAUUUGUUCCACUAACAACCUAUUGUUACCAACUGAACUGCCUAACCAUAAGUCUAAUUCUCAAGGUCAAUAACCAACUAGUAACUUACCACAAAAUUUAUUUACCUAUUUUACAUAGCUCCACUCCUAAUUGUGCAGCGCCUUCGUAAAUACAUAAUUGUUAUUUAUCUAAAAACUACUUAAUAAAACUCUACAAAUGUACUAUUUUCUUUCGUCCAUCCAAUUCAUCAUUUGAUGCAUUAUCAAAUGUGUGUUCUACCAAAUCUCAUUCCAAUUACAAAUCUUCUUCUUUCUUGUCUAGUUUGUCCAUCGACUCCUUCCUCAACUGGUUUGAGAGAUCUUCAUUAUACUUUUCCAAUUCAUGGACUUGAGCUUCCAGUUUCAAGAUCUCGGCAUCACGACGUUCCAAUUGAUGCUGCUGUUGACUCAUCCAUUCUGGAACAUCUUCAAUUGACACUUGUGACCGGCUUCUCACUAUUAACUCUUAAUUGGAACUACAGCUCUUGAAAACAUAAGAAAUACAAGAAAAUGGCACUCUAGCCAACUCAAAACAACACCACAGAAUGACUUUAACAGAUGUCCUUUUCCUAUUCUUUUACUACCUGGUAAUAAUGACAACAUGUUACUCAUACUGUUCGUGAAAGAUAAUAAGAAGUAAUCUUUUUUGGUUGCCGCAUUUAAUUUUUGGAAAUCUUGACAAAUAUGAACUUUUCCAUUCUUUUUCGGCACCAUAAGAAUUGGUGAAAUUCAUUCACUAAAAAGAAUUGGAUAGAUAAAUCCAACCUCUAAGAGUUUAUUUAGUUCUUCUUUUACCAUAAGUGAGUAUUUUGGAUUAAGUCAAUGUUGUCUUUGGCGUACUAGUAUAGCAUGCUCGUCUAAUAUAAUUCGAUGCUCACAAACUUCAGCUAGAAUUUCUUUCAAAUCUACAUACGACGAUGCAAAAGCAGUUUUAUGCAUUAAAAAAUAAUCCAUCUAAAUUUCUUUCUCCUCGCCUUUUAUACCAUCAUAAAUCUGAAUGAUUUAGGGAGCUUCUCUUGUAUCUAAAUUAAUUGGUUGAAAUCGUGGAAUUUUAGGUGUUUCUGGAAAAAUGUUCUGCUCAAUUUCAAAAUCUUUCAUAAAAUCUGAUAUAUUAGAACUUUCCAACUCCAGUUCCAUAGCACUAACAUGAUUAACAUCCCAUCUAUUCAUCUAAUAUGCAAUCAUAUGAUCAGAAUCAUCAAUAACAUCUGGAGGAACUAAGUACUCUCCCUGUUCCCUGCAUUGGUAGUUCAUUCUAAUGUGCUCAACAACUUGCCUUAUAUCAGUAUAAAUUGGAUGAGGUGUACUAAUUUCUUCUUCUAUAGAGUCAUCUUCAUAAUCUGACGUGAAUUCAAAACUAGCCAAUUAAAUUUCUCUAUGAUAUUGGAUAGGAUACAUUUGAAGCACAAUUUUAUCAUUACCUUUUCCAGUUGUCAAUGUACCAUGGCCCCAAUCAUUUUGAGCUUUAGCUUGAUACAACCAUGGUUGCCUCAAUAAAAUUGGAUAUGAUAAUAUAGAGCUUUGCAAUUGAAAAAUAAUAUAAUCAAUUUUGUAGGUAAUCCCCAUAAUUAUUGUAUCAACACUUUGUAAAAUACCCAUAGAUUUAACUCGAUUGGAGUUAAUCAUUCUCAAAACCACUACAGUAGGUAAUAAUUGAUCUAAACGUAGCUCCUUUAUUGUAGUGGCAUUCAUAAGAUUUAUACUAGAUCCUCCGUCUACUUGUACUCCUGAUAAUAACACUCUAUUAAUUGAGACAUCAAUCGUAGGUGCACUUGAAUCGGGAUUCAAACUUACUUCUUGGAUUUCUUUAUUUCAAAAUCUGCGAUGAAUUAAUGAAGAAUUCAAGAUAGUUCCGCACUCAAGUGCUACUACCAAUAGUUGCUUCAUAGAAAUUGUGGAUUGUAUGGUACCCAAAUCUUUUAGAAUAUCAUAUGGUUAUGUAUUAGUGGUAAUUUCCAAUGUCCUUUUCUUUUUCCGAGUCCUAAACAUUGAUGCAGGUAAAUUAGUUUUCUCUAUAUUGGAAAUUGGUAAAGCUAUUGGAACUAAAUUUGACAGAGCCUGUAAAAUCGAUUCUUUCAACGGAUAAGAUUGUUCUCUCAAUUGGACUGAUAUUGGUUCUUUAGAAUUCAUGCCUCUUAGAGGAUCUUUUAAAAGAAAGGACAUUUUCCAAAACUGUGUAAAGAACAAAACAGCUUAAAAUGGAACCGAAGCCUCUGUAAUUGAUACCUCAUUGGGAUGUACAACUGAUUCAAGUCCUAUACUGAGUAAGGGGCCCAUUUCAGAACCUGGAUUGGAUGGCCCCAUAAUUGGGACCAAUUGGUCCUUCGCUUCAAGAUCACCCAAAUGUUGAAUUGGUCCUUUUUCCUUUUGCUGACUUCUUGUAAAGACAACUUGGACUACUUCUACCUGAUGAACUGAUGAAUCUUGAGGACCUUCAUUUAUCUCCUCCAUUUUUCCUUGGCUUUGGAUUUGUUGAUCUCAAUUAUUAAAAUUGAAUGGAGCAUUACAUUGCUGAUAAGUAUGUCCCGACUGCUUGCAAUUCGCACAUACUGGCGCAUAAUCGUCAGUGGCUCUGGAAUUGGCACAUUCACUGGCAUAAUGACCAAUCUGUCUGCAACGGAAAUAACAAAGUGGUCUUCUUGUACCUCCCAUCUGGCAUAUUGGGUGUCUCUACCAGUAUAUACCAAUUAGGCUUGUUCCAUAUAGGGUUAGAAAAUGAUCCUGAUUGUUCCAUUGGUACGGAGAGUACUUGGUUUGAUGACGCCAGUGGAGCAUAUUAAGAUGGUAUUUUUUUUGUACAAUAUGUUACUAAUAUUAUUAUGAAUCUAAAUGCUAUAAAUUUGAUGCAACCUCCAAUUAUUAUAAUUUAUAAAAUACUUAAUUAUCUAUUAAAAUAUUUUUAAAAACUUAUAAGUCAUAUGUAAAAUGAAUAAGUCUUAUUAUUUUUAAAUGAGCUACAAAAUUAUUUGCAUAUAAAAACAAAGAACAUAGUAGCAUAAUAAAGAGUGUUGCCUCAAGAAAAUGUUGGAUCUUUAGUUGCUAUUAAUUACUCAAAUAAAUUGUAAAUUCAUAAAAUACAAAUCUUAUCUAUAGUUUGUCCUCAUGAAGAAAAUUACAUCAAAUAUAUAAGUCUAAGAUGCACAAUAUUUAUCAAAUUUAUCAAUUCUUUUGCAUAAAAUAUAGUUCUUGAAGUUAGAUUUUGAAUCUAAUUUUUUGAUCUCUAACAACUUUCAUACAACUCUUUAUACUAAAAAAAAAGAGUAGUAGGUACAAAUUCAAGAUCUUAGCUUCAAGUACUUAUUUUUUUUUCAUAAAAACUUCAAAUUCCUUGAUUUUUAGAUAAUAAUAUAGAAUUUAAUAUAAGCUAAAAAAUUCUAAUCUUUGAAUUCUAAAUAGUCUAUCUUUUUUUUGAAUGAGCUAUCUUAAAGUGGCCUCAAACUCCAAUGUGGUCUUAGACAACAUCAAGAAGUCUAUUGGACAUUAUCUUUAAUCAAUAGGAAAGAAUUCAUCUAUCACUCAGCUUAUCUUCCCACAUAAAAUGGCCUAACAAUUAAAAUAUUAUACCUUUAAUACCAAAGUCUUUUUACACUCUUUAUCAAUAAAUCCUAUAACUUCUUUUUUUAAUUACAAAAUUUAAAUUAUAAACUUAAAUAAAUUAAAUAAGUAUUUUUUUUUUAUUUCAAUCCAAAUUUUUAUAAUAUUUCAUAUUAUUUUUAUAUAUUAUACUACUUUCCAAUACAAAAUCCAUCUCCUUCAAACUUAUACAUCCUUUGGUAUAUGCCAAUUUAGCCAUCCAUGUUCACUUCAUCAUCUCCAUUUCUUUUUGCAUCUUUUUUGUAAUCCAGAUCUAAUUCUUUAAAAUCUAAAAGAUUACUUAAAAUAAUUCUAUCAUUUCUUUUCUUGAAUGCUUUAAUUUACUUUCUAGCUACAUAUAUCUUCAAUAUCAUACCAUCCAAUUCAUGAAGCAAAUAGAUGGUAUUGUUAUACAUUACCAUUACUAUAUAUGGUUCAAAUCAUCUUCAAGAAAAUUUUCUAAAAAUACUAUAUUGUUGCUCCAAACUACUAACAAAUACUAACACCUAAUUCUUAACUUCAAUUGAUUUGGAUGUCAAAUGAUGAGUUUUAUCAAACCUCUCUUUGUUGCUCAAUUUAGUAGCAUUCAAUUUUUUCAUGCUAUUUCUUGAUCUUUAGAUAAUUUUUUAAGUUACUAAAUAUAAAGCUCUAAUAAUCUCUCUCUUGUGAUGUCAUCUUUUUAAUCUAAUAGCAUCUAAGUAGGCACAAAUUCUUCCAUAGGCAUAAUUGAUUUUGAGUCUAACAUAUGCUCAAUAGGCAUAUAAUUAGUAAUAGUGCUAUGAAAGGUUCUAUCUUCCUAGAGAGCAAAUAAUAGAAGUCUUAACUAUUAUCUUGACUUAUCUCUUUAAGCCUUAAUAAGAACAUUUAUGAUAAGAAGAUAUCUUCUUUCACUUUAGAUAUUAGCAUCAUGAUUAUAAGUAGUUUUUAACUUCAACUUUAUAUCAUAUAUUUGAAAAUGAUUUCUACACUUUAUUAUAUCUAAUUCUCCUUGAUUAGCCUUUAUCCUUCUAAUUCUACUAUAUUUAUUAAAAAUAUCUUUUAAAAUAAAUCUACAUACUACUUUUGUAAUCUUGGUCUUCAAAGCUCUACCUUCAAUGUAAUUUGAAAGCUCCUUUCUUGCCAAAAUAAGAUAUUUUAUGCCCCAUAAUUCCAAUCGCAUAGCGACCAAGUCAAUCACCUACUAAAAAUGUAUAGUAAGUGGACGAGUAGGAUAUAUCUCAUCUUUGAAUUUAACUUUGGACUACAAUAGGCAUUCAAUAAAAAAAGCCACAAAUUCCUUCAUAUAUUUGUAGAAUCCCUUCCACCAACAUUGCUCUUUGAUCUUAUGAUAAGUGGUCCAAAUUUCUUUUUGGCUUGUCCACAGUGUAUAAUAAAACUCCUUAAAAACUUAGUUCUUGGUUUUUAUAUCAUCUACCACUUUCAAUAAUAUUCCAUUCUUCUUCUUUGGCCUGUUUUACAAUGAACUAUCUCUCAUAAUAUAGUCAUAAUGUUGGUGUCUAAUAUCUUUAAAGGCCUUAUUUUACCAACCUUCUUAUUUCUUCAUAGUACUCAAACAGAUGCCAAUAUCUCUUAACUUGUCUCUAUAAAGAUCUUCUCUCAAAGCCUUAUCUUCACUACUUGUGCUUAUUCCAUUAAUAAUUAGUAUAUAACAAUAGCCCUUAUCUUCAUCAUCUUCAUCAAUUUCUUGUAUCUCCAUCUUUUCUUCACAAAUAUAUUUAACUCUGAAUAACAUAUCUACUAUAGAAUUCUUCUUAUCAAAAAUAUAUACCAAUACAAAAUUGAAUGAUUUGAUAUAAAUUAUCCUUUUUAAUAUAGUAAUAUCAAAAAUAAAAAAAUAGCAAUCAUAUUCAAAAAUAAUCUGUAAUCAAUUUCUAACAAUAUAUUGGCUCUAAUUAAGUAAUUUUUGUCUACUUUCAUAGCUAUAAGUGCUUUCAAAAGCUUCUUCUUUAUUUGUAGGUAUAUUCUCUAUUUUUCCAUAAAAAUUCUUCUUCCAAACUUGAUAGCAAAUCUUUUGCCUUUUUCAUUAUCUUGACUAAUAGUCUAUCUAAUAGCAAUAGGAUUUAUAUCAAUAAUAACAAUAAUUUAUUUGCCAUAAUUAUGUUCAAUUUGCCUCAAGUUGGUAGUGACUUCAAAAUCUCCUUUAAACCUUCUAUGGCUAAUUCUUGCUUUUGUCUUUAUAUGAACUUAGUUCUCUUUUUUAAGAGACUAUAUAGUGGCUCAACUAUGUAAGCAAAGUAAAGAUCUAAAUUUGAUAGAAGAUACAAGCUCCUAUAAACCUCUUUUAUUUCAAAGAUGCUAUAUCUUCAAUAAUACUACAUGCUUUUAUUCUAAUAAUAGCAUCAAUCUUUUGAAAAUUAGAUUUUAUAUUAUACUUUUGAUAUAAGUGGUGUCCACUACCUAGAAACAUUCUAGAAAGUCAAGGGUAGAAGAACUAAGUAUAAAUAUGACUAGCUAGGAAAUUUUGAGGCAUCUAGUGAAUUAUAUCUUUGGACCUUCUUUUUUAAUAUAAUUGGAUUUUUUAUCUUAUUAUUGUUUUAUGUUUUAUCUUAAUUUUGAUUACUCAAUUUUUAUCUUUCCUGUCUCAUUUUAUUUACUUGUAUUUUAUUUUGUUCUAGUCUAAUUUUUCUUAUUUUGUGAUGAAAUUUUAUGUUGUUGUGAAUUAGAAGGAUUUUGGAUACUUGAGAUAGACUAGUCAUGUUUCAUUGGUAUCACAGUGAGUGUUAGUUUGUUUGUUUGUUUGAUUUUUUGGUAGUGUGUCAAUAGUCAUCAUCUAGUCCAAGGUUAAUUAUUGAAGUCACAUGAGAUAUUAUAUUGAGGCUAGCACGAGCUACUUUUAAAAAGUCAAUUAGAAGGUGAAAAGACAUUACAGUAGUGGAAUCCAAUUGAGAAAUUAUAGCAUGAGAGAUAUGGUAGAACAAUUCUAAAUGGACAUUCAAAUACAACUUCUUUUAGGUCAAAUAGCUACUUUACAAGGGCAAAUAGAAGCCUUGAGGACAAGAAAGUCAAUAUUAGGAACCAUAUACAAGACAAAGAUUCAAGAUCAAGAAAUGGAGUUAGCUCAACAUUAAAACAAUAACUGGAUACAAGGUAAGAAGGUCCUGACUAGACCAUAAGAAGUAAGUUGUUGAGACUGAGGAUCUCCUUAGCCUUGACUCCAAUAUAUACUAGGUCCUAAGAAGCUUCUUAAUAAGUUUCUAUGAAGCUUAGAAAUAAAGCAAGCUUAAGAUCUUUCUUUGACAACUUCUUAAAUCAUCUAAAGUUUCUUAGAACCUUCUAAGAUCUUCUAUGAUCUUCUAGAAUUUUCUUAGAAUCUACUAGAGCCUUUUGAAAUCUUUUUGAGAAGCCACUAGAACCUUCUGGAACCUUCUUAAAAAUCACUGGAACCUUUUAAAAUCCUCUAAAACCUCCUAAAAUCUUCUAGAGUCUUUUUAGAUCCUACUAGAAUCUUUUGGAACCUUCUAGAAUCUUUUCAAAUCUUUUAAAAUCUUCUAAAAUCUUCUAAAAUCUUCUUUAGUUGUAUGUUUGUGACAUCAACUCCUCUUCUAGCUUUGAGGUCCCCAAAAAUUAAUGUUGUAGUAAGUCAGUAUAUACAUAAGAAGUUGAAGAUCUGUUACAUGAUAUCUUCUAUAUUUUAUAAUUAUUUUUCACGAUGUCGUGUUGUGGUUUGGCUACUGUAUGAAAAUAAUGUAAUUAUGUACUUCAUAUAUAAUUUAUUAAGUAACAUGGUGAGAGCCAUAUUAGUAGAUUUUAGUUCUUUGUAGAAUAUAGUUUGAUUAUUACCUUGAAAAGAGAUUUUUUAAAAAGUUUACUAUAGAAUUUUUAUAACUUUCAUUUCUUUUGAUAGUAGCUUUUAGAUUGGUUAUGAUUGAUAGUAACUUCUAAAUAUUUAGAGUCAUCUUUAUUAGACACUGGUGACCUUUGAAAACUUAUUUUGAUUCUCUUAUUUGGUAUUUAGAGCAUAAAUUAUGUAAAUCUUAUAAGAAAAAGGAUUAAAGAAGGAUUUUAGUAGCAAAGAGAGUUUAAGGCAUCUAUAUAGAUGAAUGGAGAUGCAUGAUGAAAAUCUCCAUUCCUAUUGGUCAAAAAUCAUGACCAAUAGGUUUUAAGGAGGCUGCCCAAGGCCGUAUUAGAGAUUAGGAUCAGUUUUUCAGACAAUUUGAGCUUUGAAGGCUAAGGUCAAUAAGUUUAGAUUUUUGGCUAUGGUUUUGGUAUAAAUCUUAUAUGAUUUGGAGUUUAUAUGAAAGAGAUAUAGGUGCUCAAAGUUAAGGAGUUAAUUUGGAAGCUACUAUCAAUCUUUUUGGCAUAACGCACGCAUAUAGAAGGAAAUUGAAGAUUGGUGAUUGCAACUAGAAAGAUCACUUUUGCAGCUACACUUUUCACAUACUGCUUAUUGGAUUCUAAGUUGAGAUGAAGGAGUUAUUGGAUUUUGAAGUCAGUGCAUGUAAUCUAAGGGUAAUAAAUGACCCGAUUUACUAGUGGUUGUGUCUUGAGCUAUAUCUUGAGCAAUUUGUCAAGGUUUUGACUCAAAAUAUUAAGAAAUGUAUAAAUUUAUAUUAAUAAACUUUGUACAUAAGUUUAAUGAUAUUUGAGUAUUAUGUUCUUGAGAUAUUAAGAAAAUAGUGCUUGGGUACUUGUAAAUUAGGGUUUAAAGCAUCUACUAGGAUUUCUUAGAUGCCUAAAGUUUGGAAGUGAUUUUUUAGUUAAUUUUUUUUGAAGUAAAAUUUAAGAAUAAAUUCUACCUACUCUACAAAUUUGAGACAAAUUGAAUGGUUAGAUCAAGAGUUAUGAAUUUCUAAAGUUUGAAAAGAAAAAAUCCUUUGCGGAAAAAAUAUGUCUUGAAGAAAUUUUACUAUAUUUUGAAUUUUGUGUAAUAUAAAGGAAUUUUGGAAGCUAAGGCAAGAUACAUAUGAAAGUUUAAGCUAAAUUCUCUACAGCUAGAUAUCCAGUGUAUUCCUAGAUAGCAAAUCACGCAAUACGACAAUGAAGUAAAUGGUUCAUAGGCCCUUAUAGCUAUCGAUAGUAUUUCAAGCCUUCUACUUGUGACUAAGCAUGAACUUUGGUUUCUUUAUUGUGGAAUUAUACUGCAAACACUGCUUUUGGACAUCCUUUAUAGGUAGGUUCUACCUCAAAUACAAUUACCAAUGACCUAUUACUAGGUAUCCCUUGAUGUCUUUGUGGUUCAGGCCAUUCUUCAUCUCGAGGUUGUCUCUGCAAGCUACUUAGUUGACAUGGUAUGAGUGACAAAGCGUCUAUCUCUUGACUAUCUAUAUCAUAUAAAGUAGAUAAAAUCAAAAGAAAAUAAAUAAGCUAUAGUCGUAAACUUGAACUUCUGACUUAUAAUAUUUUAAACAUUUGAAAAAAUUGCUUGUUUAGAGAUUACCUCCUCUCAUUCUUUAUGAGGCAAAGAACUAAGAAUCUUCAUGAUGAAGCCAUCUUGUCGAGCUACUAUUCUUUAUUUUGUCACUUUUGAUCUAGAUGGAUGUCGUUGAUAGAACCUUUGAAUCUUCAUUUGUACAUUUAUAAGGUUGUUAGUUGAUUUCUACACGUAAUUUUUUAUAUCAUAUCCAUAUCAAUGGACUAGAUAUUCAAGCAUUCUAUGUCUUAUCCUUGAAUCUAAUACCUCUUCUAUGUCAAAUUCAACAUGAUCAUUGAUUUCAACCAUAGGAAGUAGAGGUUGUCUUUGACCUAGUAUAUUCAAUUCUUUAUACCUUUCUAAAAUUGAAACAUGAAAGAUUGAAUGAAUCUUCAUAGAUGAAAUUACUCUAAGUGAUAAUUUACAUUAUUAAUUUGUUUUUGAACCACAAAUGGUCUCAACCUUUGGUAGUCCAACUUAUCACAUGGCCUGUUGGUUUUUAUAUUGUGUUAAAGAAGCCACACUUUAUCACCAACUUAGAAUGGAAGAUAUUCCUUUCUUAAUUCAUCUGCCAAUAGCUUAUAAUGUUGUUGAGCCCUUUCUAGGUGAGUCUUCAUGGUUGCUUGAAGUUAGGUCAUCUUUGUAUCAAACUCUUCUAUUGCUGGAUUUGCUGACUUUGAAGGCUCUAUCAUAUCUAACUUUAGAUGAAGACCAUAGUUUGAAUAGAAUGGUAUUUUUUGCAUAGAUACAUGGAUUGUAUUGUUAUAUGCAAACUCUGUCAAUGACAAAUAGAAAGUCCAAUCAUCUUAUUGAUAGUUGAUGGUGCACCUCAAAUAUUACUCAAGAAUUUGGUUCAUCCGCUUUGUUUGGCUAUUAGUUUGAGAAUAGAAGGCAGACAAAAGGUUAAUACCAACUUUAAGAACUUUAAAGAAUACCUUCCAAAAUCUUGAUACAAAUUGUGGCCUAUGAUUUGACACAAUAUCAUUUAGAAAUCCAUCAUAAUGAUAGACAUUAUCAAUGAAGCAUUUUGCCAUCUCUUUACUAAUAAUUGACUUCUUGUAAGGUACAAAAUAUGCCAUCUUAGUCAUCGACCAACAACUAUAAAGAUAGUGUCAAAUAAGCUUGAUGGUGGAAGAUUUGUAAUAAAAUCCAAAAAGAUAGAUGAUCAUGAUUUUCUUAAAAUAGGAAGGUGUUGAAGAAGUCUAUAUGGCCAAUGUCAAGGGUUCUUUGAUCUUAAAUAAGUAUCACAUGAUAGUAUAAAUUCCUUAACGUCCUUCCACAUUUUAGGCCACCAAAAAUCUCUAGAUAGAAGUUCCAUGGUCUUGUUGAAUCCAAAAUAUGUGACUGUAGGGAAGUCAUGGCAUAUUUGAAAAACAUGUAGGAAAGUUGAUCCUUCAGGAAUAAACAAAUAUUCUUCAAAGAACAAAAAAUUAUUUUUAUACUUGAAUUUAGAAGACUCUUCAAGAAGGUUGUUGGUAAGAUGCUUGAUAUUAAGAAUAAGAAGGUCCAUAUUUAAGACUUUACAAACUUGAUCAAGAAAUGAUAAAUCCACAAGCAUUGAUAUAUUGAUUGCUCAAAGAUGAAAUUACUCAGGUUUUAACAAAUUUAUCUGUUAUUGAUCAUAUACCUUACCUUCUUUUGAUUCAAGGUAGGAACGUCUUAAUAAUACAUUUGAUAACUUUUGUUGGCUCUCAGAUCAAUAUAUGAUACAAAAGUCAAAUUAUUAUAAAGAUAUACUCCAACAAGCUUAGUAACAAUUAAAGAUUCGAACUAUCAUGAAGUAUUCAAGAUUCUUGUGAUUUGUAUAUUUAAUCACUUGAUGAGAGGCACCUUCAAGAAAGUGGCACCAUUCUUAGAAAAAAUCUACAAUAGUAAGUAACUUUUUAUUAUAGAUUUUAUAGUAUAGAAUGUAAUUAGAUGAAGUUUGUCAUCUUUUCCAUGUUGUGACAAGACCAAUUCCAAUGCAAAUUUUAAGGCAUUGGUUUCUAUAAAAUAUGACUUAUUAAAAUUUGAAAUUAUGAAAAUUAGAGCUAUUGUGAAAGCAUCUUUUAAGCUUUGAAAAGCUUUCUCUGUUUUGAAGACCCCAAUCAAGCUUGUUUUUGUAUAUCAAUUACACAAGUAGAGCAGCAAUCUAGGAGUAAUUCCUAUCAAAAAUCCUGUAGAAAUUUAUAAAUCCAAAAAAGCAUUAGACAUCACGUACAAUUUUUGGCUUUGCCCAAUCGAUGAUUGGUUGCACCUUCUUUAGAUCCAUAAAAAGGCCUUUGUUGAAAAUAAUAUAUCCAACAAAUUUGAAUUAAAAAGUAUGAAAUAUACACUUCUCUAGUUUUGCAUAUAGCCUUGCAUUUUGUAGCUUUUCUAGCAUAAGGCGGACAUGUUUUUUGUGGUCUUCUUAGAAAUGAUUAGAAUAUCAUCCAAAUACAUCACAAUAAAGUUGUGAAUUUAAAUUUUCACUCCUCAACCCAAGUUAUAAGAUGGCUUCAAUUAAGAGUUACUUGUAAUUGGUGGUAUGAAGUAAAGUAAGCAAAUAACAAGAACAAAAGAAGAACAACCACAAAGCAAUUGAAAUAAAUGACAUGAAGCAAUUACAACACCUAAAACUAAGUCACAAUCUAUUCACUAUAUUUUUAUAUAUUAAAUAUAAAAAUAAAAAAUAAAAGGUAUAUUUUUAGAUAUGUAAUUUUAUUAUCUUUCCAAUGACAUAAGAAAUAUGUAAAUCCGAAUUACUAUGAGUAAGUUAUGAAGCUUUAAAGUUAUGAAAUAAAUAAUUGAUAAGUGAAGUGAAUAUUUUGCCUCAAAGGUAACUUACUUAUAGAUUAAGGGUUUGAGCCUCUCCAAGGCUCACAUGUGGUGUAUAAGGAUAUCUAAGAGAGGCCAUGAGGCCUUAAACUUAUCCUCCUAACUACCUUCAAGGUGCUACAACCCAUAUGGGACUUGUACACUCUCCUUUCUAUAAGGACUAUACUAGUUGUUGGUCCUCCUAUUUUCUACUAAAAGAACCAAUAUUUUUGUGAUUUUUAUCUCACUAUGGCGUUCAAAAAUACUCAAUUAUCCUAGAAAACUUUUUUGGUCCUCAAAUCUUGCUCCAUUUCUUCAUAAAGACUCUCAAAGUAAUAAAACUCAUUUUUAUCAAGAUCUUAAAAAUUACUCUAAAAAUUCCUAAAAAAUUCUAAAAAAAUUCUAAAAAAAUUCUAUAAUAUUUUUGUAAUACUAAAAUCUAUUUAAGGAUACAUUUUCCUACCUUGAUGAUUUUUUAUAAUAAUAAAAAUUAAUUUAAAUCCACUAUAAAUCUUAUUUUUUAUAUCAAUAACUAAAAUGACAUGAGGUUCUUUUUCAUGCUUCUUCUAACUACUAAUAUUUAUAUUUUUUAUAAUUAUAAUAUAUAGAUAGAAGACCAAUAUAAUUAUUGGUCUUAAUAAAUAAUCCUUAAUAUUCAACAAUAAAAUAAAAAUACUAAACCAAAAAGGAUAAUUACCUUUAAGACUUAUGAAGACUCCAUUUCCACCACUAACAUUCUAAUUUUCUAUUUCUCUAAGGAUUUCUAUACUACUCACUAUAUAUUGUGAUUUAAAGCAUUCUAAAUGCAUAUUUUUAUUCCAAAAUAAUAAAUGAGUCAAUUUGAUGAUUUACAAAAGUCGUCGAGAUGCUCUUGAAAUAUGUCAUUCAUUAAGUGUUGGAAUAUGACUGAUGCAUUGGUAAGUCCAAAAGGCAUGACAUUUUAUUCAAAAUGUCCAUACCUGGUAUAAAAUAUUGUCUUCCAUUCAUCUCCCUCAUUUAUGCAUACUAAGUUAUAAGCACCUUGUAGAUUAAUCUUUGUAAAGAUCUUUACUUCGCUAAGUUGAUCAAGAAGUCUGGAUGUCAAUGGCAAUGGAUAUUAAUUUUUUAUCGUCAUUUUAUUAAGACCACAAUAAUUAACACACAUUUGUAAAGAUCCAUCUUUUUUCUUCACAAAUAAUAUCGGAGCACCAAUUGGUGACUUAGAAUAUCAAAUAAAAUUCUUAGCUAGAUUUUUUUCAAUGUAUUCUUUUAAAGUUGCAAGCUCAUUAUGGGAUAAAUUGUAGAUGGGUCCAAAUGAUGUCAUAUUAUGUGGCAUUUUCCUUAAGAAUGUACCAUGCAUAUGGUUGUAGAAGUUAAAAAAAAAAUUACAACAAUUCUAAAAGAUUUUUAAACAAAUUACAAUGAAAGAUUAGCAAGUCUAAUCAAACAUCAAUCAAAAUUACAAAGGAAUUAUGUAAGAAAUACAAAGUUUUUCUAAAGAUCCUUUAAAGAAAUCAUAAAGAAAUAACAUGGAAAUUCAAAAAUAUAGUAAAUAAAAAAUCUCAAUAAAAUAUUAAAAUAAAAACCUUAAUUAAAUCCUAGUCAAAUCUUAACCAAAUCCUAAAUAAAUCUUAGUCAAGUCCUAAAUAAAUCUUAAUCAAAUCUUAAUAAAAUUCUAACCAAAUCCUAAUCAAAUCUUAAUCAAAUUUUAAACAAAUUCUAAUCAAAUCUUAAACAAAAUUUAAUUAAAUCAUAAUCAAAUCCUAACAAAAUCCUAAUCAAAUCCUAAUCAAAUUCUAAUAAAAUCUUAAUCAAAUCCUAACUAAAUCUUAAUCAAUCCUAAAUAAAUUCUAAUUAAAUGUUAAUAAAUUCUAACCAAAUCUUAAUCAAAUCUUAAAUAAAUCUUGAUCAAAUCUUAAUCAAAUCUCAAAUAAAUUCUAAUCAAAAUUUUAUCAAAUCCUUAAUAAAUCUUAACCAAAUCCUAACCAAAUCUUAACCAAAUCCUAGUCAAACCUUAACCAAAUCUUAAUCAAAUCCUAAUCAAAUCCUAGUUCAAUCCUAAUCAAAUCCUAAUCAAAUCCUAACCAAAUUUUAACCAAAUCCUAAUCAUAUCCUAACCAAAUCCUAAUCAAAUCUUAAUCAAAAUCUAAUCAAAUCCUUAUCAAAUUCUAAUCAACUCUAAAUAAUUCCUAGUCAAAUCCUAAACAAAUCUUAAUUAAACCAUAAUCAAAUCCUAAACAUAUCCUAAUCAAAUCCUAAAUAAUCCAAGUAAUUCCAAUAGCAAAUUUAAACCUCAAUUAUUAACUAUUGAUUUUAACUCAAAUUUUACAAAAUUCUUCACAAUUAAGUUGAUUACAAGCACAAAUUUUUUAAAGAAGAUCGAACUCACCAAAAAGAAGAUCAAGCCUAAUAUAUGCUCAGAUGUUGGCCGGCCUUCAUCUUCAAUCUGAAUAUUGAAUUUCUAGCAUCAAUAUCUCCUUAUUAAACUAUUCAAUUGAUCUCAAAUUUUUCACAUAUGUAGGAAAAUAAUUCUAUUAUCUAAAUACAUAAUUUUUACUCCAAUCCAAUUGAUAGAUUGCAAGAAAUCUUAGAAACCUCUACUAUACCUAAAACUCUAUUUUUUGAGAGCCUAAUCCACUUAAACCUCAAUAAUCCUUGAUCCAAUCUUUUGUUCAAGC